rnacentral:lncRNA from 1 species
UGAUCCUAAGCAGAUCAAAUUGUCACAAUCGUGAACUUCAAGAGUCUCAAGUUUGGGUAGAAUAUGGUCCACUUGUACAUCUUGCUUCCAUAAAUAAUUUUUUAGAUUAUUAAGAGCUACCAAUUUUAAGUUUCUAAUUGUUGACAAACGCCCAGCAUACAUCUCCUCAUUACCGAUAUCUCUUUCAGAACAGAAUAGCUCUUUUAUUUCACAAUAAGUGAUAAUAAGGCUUUCAAGAGUGUAGAAUCUCUCAAGGAAAGAAAUUCGGAAAUCAAUUGAUUUAGCAGUGUGGCCAUGCACUUCAAAAGCUUUUAUUUCAUGAAAAGGGCUGCUUGAAAAUUGACCAUCACUUAUCAUUGCAAUGUAAUCACUAUCUAAUGUCAAAUGUUGUAGUCUAGGGAUGACCUGAAAACCAAUCAGAAAGCAAUUUUGGAGUCAAUAUGUUCAUCUUGAACUAAGAAUAACAUCUGUUACAUAAAUGAAACAUCAUAUAUUUUCAAAAACUUCUUACUACUCUCUUCAUCAGUAAAUUAAUUUUUCUAAAUAAUAUUUCAAUUUAUUUAUCAUAAAUUUUUUUGUUAAUCAAUAAAUAAAUAAAAAACCAAUAAUAAUAGUAAAUUAAUUUGAUGGUUUAGAGUUUAAUCUAAGAUUUUAGAUUUUAGAGUCCAUUGUUGGAUUUAUGGUUUAUGGUUUAGGUUCAUGAUUUAGAAUUUAAGAGAAUUUCCUUUGUUUGUUAAUUAGAGUAAUAAAAAGUUUUUAGAGUUCAUACCUUUCAACCAAGAAAAGUGGUGGAUGGAUUGGGGAGUCAAGUUGUCCAUUGUUAGUGUUCAGAUGUGUACCCAAUAUCUUCAUUUUCCCACACUCAACUACUUCCAACUUGUUUAACGUUGGCCACUUUGAGGUAUGCUUACCCGGGUAGAAACAUUUCAAUUCUGGUAGCUUCCAAAGUAUAAGGUCGUAUAGUUGAUCAAACUCGAAAUUGACUGCUGUUUCUGAAUCUGAUCCUUCCUCUAAUUUGGAAACAAUCUCCUCCACUCCACAAUGAGAUAUUGCAAGAUAACCAAGUUUUGGUAGGUCUUUGGCUAUUGAGGCUGGAAAUACAUUCUUCAAACUUUGACAGUCACAAACAACUAUUGCACAGAUUUUUUUAAAUGAAAAAAUUCCUUUGGUAAUUCUACAAUAUGCAAUUCUCUUAGUUGCGCGGUUGCAGGUAAAGCGGUUUCGUUUUCUUCAUGCAUGAUUUCAAAUACUUGUUUUAAGGAACCACAAUUAUGUACGAAUAGACGGUGCAACCUUUGAAAUGUUAUCAGCAUAUUAGAUGGAAAAAUGGUUAACAACUCAUCACAUCCUUCAACAACCAAUACUUGUAGUUUGGGAAAUGAAUUUGGUGGAAGUGGGUUCCGCCAUAUCAUCUUCAUCUUUCUCAAGAAGGAAAUAAUCACUUUCUCCAAAUUGGGAAAUGCAACCUGCAAUCAUGUCAAUAUAAUGAAAUUAGAAAAUAAAUAAAUUUCUAAAAAUAUGAGAGGAAAAAAUAAAAGAAAUGCUCGUUUUUUAUUCUAAUGCAUACAAACCAAUUAUUCUAAAUUGAAAUAAUAAAUAAGAGAAAUGUUUGUUAGUCUUAAAAUAUGUAUUUUCAAAAAGUCAUUUUCAACUGUACCAAAAAAUGACUAAAAUGAAAUUUACUUUUUUCUUUUAAUUUUUUCAGCUAUCUUAUCGACCACAUUAUAGGAACCAAAAAUAAAUGUUUUCUAUCUUUUUACUUUAAUUUUUCAUCUCUUCAAUUUUCUUUCCAUUAAAACAUUAAAGCCAAAGUCAACAAGGAGAAAAUGAGUAAACCUAAAAUUUAAGAAUUAACCCACCUUAUUGUCAAACAGAUCACCUUGACUAGAGAUUUGUUGCUUCCCUUCCCUUGUAUAUCUACAUAUGAAGCUCUCCAAGUUUGGACAGUUGUAUAUUGUCAUUGACUUCAUAAAUGGAAAUUCAAUAACUUUAUUUUGAGAAUUGAAGCAAAAUCCACGCAAAUGCUGAAGAUCCUUUAGCUCUAAGGACUUUAACUGAGGAAAUAAUGAUCAAGUCAUGGUAACCUGAGCUUCUUCUUCUAUAUCCUCCCAAAAAAUUAUCUCCUCUAAGCAGUUGCACUUAGUUAUCUCAAAAUAUUUGAGAUGAACUAGAUAUUUAACCAUAGAAAAUGAUAACAGGUAUUUUAUGUUUCCACAACCCUCGAUUUUCAAUGUGGUUAACUUCUCAUGAGUGUAAAAAGAUACAUUUGACGACUGGUUCUGCCAUACCCUUGUAACAUUAAGCGAUGAUAACUGCAAUUUCUCCAAGGAAGGGAACGAUAUCUACAACCAUACACAUAGUUAAUUCUACUUUCAUAUCAAUAUUGUAAAUAUAUAUAUAUUUCUAUUUUUGCAAUUACCAAAUAAUAAAGUCUGCCGAUAAAAAAAAGUGUCAUAUAAUAGAAAUUUUCUAGUAAAUAUAAAAUAUGUUGAGAGUAUUGGGGACAGAAGAACCCAUCAUAUGAUCAGAUAAAGGGAAAAAAAAUCCCACAUAACUAAGCAACAACACAAAAGCAAUACGGCAUGAUUCAGAAAAAGGAAAGAAAGCCUUGAAAGAUAUUGAAUUAUAGAUACCUUUUCUCCGGAAAGUGGCAAUUCACGUUGAGGCAAUGAGGUAGCAUCGAUUUUGUCUUGAGAGCAAAAGCUAACGAGUUGAGGAAGACCCUGCAAUGUCAAGGACUGUAAUCCCGGAAAUUCAUUUCUAUCAUUAGUGAUAGAUUCAAUAUCCAAACCAUUUUGGACAUGCAGAUUCUGCAAAUGUGGUAGCCUUUCCUCAUCUGUUAACUCCUUCAGUGCAAUCUUCACACCUUUCAAUUCAUCCAAUUCUAAAUAUUGAGUUCUCUUUACCAACUUCUUAAUUCUGUUGGUGCUGUAACUGAAACUAACAGAUUCAGUGCAGACUUGUUAAGCAAGUCUCGUGACUUGUUGAGCAAACAAGAGAAUUCGAGCAAGAGGAAGAAAGAAAAGCUAAGAAAAAUGAAGAGAAAAGUUGAUGAACAAACUGAACUUCAUUCAUAGGUUGAACAAUGGCAUAAUGCCAAUACAUAAACCAAGCAAUUUGCUUGUCAAAAUCUGCAUAAUGAUACCUAAUCAUCACCUACUACCACUAAUACAUUGAAACUUGAAAAACUAAGCUUGCACACUUAAACAAAGCUGACUUAACAGCUCAAUUGUCAUCAAAAUUACAUCAAUCAUAAACCUAACAUAGUUCUAAAUGAACUAAAGUACAUUACAUUAACUUAAGAUUACAAGAUGAACAAAAUAGGAAUAGUUUAGCUCGUUCCAGCAGCUCCUGCAUGACUUGGUCUUCAUGGCCUACAUGCUGUCGAGUUUGCUGCAUGCUGAACCAACUUCAUCACUCCUCCUUGGUUUGCAUGGAGCAAACACCUAGCUUCUUUCUUAGAUAUUCGAACCUUGUGACACUAAGAGCUUUGGUUAAAAUGUCAGCAAGUUGAUCCUCUGAAUUACAGUGGAUCAGCUUUAUUUCCUGAGCUUGCUCCAUUUCUCGAACAACAUGCAAUUUGAUGCUGAAAUGUUUUGUUCUUCCAUGGAACACUGGAUUUUUAGCAAUUGCUACUGCAGAUUGGUUGUCACAGAAGAUCUCAGUAGCUUCCUCUUGAUGCACAUUCAAGUCAGCCAAUAUUUUCCUUAGCCAUAUGGCUUGGUUGACAGCACUUGCUGUUGCCACAUACUCUGCUUCAGCAGUAGAUUGAGCUACUAGACUUUGCUUCUUUGAGCUCCAGCAAAACAUGGCUGAACCAAGGUUAAAAGCAUACCCUAAGGUGCUUUUCAUGUCAUCUAUCGAGCCAGCCCAGUCACUAUCAGUGUAGCCAACCAGCUUCAGAUUUCCUUCUUUGCUGUACUUCAAACCAUAGUUUAAAGUGCCUUUGACAUAUCUCAGCACUCUCUUUGCAGCUUGGAAAUGCUUCUCAUUGCAGCAAUGCAAGAACCUUGAGAGCAAUCCUACAGCAUACAUAAUGUCUGGUCUAGUGGCAGUCAAGUAUAGCAAGCAACCAACUAGACUCCUGUAGGUUGUUUCACAAACUUUCUUAAAAUCACCUUGGCUCGAUAGUUUUUCUCCAACAGCAACAGGUGUUUUAGUUGCUUUGCUGUUUUGCAUGGAGAACUUGGUCAGAAUCUUUGUGGCAAAGCUUCUCUGGCUUAGAAAUAUCUCAUUCUGUACUUGAGACACCUCCAUUCCAAGAAAGUAUGACAUCUCCCCAAGAUCAGACAUUUUAAACACUUCCUGCAUCUUGGUCUUAAAAUCAGCUAGCACUACUCGAUCUCCUCCUGUCACCAGAAGAUCAUCAACAUACAGGGACACAAUGAGUUGUAUUUGUGUCCCUUGUUUCUUGACAUACAGUGUUGGCUCACUCUUGCUUCGAUCGAAUCCCAGAUCAGUCAAGUAGCGAUCAAUUCUGCUAUACCAGGCCCAUGGAGCCUGUUUUAAUCCAUAUAGGGCCUUCUUCAGUUUGUAGACCAUAUGCUCUCUGCCAGCUAUUUCAAACCCUUGUGGUUGUUCAACAUAGAUGUCUUCAUCUAAGAAACCAUUUAGAAAGGCAUCUGGAUUAAACCAGUAUUUUUCUUCUGAAUGACCAGCCUUUCUGCAGUGCUUGCAAGUUUGACCUUCUCUCCUUGCAGCAUCAUCCUUUGGCUUGUCUCUCCAGGCCUUCUUGCCUUUGUAGGCAGUAUUUGUUCUUGCCUGAAAGGCACCUUCUUGGUGCUCCUCCAGUCUGCUUGCUCUCCUCUACUCUUGAGCAUAUAGAGCAUUGAUCAACUCUGUCAGGGAGAUGGUGGACAGGUCCCUUGAGUCCUCAAGAGAUGAGAUUUUUGCCUCAUACCUCUCAGGCAGAGUUGCUAUAACCUUUUCCACUAUCCUAGCUUCAUUGAACUGCUCUCCAAGGAGCCUGAUGCUGUUAACCACAGCCAUAAUCCUGUCAGAAUAUUGCUUGACAGUUUCUUCUUCAUUCAUCUUCAAAUUCUCGAAAUCUCUCCUCAAGUUUAACAACUGUUGCUGCCUUGUCCUCUCUGUCCCUUGAAACUCUUCCUGCAACUUGUCCUAGGCCUGUUUUGGUGAUUCACAGGCCAUAAUCCUUGUGAAAAUCACAUCAGACACUGAGUUUUGGAUGCAAGACAUAGCCUUGUGCCUCUUGGUCCUUUCAUCAGCAUGCUGCCUGAUCUGAGCCACUGUUGGAUUAGCUCUAAGUGGCUCUGGUUCAACAUCAGAGUUGACCACCUCCCACAGAUUGAAAGCCUGCAGGUAGGUCUUCAUUUUGACCACCCAUAUGUGAUAGCCUUCUCCAUUGAAGACUUGAGGUGCAGCUGGUGAAAAGCUUGAUGAAGCCAUGGAUUUGUGUAACAGAUCCCUGAAGAAAUAGGCUCUAGAUACCAAUUGUUGGUGCUGUAACUGAAACUAACAGAUUCAGUGCAGACUUGUUAAGCAAGUCUCGUGACUUGCUGAGCAAACAAGAGAAUUCGAGCAAGAGGAAGAAAGAAAAGCUAAGAAAAAUGAAGAGAAAAGCUGAUGAACAAACUGAACUUCAUUCAUAGGUUGAACAAUGGCAUAAUGCCAAUACAUAAACCAAGCAAUUUGCUUGUCAAAAUCUGCAUAAUGAUACCUAAUCAUCACCUACUACCACUAAUACAUUGAAACUUGAAAAACUAAGCUUGCACACUUAAACAAAGCUAACUUAACAGCUCAAUUGUCAUCAAAAUUACAUCAAUCAUAAACCUAACAUAGUUCUAAAUGAACUAAAGUACAUUACAUUAACUUAAGAUUACAAGAUGAACAAAAUAGGAAUAGUUCAGCUCGUUCCAGCAGCUCCUGCAUGACUUGGUCUUCAUGGCCUGCAUGCUGUCGAGUUUGCUGCAUGCUGAACCAACUUCAUCAAAUUCCAUGAUCCAAAUCAUCAAUGCUUCUGUUUAGCCUGAGUUUUAAGGUUCUUGAAUAUUGAUAGUUGCCAAACCGCUCCCAUUCCUUUCCUAUGAAAAUCUUGUAUCUUUCCAACUUUUGCAACUUUUGAAAGAAGUCCUCUGGGGCAGCCUUGGCGUCCGGAAUUUCAACUUCUAAAGUGGACAAAUGAGACAGUGUGUUCAGAUUAGCCAGACUAGCAUUGGCAAAAUUGUGACCUGACACAAUAAUUUAAAAGGUUAAUAAUCAAUUUAGCCUUUAAAUUAUAAUUAAAAUAUUAAUUUGAUAAUUAUAAAAAACAUUUAAUAAUAAUUCUAAAUCUUUUAAAGGGUAAUCUAUUUAGAUUAUCACCCAAGUUUUGUUGUGCUCCUAUUUUGAUCACCGAUUUCUUUUGUUGUUGUUAAUUUUGUUACUUCCAUUAGAUUAAUUGUCAUUUUUAAUCACUCCGCCAUUAAAAUGUUUUGAUCAUUGAAUGAAAUGCUAACGUGUUAGUCUUUUGAUUAAUAUAAUAAUAAAUUUAGCCAUUAACACUUUACACAUUUUGUCAAGUUGGUCUUAAUUCUAGAAAAAUAAACAAAAUUAACCCUCAAUGUUUGCAUAUUUUUCAAUUUAGUCCAAAUCUAAAAAUUUUAAGAAAUUGAAAUAUAUAAAAUUUAUUAUAAAAGGACAUAAAAAUAUAAAAUAUUUAAUAUAUAUAUAAUUACAUAAUGGAUUAAUUGCUAUUUGGUUCUAAUUCUAAAAUUCAAGAAAUUUAACCUUUAAUAUUUGCACAUUUUUUAAUUUAGUCUAAGUUCUAAAAAUUUAUAAAUAAUAUAUUCAAAAAUAUAAAACAUCCCCAAAAAAAUAAACAAUCAAAACCCAAACUCAAAAUAAGUAAAGUUUUCUUAGUUAUAAUUCAAAAUCAUUAAAAUAAUCCACAAAAUGCUCAUACUUUUGAUAUAUGCAACCGCACAACAUUGCAAUUAAAAAAUUUACAAGAAAACAAGUUUAAUAUUUUAUCCUAUUACUAGAUUUUUUUGGUCAAGCAAACAAAAGAGAUCAAACUUUGUAAAACAACGAUCAUCCCCUCAUUUCCUUCCCCAAUCAUCUUCAAGUUUUUCAUUAUUCUUAUACUCUCACCCAAACCUCACAAUCUCAAAUACCAUAUCAAAUCGAUACCCAACUUUACUAGACACAAACUACAUCACCACUUCAUCAUUGAGCGCUCACCGCUAAACUCACAUCGAAAGUUUUUUUUUUUACAAACAUACCCAAACUUUGUUUCGCAUUUUCUUUUAAUGAGAAAAAAUCGAUUAAUGAGGUGUCACUUAGUCUUAAGCAUCUGAAUCCCUCAAAGCCCUGCAUUUUGCCAUUGAAAUGGAGCCAAAGAUGUUUCUAUAAUUAGAGGCUUUUUUAUUUGAAUCCCUCAACCAACUAUUUGAUCAUGGUUCUAGUAGAAUUUGGUAGUGACUGAUUCAAAAAAGUAAUUCAAAAGAUUCGUUUAGUUGGGUGAGGUUUAAAGAAAAAAAAAGAAAUAUUUAUUCAAAAAAUUCAAGGAAAAUUGAGGGUUAAAUUUUUUUGAAUCCCUAAAAAAAUUAGUAAAAUUAAAGAAAUAAUUAUUUGAAUCCCUCAACCAAAUUCAUAUUUAAUCCUUUAUGUAAUUUUAUCCAUAUUUUUAGUAAUUUAUAUUUUUAUGUCAUUUUAUAAUAAAUUUUAUAUAUUUUCAAGUUUUUAAAACUAUAAUUUUUUUUGAAUUUGGACUAAAUUGCCAAAAUAAGCAAAUAUUGAGGAUUAAAUUUGUUGAAUUUUUAAAAUUAGGAACAAAUAGACAAAAUGUGUAAAGUAUUAAGGGUUAAAUUUGUUUUUAUGCCAAUUAAAAGACGAUCAUGUCAACAUUUUAUUUAGUGACCAAGACAUUUUAAUAGUGUGACUAAAAAUAACAAUUAAUCUAACGCGUGACUAAAUUAACAAAAAGAAAAUUGGUGACCAAAAUAGGAACGCGCUAAAACUUGGAUGACUAUCUAAGUAUUCUACUCUUUAAAUUUUUUAAAAUUAUUCUUAAGAAAAAAUUUAAAAUUAUCAAAUUGAUAUUUUAAUUAUAGUUCAUAGGCUAAAUUGAUUAUUAACCUUUAAAUUAAUGUACCACAUCACCCACUUAACAGAAGUUAACAGAUGAUUGACAAAAAUAUAAUAUUUUGAUACCUUUAAUGGUAUUUAUAUAACUUUCGAAAGUUGAAUGACUGAAAUAUAAUUUUAAUCAAAGCUUAAGAACAAUCGGUAUAAUUUAUCCUAUUUUAUACACUUUCGAACCUUAAGUAAUUUCUUCUUAAUAUUAUUUUAGUUCUAGUUAGUUAUGAUUAAUUAAAUAAAACUAAAAAAGAUCAUUAUGAUAAUAUAUUUUUAUACUUUUGAAAUUUUUAAAUAAAAGAAUUUAUAAAUUCAAUACAUGUUGAAUAAUAUUAUAAUACAAGUUUAUUAUCAUUUCACCUAUAUCUAUUAUUAAAUAAUUUUUUUCAAAUAAAUUAACAUAUAAAAUAUUUUUAUCCGUGGGCAAUUUAGGGAAAUUUGAGUAGAAGUAGUAAUAUUUUUUAUCAAGGAUAGUAUAAAUAUCUUUUGAAGUUUCAACCUUAGUUUGUUUUCAGCUUGUUCAAUAAUUGAGGAGGCUGGUCGUGUGGGUAUCAUGAAAUGGCACGUGACAGCUAAACAUUUGUAUCUUCAUAAUUGAUUUCGUAUCGUUUCGGUUCUACAAAAUAGUUUAUAUUUUGUUUUGCUCAAAAUUCUAAUGUGUUUCAACUCAUUUUUGGUUAAUAUCAAUUUGUAUCAGUGUAUUUAAAUUAAAUUAUAGAGUAAAAAAUUAAAAGAUAAAAUAUAUAUUUUCAGUCUUUAUACGUUUAGUGUAUUCAGAAUUUAACAUUCCUAUUUUUUUUAAAAUUUUAAUUUAUUUACUUUUUGAAAUUAAAAAUAUAGAUUUAAUUGUUACCACUAUUAAAAUUCUUCUAUAAAAAUAUACAAUGACAUUUAAAAUAUAGAUUUUUAUUAUUUUUAAAAAUAAUAAAAAUAAUGUCAUAAAUACCGAUUCGGAUUUUUCUUAAAACUCUACAUUUGAAUUUGUUAUGGUAAAAAAAAUCCCAUUUGAAUAGUAUUUUUAACAAAAAUUGACAUCAAAAUUUCGAUAAAAAUUGUUAACAAUUUAACUUAGACUAAUAACAUAAUAACGUAAAGAAAUCAAAUUAUGUUAAAAACUAAUAUAUAUAAAUAUAUAACAACCCACAUUUGACUCAAUCAUCAAAUCAAAGAUUAUUUUACCAAUAAAAGCCCAUUUCCUAUUUUAUAUACGGAAAUGGAAAUAGGAAAUGGGCCACUUUUUUAUUAUUUAUCGGAAUGGGCCGAAAAUACUAAAACGCGUCCAUGUAGGAGCAUUUUAAGGGGAAAUUCCAGAAAAACGCGUCCCUGAAAGAGCGUUUUGCCAUGUCAGCACAAAACGCACUGACGUGGCUAAACCUUAAAUCCUAAAUCUCAAAACCUUAAAUCUUAAAUCAUAAAUCUUAAAACUUUAAACCCAUAAACCUUAGACACUAAACACGCAAAUAAUCCUAACCCUAGAAAAACACAGGCUAAAACGCAUCCCUGAGGGAGUGUUCUGCCACGUCAGCAAAGCGCGUCCACGUAAGAGUGUUUUGUGCUGACAUGGCAAAACGCUUCUUUAGGGACGCGUUUUUUCUGAAAUUUCCCUUUAAAACGCUCUUACGUGGACGCACUUUAGUGUUUUUAGCUAAUUCCGGUAAAUAAUAAAAAAAGUGACCCAUUUCCGUAAAUAAAGUAAGAAAUGGGCCUUUAUUGGUAAAAUUUAGAGGUGUUCAUGGGCCGGGCCAGGCCGGCCCGGGUUCUAGUCGGGCUCAACUAAAAAAUCAUGCCCAUUUAUAGGGCUCGAGCCGGGUCGGGCCCAAAAAAUAGGCUUAAAAUUUUGUCCAAGCCCAACCCGGAUAAAAAUACUAAAACCAGAGCCCGGCCUGGCCCGCCCGUAUUAAUUUUUUAUAUUAUUUUUAAAUAUAUAUAAUACAUCAAAAAUACUAAAAAUAUCAAAAUAAAUAUUUCCCAACAAAUUGAAAAUAAAUUUUGAAAAAUAUAUAGACUUAAAUAACACUAAGAUGAAUGCAACUUAACAAGCAAAUGCUUCUAAAAUAAUAAAAAAAAUUAACAAAUGCCUUUAAAAUAAUACGAAAAUUAACAAUAAAAUAAAUUUUAUACAAUAUCCAAACAAUAACAACAAAAUAAUAGCAACAUAAUAGUAAAAUGGUAGCAAAAUAUAGAGAAAACAACAAGAAAAUAACAUUCAAAAAUAAAAAAAUAUAUAUGCAGAUUUUUUUUGUCCUUUAGUGAAUUCGGGCCGGGCCGGGCCGGGCUCGGACUAAAAAUACCUUACCCGAGGCUCGGCUCAUUUUUUAAACGGGCCUUAUUUUUUUGUCCAAGCCCAUUUUUCGGGCCUAUAUUUUUGCCCAAAUCCUCUCACAUUUCGAGCAGGCCUUCGGGCCGGGCCGGGUAGCCUGGCCAUGCACACCUCUAGUAAAAUCUCCAAAUCUAAAUAUACAACAUUAUUGAAGCAAUUUGAAGUAGCUUCUCUUUAAAAGAAACAACACAAAUGCCAAAGCAUUUAUCACCUUAUACAAACAUAAACAAUUUAUCACAUUCGAAUUUAUGCAAGGUUAAGCGAAUUUAAAAACAUAAACAAUUUAAAACAUGUUAAAGAGUUGUAUUUUUUCAAAGAAAAAUGUUAUAUUAAAAACUGUAACUAAUCAUUGUAAAAGUAUAUGUAUGUACUUUUUUUAUUAAAAAAUUGUUUUCUAUUUAAAAAAUUCAGUUACAGUUAUUUUUUUAGUGUAAGAUAUAAAAUUUAAUAUUUUUUUAAAUGUCAGUUACUUUAUCAACCUUAUUAAAUUUAAGGAAAAAAAAAAGAAAUAAUGAAUAAGCAAAAUGUCAUAAAUUUCUAUUCAUUUGAAAUCUUUAAAUUAAAAUAAGUAAACCAAAGGCAUUAGAACGAAUUAAGACAAAGUAAAGUAUAUUUCAAAUGAUUUUUGUUAAAAUAAAAUGAUAAAAAUAUCUUCAAAUAAUAUAAUUAUUUUACUUCCAAAGAAAUAUUUGAGUAAUUUUUUUAAUUGAUUUGGUGCCCGAUUGACUCGUAACACUAACUCAAACAAAAAUUUAAAUAAUAGCUUAGAUUUAUCAAUAAUUUAUUAUAUUAUUCAUCAUAUAUUACUAUUUUAUAAUUAUUUAUAAAAUUUACUAUAUAUUAUGAAUAUAUCAUAAAGAUAAAAUCAUUUAUCAUUCAGAGAUUUUGUAACACCCACAAAUUUUGUUGACAUAAAUGAUAUUAUUUAGAGAAUAUAAAUAGUAAAAUUUUCUUAUUUUCAUAUAUUUUUAAACAGAAAAAACAAUGAUUUUAAUAGUUCUUCAAAGAAAAAAAAAGAAGCAAAAGGGUUUUGGAAGGUAAACAAUAAAGUGUAAAGAAGCUUUAAAUGUUUAAGGUUAUUUAAAUAUUCACAUGGAAAUAUUUCAUUAAUGGAAGCAUCACUCUCAACAAUAUUUUGAAGAUUUAAGAGCUCCAAAACUUUCAGCUUAAAAUACACCCUUCUGGAAGUUGUCCAUGCCAUAUCUCUUUCAUGUUGCCAUUACUUUCCAAUCUCAGUUCUUAUAAACAAGGGAAUGUGCCCUGGUCAGUUGACAAAUGUGUUAAACAAAAGCAAGGAUUAAUUUCGAUAAAGGAAAUGGAAUUAUGGCAAUGAGUUUAUUGGAUAUCCAGACACUCUUGAACUCUCAAUGUCGCAUAACACUAAUACAAAUCUCAUGCUUGGCCUUCCGUUUUAGAUGGUAAACAUGCAUACUAUUUGAAAUCAGAUUAGGAUAGCAAGGAUGAAAUUAGAUAAAGGGUAUAGAAUUGUGCCAACAGUUUAUUACAUAACCAGACACUCCUGAAGCUGUCAACAUUGCUUAAUACUAAUACUAUUUUCAUCCUUGGCCCUUCGUUUUAGUUAAUAAACAUGCAUGCUAUUAGAAUUCAGAUCAGGGUAGCUAUCGAGAGAAUGCUUAUGGAUUAGAUGUGGAUGGAUUUAUGCAGAAAGUAAAACAUGCACGACUACUUUUACUAAUUACUAUGUUAGAAUAAGAAAUAGAAAAUUAAUUCAUCUUGUGGACAUGUUUCACAUACCAUAUUGAUCCAAAAUAAGGGAUGUUGUCCUGGUGUUUCAUGGGAGCUUGAAUAUUCUGAAGCAAAUAUCUCCACUUUGUCACAUCCAUAAACAUCCAAUUUUUUCAAUAAUGGCCAUUCGGUGGUAUGCAGCCCAGAGUAGAAACUCUUCAGUUUUGGUAGCAUAUUAUGUCAUUUGAGGAAAUACAGUUUGGUGUUUAUUUUUGCCUCAGUGAAUUUGUGUUCAAAUAAUUCUUCUAUAAUGAGGCACACUCCAUUACUUGUAGAUUUUUUAGUCUCUGAAGUCCUUCCAGCAUAUUAAGUGGGAAAAUGCUUGAUAGUUUCACACAAAUGUACUUCAAGGUUGUCGAAACCAUUUUUAAAUCGAGUUUUGAAAAAAAUGGGAACUGAUUUUAAAAAACGAAAACGGGAGUCGCCACCAAUCUUUUUAGGUGUGAUUGGAUCACCUUUAAAACAUUUUAUUCUAAAAUAAUUAGUUUUGGUCCACGAACUAAAAGAACGGGUUCGGGAGUCGGUUACAUACGAGGAAGGAUUAGCACCCUCGUAACGCCCAAAAAAUUGGUACCUAAUUGAUUAUCAAAUGUCUUUAAUGACGGAAAUUUUAAAAAAAAAAAAAGAAAAAAAAUUUUAAGAUGUAGUCCUCUUUAAAAUAUUUUAACUUUGAAAAUUGAGAUUCACUCGUGUCAAAGUAUUGACAUUAAGUUAACCUUUUUUGAAAUUCCUAUCUCGAAACAGCAAAACGCUAUAUGCAAUAAGUUAGGACAUAUUGCUUUGAAAUUCCAAGAUACUGGCUUGCAUUUAGAAAACCUUUAAAAAACUUAGAAGGGUGCUUAAUUAUUCGAAUUCAACGAGAAAAGUGGUAACCCAAUAAGUUAGGGCACUACUUUCUCGAAAUUUCCAAACACUAAGCAUCGUCUUAUUUGUAACAAAAAAAAAAUCUUAUCUCGAGGUAAUAAGAUGUCAUAUCCAGUGAGUUAGGACACAACACCUCAAAUAUCAGAGAGUAAGUAUUUUAUUUAACACUCGUAUUAUGAUUUAAAAGAAUAUGCCAUUAUUUAGGUUAAACGUGAGAGAAAAAAAUCGAAAUCCAGUAAGUUAGGGCACGAUUGUCUCGGAUUACCAAAUACGAAAUAUUUACUUUAGUGAAAGAAUCACUAUCGGGUUGGAUAAAACCUAAAUUCGUAAUGAAACGAGAUAAUAAAUAAUGCAUAACAAAUAAAAAUUGAUAACCAUAACAGGAUAAACAUAAACACAAAUAUGAAUACUAACGAUAAAUACGAAGGUAAGAUAAAUGAGUCGAAUAAAUAAUAAGAAAGGGAAAUAAUGAAUAAGCUAAAUGUUUGAAAUUAUUUUAAAAAAAACUAUAAAUAGAAUAGAUGAUGAAAUAAUAAUAAAAGUAAUGAUAUGUAAAUAAAAUAAAUAUGCUAAAAAAUAUACAGUUAUCAAAUUAGUUAAUAUAAAAUAAUAACGUAUAAGUAAAUACAAAAAUAAAGGAAAAUAUAAUAACAAUAAUAAAAAAUACAACAAUAAUAAUAGUGAAAGAUAUAAUAACAUAAUAAUAUAAUAGUAAUAGUAACAAUACGACGAUAAUAGUAAAAAAAAUAUAUUAAAUAAUAGUAAUAAAAGUAGUGCUAAUAAUAAUAAUAAUAAUAAUCUAUUAAGUUAUAAUGAAAAUAAUGAUAAUGAUGAUAUAUUAGAUAAUAAUAGUAAAAUAAUAAGUAACAAUAAUAAAUUAUAAUAAUAGUGAUGAGAAUAACAAGUGAUGAUAAUAACAGUAACAAUAGUAGUAAUAAUAUAUUAGUAAUACAUAAUAGAGGUAGUAAAAAAAUAUAGUAGUUAUAGUAAUAAUAAUAUAAACAGUAGCAUAUAUACGUAUGAAAAAUAAUGAUAGUAAAAUAUAAUAAUAGUAAUAAUAAUAAUGGAGUGAAGGUAAUAAUAAUAUUAAAGUAAAGUAAACAAAAAUAAUAUUAUGUAUCAAUAUAUAUACAUAUAAUGCAAAUACACACUACCAUAUAAUAAUAAUAAUAAUAAUAAUAAUAAUAAUAUUAAAAUGUAGAAAGUAAAUAUGAUAUAAUAAUAAUAUUAAAAUGACGUAAUAAAAAUAAUAUUUAUAUAUAGAAAUGUUCAUACGUACAUAUAUAAUAAACAUACAUUAAUUAAUAGUAAAAACAAUAGAAGUGCUAAUAAUACUAGUAUUAGAAUGAAAUAAGAGAUAAAUGCAAACAUAAUAAUAUAAAUAAGGUAAACAGAAACAAUAAAAAAAUAAUAGGAAGGACAUAAUCGAAUCUGAGAGCAAUAUUUUGGGGCAAAUCCGUAAUAAAUAAAAAAAGAGGGGAUUCAUUCGCACACGCAAAUAACCGGGAAGGACUAAAACGGACAAUAGCCCUUGGACCCAAAACGCGCAGCUUUGAUUCUAUCCCUUAUUUCUUACUACGAUUGGAGUGAAUAUAAUGAAACCCUUUGAACCUUUUUGAUUACUAUUGAUAUACUGAUUUUUUGUUCUUGAAUCUCAAAAAAAGAAAAAUCCCCUUUUGAAUCUCAAAAAAAAAAAUCUCUUCUUGAAUCUCAAAAAAAAAAUCUAUUCUCUCCAAAAUACAAUAGAUUCCUCUCUCCAAUCCCCCCCUUUGUUACAAUAAACAUAGGGCUCUUUUAUAGCCCAAAAUCCAAAGAAAAAAAAUACAAAGAAUUUCAUUUUCUAUUGUUUUUCUUUGCUGCCCUUUUUUGUCUUCUUUUGCAGGUAUGGAGUGGUGGAGAAGUGUUAUUUGCACUAUCAAUGCAACUAGAGUAGUGGGAUUAGGUGAUUUAGGGUUUUUUUUAUUUUGGGUAUUGGGCUAAUUGGGCUAGGGUUAGGUAUUUGGUUUGGGUUUAGUAUUUAUUUAUUUGGUUUAUUGGGCCCCGGGCAAAAUUUGGGCCAUACAGCUGCCCCUCUUUGCUUGUUGUUGUGUAACAAGAACAGAGCAAAGACUAUAAAAGGACCAAUUUUGCCCGGGCUCGCCGAGUCUUGAGUUCUUGAUCUGCUUCUUCGAUCUGUUCCCCAUAAACACAGGGAUGCCAAAUCUGCUAUCUUCAACUUGUUCCCUAUAAGCACAGGGAUUCCAUGCUGAAAUUUUCGAUCUGCUUCACCAUAAGCACAGGAAUGUCAGAUCUGCUAUCUUCGAUCUGUUCCCUAUAAGCACAGGGAUGCCAAAUCUGCUGUUUUUAACUUGUUCCCUGACAAUACGGAGAUGCCAAAUCAUCUUAGAUCUGCUUCAAUGAAAUCAUCUGAAGGUUGGAUCUGCUAUGUAUCUGCUCUCCAUCGAAAUGGAGAUGCCAGAUCUAUUAUCUUGGAUCUGCUUUGGUGUGGGAACAUCUGAAAGUCAAAUCUGCUAUGUUUUCGAUUUGUUCUUUGUAAGCACAAGGAUGCCAAAUCAUCUUGGAUCUUGCUUUAGUAUAAACAUCUGAAGGUUAGAUCUGCUAUGUAUCUGCUCUCCAUUGAAGUGGAGAUACCAGACUUCGAUUUGUUCUCUGACAAUACAGAGACUACAAAUCAUCUUAGAUUUGCUUCAUCGUAAUCACGUGAAAGCCAAAUCAGCUAUGUCUUCGAUUUGUUCCUUAUAAGCACAAGGAUGCCAAACCAUCUUGGAUCUGCUUCAGUGAAAUCAUCUGAAGGCGAGAUCUGCUAUGUGUCUGCUCUCCAUCAAAGUGAAGAUGCCAAACUUCGAUUCGUUCUCUGACAAUACAGAGACGAUAAAUCAUCUUAGAGUUGCUUCAUCGUAAUCACGUGAAAGCCAAAUCAGCUAUGUCUUCGAUUUGUUCCUUGUAAACACAAGGAUGCCAAACCAUCUUGGAUCUGCUUCAGUGAAAUCAUCUGAAGGUGAGAUCUGCUAUGUGUCUGCUCUCCAUCAAAGUGAAGAUGCCAAACUUCGAUUUGUUAUCUGACAAUACAGAGACGACAAAUCAUCUUAGAUUUGUUUCAUCGUAAUCACGUGAAAGCCAAAUCAGCUAUGUCUUCGAUUUGCUCCUUGUAAACACAAGGAUGCCAAACCAUCUUGGAUCUGCUUCAGUGAAAUCAUCUGAAGGUGAGAUAUGCUAUGUGUCUGCUCUCCAUCAAAGUGAAGAUGCCAAACUUCGAUUUGUUCUCUGACAAUACAGAGACGACAAAUCAUCUUAGAUUUGCUUCAUCGUAAUCACGUGAAAGCCAAAUCAGCUAUAGCCAAAUCAGCUAUGUCUUCGAUUUGCUCCUUGUAAACACAAGGAUGCCAAACCAUCUUGGAUCUGCUUCAGUAUAACAUCUGUAGGCCAGAUUUGUUAUGCUGCGGCCUAUUACCCUACAGCUUAAGGGAUUAAGGCGCGUCAUCCUGUAGAAUGAUUAUGCCUGAUAAUUAGGAUGUCAUGAUAAAAAAGAGUCGAAUGUUCCUAAUUAAACAUGUUAUGAUGCAAAAUUUUACGAAUAUGACCCCAAUCCUAGACAUCACCACUCAUUCCUUCAUUUAUUUUUUCAAAGCAUUAUUCUUGCUCAACCUGUAGGUCUGUACCCUUCCUCCAAUGCUACGAUCCACUGAGGAUGUUUGUAAAAUAAUCUUUUCUUAAAAUUGAAUCAUUGAUUUUGUUCAUUUUCCCUUUAGACUGGAUGAAAGAAAUUCCUCGCGUUCCUUCAUCUUUUACUUACGUGAAUUUCUCAAACAAUUGUCCUGUUUUAGUUUCUUGUAUUGUCUAGAAAUUUCAGAGUAAUGCACAAAACUUCGUUUGUAAACAUAUUUAGUUCAUCUAUCAUUAUUUCAAUGCAACAUGGAAGAUGAAUAAAUCUUUAAGAAUAAUUGGAUUUGAAUGAAUUAAGAAGAAAGAAUACAAAGGAAAUUAAUCUGAAGGCUUAUCUUUAGGAAGGAAUAGAAUCUAAAGAUGGAAAAUAAGAUAGAAGUUAGAUCCUCCAGAUAUCACCGCUUGAGUGCCUAUACACCAGCUCCAUGAAGUCUUUCUUGAGUUCAAAAUGUGUUUAAAAGAUCCCAAGUACUCUGUUGAUGCCCCAGUUUGUAGCAUUCUUUGCUCUUUGCAACAAGAUCACUGUGUACUCUUCAAAAUUUGAGCUGCCCUUACAGGUUUUCAACUCAAAACCCUUUUGGACACAAGGUGCCCUUUGCGAGUUUUCACCUUGGCCUCUCCGUUUUUGAUUUUUUUUCAAGGCGCCCUUUGCGGGUUUUCACCUUAGAUUCUCUUCUUCUUUAGACAAAGUAUUUUUUAACUGAGUCCGAGUUCACUGGAUUAGGUAAACUUUUCUCAUCCAUUUCUACUAAGAUCAAUGCACCAUCGGAGAAAGCUUUCUUCACGACAUACGGCCCUUCCCAAUUCGGUAUCCAUUUUCCUCCAAAAUCCUUUUGAAUAAGAAGGAUCUUUUUCAGUACAAGGUCUCCCUCAUGGAAUUCUCUUGGUCGAACUUUCUUGUCAUAAGCUCGCAUCAUUCGCUUCUGAUACAUUUGACUAUGUCGAAUGGCUUUUAGCCUCUUUUCUUCAAUCAAGUUUAACUGGUCAUACCGGGAUUGAACCCACUCAGCUUCAUCUAACUUUACUUCUGUCAAAUUCGAAGAGAAGGUAUUUCUACUUCAAUAGGUAAUACUGCUUCCAUCCCGUAAACUAACGAGAAUGGAGUUGCCCCAGUAGAGGUUCUGACAGAUGUUCGAUAGGCCAGGAGUGCAAACGGUAACUUCUCAUGCCAAUCUCUAUAGGUCUCAGUCAUCUUCUCCACUAUUUUCUUAAUGUUCUUGUUGGCAGCUUCUACUGCCCCAUUCAUUUUUGGACGAUAGGGGGAAGAAUUGUGAUGCUUAAUCUUGAACUGGUCGCAAACUUCUGCUAUCAUUUUGUUGUUCAAGUUCAAUGCAUUGCCUGAUAUGAUCCUUUCAAGCAUCCCAUAUCGACAAAUGAUCUCUUUCUUUAAAAAUCGACUCACAGCCGACUUAGUAACAUUUGCGUAAGAAGUGGCCUCUACCCAUUUUAUGAAGUAGUCAAUUACUACAAAGAUAAAUCGAUGUCCAUUCGAAGCUCUCGGUGAUAUUGGUCCAAUGACAUCCAUGCCCCACAUGGAAAAGGGCCAUGGAGAAGUCAUAACAUGUAAAGGUGAAGGUGGUACAUGUAUCUUGUCUCCAUAAAUCUGACAUUUAUGACAUUUCUUGGCGUAGUUGAUAUAAUCCCCUUCCAUGGUAGACCAAUAACAUCCAAAUCUCAUGAUUUGUCUAGCCAUCGUGAACCCAUUUGCAUGUGUCCCGCAUACGCCUUCAUGAACUUCUUCUAAAAUUAGCUUAGCUUCCAUAGCAUCAACACAUCUCAAAAGUACCUGGUCUUUCCUUCUCUUGUACAGGAUAUCCCCGUCCAAGACAUAGUCGCAAGCUAGCCUUCUCAACGUUCGUUUGUCAUUUUCAUUGGUCGACUCAGGGUAUUUACGAUCCCUCACAUAUCGUAAUAUAUCCUGAUAACAAGGGUUAUCAUCCUCUUAUUCCUUCUCAAUGUUGCAACAAUGUGCUGGAGCCUCGUAGACACUCAUUUGAAUUGGUUUUAUCUCUUAUUCUUUAUUCGCCUUAAUCAUUGAGGCCAAGGUUGCUAAAGCAUCUGCCAUCUGAUUUUCGUCUCGUGGGAGAUAAUUGAAGGUGAUGUCAUCAAACUCCUCAAGUAACCCCAAGACUACCUUUCGAUAAUUAAUCAAUUUAGGGUCCCUUGUUUCCUAUUCACCUCUAAGAUGAUAAACAACCAACGCCGAAUCUCCAUAUACUUCUAGGGUUUUUAUACCUCGCUCUAUAGCUGCUUGAAGUCCCAUGAUGCAUGCUUCAUAUUCAGCCAUAUUGUUUGUGCAAUCAAAGUCUAACUUGCACAUAAAAGGAUAAUGAUCGCCAUUCGGAGAUACCAAGAUUGCCCCAAUUCCAUUUCUGACUGCAUUAGAAGCUCCAUCAAAAUUAAGCCUCCAAGAAGAAUUUUCAGUCAUUGCUAUACACAUCAACUCCUCAUUUGGAAAAUCGAAGUUCAAUGGCUCAUAAUCCUCUAGAGCCCUACUGGCCAAGAAAUCUGCUACCGCACUUUCUUUUAUAACCUUCUGACUUAUGUAGAUUAUAUCAAAUUCUGAAAGCAAAAUUGGCCAUCUCGCCAUUCUUCCAUUCAGAGCCGUUGACUCCAUCAUGUAUUUCAAUAGAUCAAGCUUUGAGAUGAGCCAAGUGGUAUGGUAUAGCAUGUACUGUCUUAAUCUCCGAGUUGUCCAAAUCAGAGCACAACAUAACUUUUCAAUCGGUGAAUAUCUCAUCUCACAGUCAGUGAAUUUCUUACUGAGAUAAUAGAUUGCCUUCUCCUUUUUUCCUGACUCAUCAUGCUGACCAAGUACACAUCCCAUAGAAUUACUGAACACUGAUAAGUACAGUAUUAAUGGUUUAUCUGGGUUGGGUGGAGACAAUACCGGAGCAUUCAAAAAAUAUUGCUUGACCUUUUCAAAAGCAUUCUGGCAUUCCCCAUCCCAAAUACCUUGAUUGUGCUUUCUGAGGAGGUGAAAGAUAGGAUCACAUUUCUCGGUUAGUUGUGAAAUGAACCGAGCAAUGGAAUUCAACCUUCCUAGAAAUCCUCGAACUUCUUUUUGAGUACGUGGUGGAGGUAAUUCUCGUAUGGCUCUGACCUUGUCUGAGUCGACUUCAUUUCCUUUUUCACUGACUACGAAGCCUAACAACUUUCCGGAUCUGGCUCCAAAGGUACACUUUGCUGGAUUGAGCUUCAACUGAAAUUUUCUCAACCUUACAAACAAUCUUCUCAAGACCUCAAUAUGCUCUUUUUCCGUACGUGACUUGGCAAUCAUAUCAUCGACGUAUACCUCAAUAUCCUUAUGCUUCAUGUCAUGGAACAAGUUAACCAUGGCCCUUUGGUACGUUGCCCCUGCGUUUUUUAGUCCAAAUGGCAUUACUUUAUAGCAAAAGGUGCCCCACAAGGUUAUAAAGGUGGUUUUAUCCAUGUCCUCUCGAUGUAUCUUUAUCUGGUUGUAUCCUGAGAAACCAUCCAUAAAGGAGAAUAAUGAAUAUCCCGCUGUGUUAUCUACUAAAGUGUCAAUGUGGGGUAAAGGAAAAUUAUCCUUUGGGCUUGCUUUAUUCAAGUCUCUGUAAUCAACACACAUUCAUACUUUUCCAUCCUUCUUAGGAACAGGCACAAUGUUAGCUACCCAUUCGGAGUACUUUACUUCUUGCAAGAAUCCCGUAUCAAACUGCUUCUUGACUUCGUCCUUUAUUUUCAAAACGAUAUCUGGCCUCAUUCUUCGCAACUUCUGUUGGACUGGCUUACAAUCCUAUCUUAUCGGAAGACGAUAUACCACAAUGUCAGUACUCAAUCCAAGCAUAUCCUGAUAUGACCAGGCGAAGAUAUCUUUAAACUCUCGAAGUAACUCAAUCAGACCAUGCCUUGUGUCCACGCCAAUUAGGGUUCCGAUUUUCAACUCCUUCCCUUCCUCUAGGGCUAUAUUCUCUAUUGCCUCUUUCUCAUGUGGCAUGAUUUGCUUCUCCUCCUGCUUAACCAUUCUUAACAGAUCGAAAGAUACGUCACAAUCUUGAACAUCUUCAAAAUCCUGAGGUUCCUCUAAACCCAUAUCUUGCUCGCUAGAGAAAUUAGGAGCUGUAGUAUCAGCGCUCAUAUCAUUGAUAUCUAGAGACCUGUGGGGGUAUGAAAGAAUAUACAAAGAAUGAAUGAAUCGAAGAAUGAUUGUUUAUGUGCUAUGAAUAAAAGAAUAAGAAUUGCUAGAAUUUGAAGGAAUAUUGGUCGAUAAAAAUAGAACAAUACUCAUUUAAAUUGAUAAAAAGUUAUGUUUUAUUUAAAUAAUUAUAGAUGAACAUAAGCCUAUUUCUAGAGUAACAGACAUGUUUUGAAAAUUACUCUGAAAAAUUCCUAAAGACUACAGGAAGGUCUUCCGCAGUCCAAUUAUUCAGAGAGCUCCCCGGUUCGUAAGGGCGAAUGCCUUCGAGGCUUCCUUGCUCCGAUCCUUCAUUGUGCACAGCAUUAACUUGAUGACUUUCCUUUAUCAGCAGUCCUCCUGAUUUGAAGGAUUUGGAUAUAAGUGGGAAUGUCAUCGGUUCCCACUCCACUUCUCUUCCAUUCAAACGCACCUUUCUUCUCGCUUGGCGCUUCUCUAUUUCCUGCCUCUUGUGCUUGUGGUCUGGCUUGAAGCCCAAGCCAAAGCGGUCCUUCUUCUCAAUCAGUUUUGGGAUUUGAACCCCUCCUUGCAACUGUCUUCCUAGCCCUUUUUCGGGCAAUACUCCUUUCUCCAUCAUCAUUCGUAGGGCCAUCCUUGUGGCUCCAGACAUUUUGGGUACCGGCACUUCGCUUCCUUCCAAAAUGAAGGUGGCAUUAAUGACCUCUAAAGAGUGGAAAGAACAUUCAAUUGCCUCUUCAUUUGCCUCAACAUAAGGGGCCUUACUGGUAACUGCGGCUAUGAUGUCCUCUUCCGCAUUGAUGGUUAUUAAGCGACCAUCUGUCACUAACUUUAAUUUUUGGUGCAAUAAAGAGGGCACCGCUCCUGCCGAGUGUAUCCAUGGUCUCCCCAAUAAACAAUUGUAGGAGGGCUUGAUAUCCAUUACUAAGAAAUCAACUUCAUAUGUAUUCGGCCCAAUCUUCAGAGGGAUGUCAAUUCGUCCCAUUACUUUUCUUUCAGUUCCAUCAAAGACUCUUACCACAUUAUGACACGUUUUCAUAUGCGAACUGUCAAUGGGCAAUCUGUUCAGGGUGGAUAGCGGUAGGACGUUCAAAGCAGACCCAUUAUCCACGAGUACACUUAGAAGUGUGUAUCCUUUGUACCGAGUAGUGAUGUGUAGGGCUUUGGUUGACCCUAUGCCCCCAGGUGGAAUUUCAUCAUUAUUAAAAUAAAUGAAAUUGUCAGAACUAAUGUUGUUUACUAACCGGUCUAGCUUGUUAACGGAUAUGUCAUGGGUAACAUAUGUUUCGUUAAGCACCUUUAACAAUGCAUCUCGAUGCACCUCAGAAUUCAAGAGUAGGGCUAACACUGAUAUACGCGCCGGCUGCUUGCGCAACUGCUCGACCACGCUAUACUCGCUAUGUUUCAGGAAUUUUAGAAACUCCUUAGCCUCUUCCUCCUUUACCAGCUCAUUGAUGAGUACUUCAGUCUCCUUCUCCCUUUCAGCCUCGACAUCUUUUGUCUUUGCGGGCUCUACUAUGAUAUUCCCCCGUCAUAACAUUUCUCACUUCGUGUAUGAGAACCUUCAUUUUGCGUGCCCCUGGAUGCGCUAGCUAUACUCUCCCCCUCAGGUAUUGUUAUAUUGCAGUCAUAGCUCCAUGGCACCCUCUUGUCAUCCUUAUAAGGGAAAGGAUUAGGUUUAUGGAUGACUAUUUUGGGCCUAGUUUGCGACCCCUCCUCAUUAUUCCCUGGCAAGGAAAUAAUAAUUCUUGGUUGGUUGGUUCUUUAUCGUUCAUUCUCCAGCACACAUAUUUGUCUUUCAUAAGAACUACCUUCAGAAACCUGCAACUCUUUGUUAACUAUAAGGCCUUGUACCAUGACCUUGAACUCUUCACAAUUUUGGAUCAUAUGACCCACUUCCCCAUGGAACUCACAAUGGUUCUUUAUUCCUUCUCCUCCUUUUCUAGAGGUCAGUAUACAUCUCUUCACCAUCUCCUCCCAUAUUACCUUCAUAGGUGUCUUCACCUCAGCAAUGUCUUCCUUGAUUUUUCUUUUCUUUGUUUCAUCAAUGGCAUUCACUCCUUGAUUGCCAUGAUUCGGUAAUGAAUUUUUGGCAUUAGAGGUACUGUCGAAUUUUCCAACCCCCAUCUUGAUAAGCCUCUCUACGGCCUUCUUGAAUUCUGUGCAGUUUUUGAUCGAAUGCCCCGAUAUUCCCGCAUGAUAUUCGCACUUAGCAUUUGCACCAUACCAUCUGGGGUACGGUGGCUGUAGUGGUUUCAAGUAAAAUGGAGCAAUGGCAUGUGCAUCAUACAAGCUUUGAUAAAGCUCACGAUACGUCACAGGGAUAGGCGUAAAUUGCAUUCUUUCCGAAUUUUGUCUUAUGCCCGAUUCCUGUCUUUGGGUAUUUUGUUGUUCGACAAUAGCUGCUUUGGGUUGACCAACUGUGAUUGCCCUCGAGUUGAGACUAUUCACCUCAUUGUCCUUUCUCUUUGGGGCCGAUCUUUUAGCCACUUCCCCCUCGAUUUUACCGCCUCUCACGGCAUUCUCAAUCAUCUCACCCGCUAUAACUAUAUCUGCGAAACUUUUUGUGGUACUUCCAAUCAUAUGUGUGAUGAAUGGCGCCUUCAAAGUAUUAAUAAAUAACAUGGUGGUUUUCUUUUCUAACAAUGGUGGUUGUACUUGCAUUGCCACCUCCCUCCAUCGUUGUGCAUAUUGCCUAAAACUUUCAUUAGGUUUUUUCUCCAUGUUUUGAAGCGUGAUCCUAUCUGGCGUCAUAUCAGUCACAUGGUUAUACUGUUGCAUGAAAGCUUGUGCAAGAUCUCUCCAUGAAUUGAUUCUUGCACGGCUCAACUGAUUGUACCACCUAGCCGCCACUCCCACUAGGCUAUCUUGAAAACAAUGGAUCAAUAGUUGAUCGUUGUUCACAUAACCAGUCAUUCUUCUACAAAACAUUGUUAUAUGUGCCUCUGGGCAAGUAGUCCCGUUGUACUUUUCAAACUCUGGCAUCUUAAAUUUAUGAGGAAGCACCAAAUCUGGAACCAAACUUAAGUCUUUGGCAUCAAUUCCAUGAUGAUUGCCAGCGCCUUCUAAAACCCUAAACUUCUCCUCUAACCACCUGCAAUGAUCUUCCAAUUUUUCUGAGGAUUCAGUGGCCAUUCUUUCCUUCUCCAUUAAAUCCAGAUCAGGAGUAAUAGGGUUGAUCGAGCUAUCACCCAAAUUAUUUCCCAACCCAGAUGGGAAAUUUAUGGGGAUUCUAGCAUCCACUGGCCCAUAUUGAGGCCUUACUGUGACAGAUGGCCUUCUAGGAGGUGCCUCGGUUUGUAGGGGCACAUGAGGCGGAGUAAAACCCGGAGGAGGACCUUCAUUAUCCUCUUCAGUGAUCGCCAUGAGAGCUUUUCCUUUAUCAGUGGCUCUCAGCAGCUGAACCAUUUCAGCCAUCAUGUUUCUCUGAGCCUCUAGCAUCUGCUCCCUCAUUUCAUUCUGUAUUUUGGCCAACUGCUCUUACAUUUGAUCUUGCAUAUCUUUUUGUAAUUGCUCAAACCUUUGAUCCAUGUUCUUAGUUUUAGUACGAGUGCCGUAAGGAUGUGUGAUUUCCAGAUUUUCUUUUCUACCUCUCUCUUUUCUACCUCUCUGGAAAGUAAACUUUAACUAAUCAGGGUCUUUCUAUAAUUUUGAAUGCAAAUGAUGUGAUGAAAUGUUAUGAGAUGCAAAUGCAUGAAUGCAAAAAGAAUAUCGAUUCUGGUUCAACUUCAUUUAGAAAAUUUUAUUUAGAAAAAGAAUAUCUUUACAUAUAAGAGGAUUACAAAUACGAUUUCGCCCUAAGGCCCAAAGCUUUAACUCUAUCUAAUAAAAGGGCUAACUUUCGUCCUACAUCCGACGAUGAUGAAUACAUCAGACUCAAUACGUCAGCUCGAAUUGCCAAGUCUUGCACAUACUCAGCAACCUCUCGAAUCUGAGCUAUGGCUUCACCAAUGACAUGAUCCCUUUUUCUGACCUGUUCUUUAGCCUGAUGUAGCUCUCCCCUCAGAUAAUCCUCUUGCGCCUUGAGCUGCUCAACCUGGAGUUCACCUUCAUGCAAUGCCACCUCCAAAUCUUCAACCUUGCUUUUUAGCUCCUUUAACUCGACCAUAGAAUUAUGGUUUUGGUGCCAACGCAGGGAUUUUCCAAGUUCUAUUACAUUGGUCUUCAAUCCUUUAUUCUCUUCCUCUAAUGUCAAAUUCUGCCCCUGCAUUUUUUGGAAUUUCCUCUCCCAGUACUCGGCUCUAUCCUUUUCUUCUUGAACCUCCUUCUGCCACUGAUUCGAAGAUCCUCCUACUCUCGCCCUCCUCAAGGCUACUUGUGUCCUUUUGUAAUGCUCCCUUAGAUCAUCUCGAUCUUCCUCAAUCUUCCUUUUUUCUUUCCUCUCUUUCUCGACUUCCAUCUUUUGAACAUCAACGUCCAAACUCAAGUACAUCUUUUCUUCUUCGAGCUUUGAUAUCCUCCUCUCGAACUCCAAGCUUUGUCUCUCGAACUCAUGUUUCAUAAUUUCUAACUCUGAGGGCCUUACUUGCAAAUACUCCUCCAUUGGUCGAUCUCCUUCCAUACUUGGCUUAGGGAUAUUAUCAUUAACUCUUCUACCUCUCCAUUCUAUGUAUUCCCGUGUCGUAGCGGGGCUAAUAGCUUUUCCUCUCAAUCGAAAAGUCUUCUUCCAAGCACUAGAAACUUCACUAACCCUCCUCUUGUAAUCGGCUCCUCUAUAUACAAACUCACUUUGAGCCAACCCCUGAGUCACUGGUAUGAACUGUCUCAAUCCAUGCUGCCUCAGUACGAGCAAAGGGGCAUAGCCAAUGGCACCCCAAAUCCCCAAUAAGGGUACCCAAUCAAAACUACCGCAUCGGUAAAGAAUCUCACCAGGCAUCAUCCACGAAGCCCUCCACUCGACAUCUUACGACUGAAGGUUCUGAAGUAACACUAUCCAAUUCUCUUCUGGAACAUCAACUCUCCUGGUUGAAGCUACUAUAUCUUUCAACGAUGAAUAAUCCUCAAAGUAAACCCGACAAACCACCUUAUCUAUCAACCGGAAAUGACUGUAGAACCAAGCCAAAAGCAACUGAGCACACCCUAUAAACCUGCCAGCACCAGCCCUCCUACAUGCACCUAAAGACCUAAAUGUUUCCGCCAAAAUUGCAGGGACAGAAGUGACCUUUUUACUGAGUCGAUGAAAAAGAUCCGUGGUUGCCUCAUCCACAUAUCCCAAAGCCCUAGGGAAGACCAUCAAUCCAUAUAAACUUAGGGCAAAAACAUCUAUCUUCUUUGUCUCAUCAGGGUGUGUCAGAAUCAAAUCUUUCAAAGCAUCCCACGAAAUGCACUUGCACUCACCCUUUUCUUUAAUUCUGGUCGUGGCCCACUGCUCGCUCAUCCCCGUAAUAAUCAUCAAUUUCUUCCAAAAGGUAGGGACACAAGGAGCUCGGGAAUAGAUCCUAUCAUUCUGAAAUCGGGGACAACGAAGUAAAUCAGUGUACUCUUCACAGUAGGUACCAUGUCUACUUCCCCAAAAGUGAAGCAACUAUAUGCCGGGUUCCAAAACUGAGCAAGGGCUCCGAAUAAGUGCUCGUCUAUCUGAACAUCAAGCAAGUAAGGUAAGUCUCUAUAGUUACCGUAGAAUAAUUGCUUAGUCUCUUUGCCCCACUAAUCCCAAAUUUCCUUAAGCUCUUGGAGAUUAUUCUGUGUGACACUUAUACGAGUAUAAUCUGGCAGCUCCGACACAUAUCCUAUAGCUAUACUGUCUCCCUUUUCUAGUUGAGUUUGCUCGGACCAUCUGUGAACGUUAACGUUGCCUUCCACUUUAUCAAGAAGUCCGUUCUCCAUAAUAAAACUUCCUAACUUAGAAACUGACCAGGAACCGAUAUCUUUGUAAAUGCAAAAUGACAUGCAAGUAAAAGAAAAGAGAUAGUCAGUAACACAUGAUAUCAAUAAAUUUCAACAAUAACUUAUAAGGGUAAUGUCUAAGUUGGGCUUAUACGGUCCUUCGACAUGGGGUUGGUUCUAAAGUUUGAGGUACCCGAACCAACAGAUUCCUCGAUCCUCACCCAUUAUAGGCUCAUUUGAAUCGAGUUCAGUUCAGGGGAAUACAUUUCCCUAUGGCUACACGGAGAUGAAAAUCUCACGAAACUAUAGGUAAGGAUGUAUACCGAAAGUGAUCCACUAUCCUGCACGGAGGCGAAAACCUCACGAAGGCGUAGCUUUUCACUCCCACUUAAGAGUGUGACCACAACGGUCAUGCAAAUGCAAUUCUGUGAUGCCCCCUUUACCCGAGACCGUCGCUGGAGUCGAGCACGAGGCAUUACUAAACUUAUUUGAGCACUUAAACAAAUUUAAACAAUUUAUAUCACACUUUCCAGACAAGCUGUCCAACUGCAUUACAGAUGCAAAAAAAAUCAUAUCUCAAGUUACAAAUCUCGAAAUCAAAAUCUGUAAAUUUUCCCCAAAUCUAGGCUCAUAUAUCUACUUACUAAUUUUUUUCUAGAAUUUUUGGUUGGGCCAAUUAGUAGAGUUUAUUAGUUGAAGUCUCCCCUAUUUCAGGGUUCGGCUACUCUAACCCCUGUGUACUACGAACCAAAUUUCUCCAUGUACAGAAUUGAAAUAACCAAGACGUUUGUUUCUCUUAAAAAUAGACUCAAUAAAGAAUCCAUACAUACAUAGUAUGACUCCUAAUUAAUUUUUUUACAAUUUUUAAUGAUUUUUACAAAUCAGAACAGGGGAGUUCAAAAUCACUCUGACCUUGUCUCACAAAAAUUCAAAUAUCUCCUGAUAUGAAAGCCUUUUGCUUACACCGUUUCUUCUAUGUGAAAUUAGAUUAAAUAAGAUUUAAUUUCAUAUUUUAUUCAACCUCUAAUUAGAUUUUCAUGAUUUAUGGUAAAUUUUCAAACUCAAACUACUGCUACUAACCAAAAACUGUUUUAGUACAAAAUGUUGUUAACUAGUUUAUAACAUCUUUACUUCAUUUCAUUUAAACUCUAUACAUUUCAAACAUAAAACAAAAGCUACCGGAAUUGAUCUGGAUAGUGUGCUUUGUUGUGUUGAUCCGAUCUACCCACUUCACUUCAAGUCAAUCUACAUAAAAAUAUUAAACACACACAAGUAAGCUUAUUGAAGCUUAGUAAGUUCAUAGGUUAAAAGUAAUGCUUACCAAACAUAACAUUUCCAAACAAUACCAAAACAUUUACUAAAGUUUCCUGCGAUUCACAACCAUUGUUAUAAUACUUCACAUAGUUGAGCUCAACAGUAACAACUACUCAAUCUCUUUCAUUUGGAUCACUUCUCUUUUAUUUCUUAUAAUCAAAUUAGGAAACGGCUUACGAAAUUGAGUACGUCGUUGCUCAAUGCCACGAUUCACAACUCAGUAUGGUUUUCCUCAUUGAAAUACCAUACCUACAUUUUUCAACUCGGUAUGGGAAAUGCCAUACCUACAUUUCUUAACUCAGUAUGGAUUUGAUAAUACCAUACCUACAUUUCAUAGCUCAGUAUGGAUAAUACCAUACCUACAUUUCACAACUCAGUAUGGAUGAUACCAUACCUACAUUUCACACUUUUCCAUGGAACAACCAUGGUCUUAUCCGUCAAUUCAUCACACGUCACGAUACGAACGUACUCAAUCCUGCGUUUUUCCUAAUUUGCAUUUCCACAUUUAUUCUUUCAUUAACAAAAUCUACACAAUCCCACAACAAAUUUGUAUAUAAUAACACAUUAUAAACUUCAAUCAUUCACAAAUAAACAUCUAAAUUCAACCAUAUGAACUUACCCGGCUAAUUUGUAGAAGAUAUUGAAAUUUAGGGACUAUUCCGCAACUUUUUCUUUUCCUCGUUCUUCUUUGGAUUCUUGAUCUAUAAUAUAAAAUAUUUCUACUCAUUAGCAUUUAUUUGAUUUCUAUUUCACUUCACAAUUUAUGCUGUUCAAAUUUCAAAAUUGCACUUUUACCCCAUAAUUUACAGUUUUCACAAUUUAGUCCCUGCUCAAUUCACCCAUCAAUUGAACUAAUUUUUCUCAAUUAACACUUUAUUUUAUCAUUAUAAACUAUUUCAAAACCUUUUAUAUUCUGAAUUUCAACAGCAACCUUCAAUUCACAACUUUUUCACAAUUAGGUCCUAAAUAUCAUUUCCUAUCAAAAUCACUUAAUAAAACCACCUUAAUAUGAAAUUAGAACUUAAAUUUCAUAAUAAUUCAUCAUAAACUUCCCUUAUCCAUCCAGGGUAACUUCCAAUUUCACCCAUAAAAUCAAAAACUAAUGAAUUCUAUAAGUGGACCUAAUUGUAAAAGUCAUAAAAACAUAAAAAUUAUCAAGAGAAAGCAAGAAUUAAACUCACAUGAUGUAAAAAUAUGAAAAACCAGCUUUCUCCAGACCUUCUAUGGCGUUUUGGCUGAGAAAAUAUGAAGAAAUGUCUAGAUUUUUCAAUUACAUCAUUAUUUAACUAUUAACUUUUAUGCUAUUUCCAAUUUUGCCCCUUGUUCACAUUGUUUUCUUGCUUAUUUCAUACCCAAACCGUCCAGCCAUUAACCUUUGGGUCUAAUUGCUCUUUAAAUCCAUAUUUUUAAAUACUUAAGCUAUUUACUCACAAUUUAACAAAUUUUGCGCUAUUUUCAAUUUAGUCCUUUUUAAUUAAUUAGCCAUCCAAACGUUAAAAUUUUCUAACGAAACUUUAAUACUAACUCAAUGACACUCCAUAAAUAUUUAUAAAAAUAUUUAUAGCUCGAUUUUCAAAUUUGAGGUCUCGAUACCUCAUUUUUGACCCGUUUGACCUAAUAAAUUCUUUUAAUUCACUAAUUUCACCAUUUCACAAAUUCUUCUAAAUUCUUACUUCACUCAUAAAUAUUAAAUUACUAUCUUGUUCAAUCUUAUUUGUCGUAUUUAGUGAUCUCAAAUCACCAUUUCCGACACCACUGAAAAUUAGGCCGUUACAACUCCCCCCUUUUAAAAAUUUCGUCCUCGAAAUUUGUUACCUGAAAAUAGAUUUGGAUACUGUGAUCUCAUUGACUCCUCUGUUUCCCAGGUUGCCUCCUCCAUACCAUGUCGAUGCCAUAAUACUUUAACCAAUGGUACUCUUUUGUUCCGCAAUUCUUUAACUUCACGAGCCAAAAUCUUCACUGGUUCUUCUGAAUAAGUCAUAUCUGGUUGAAGCUCAAUUUCAGUAUGGGGAAUUACGUGUGAAGGAUCUGACCUAUACUGCCUUAGCAUAGACACAUGAAACACAUUGUGAAUCUUCUCAAGUUCUGGAGGUAAAGCCAAACGAUAAGCCACAGGACCAACCCUUUCCACAAUUUCAUAUGGCCCUAUGAAUCUCAGACUUAAUUUUCCCUUUUUCCCAAAUCGUAACACCCUUUUCCAUGGUGAAACUUUUAAAAAUACUCGAUCACCCACUGCAUAUUCUAUGUCUCUUCGUUUUAAAUCCGCAUAUAACUUUUGACGAUCUGAAGCAGCUUUUAGACUAUCUCAAAUAAUCCAGACUUUCUCUUCGGUUUCUCGAAUCAAAUCAACCCCAACUAUUUUUGAUUCACUCAAUUCAGACCAACACAAUGGAGUCUUGCAUUUUCUACCAUAAAGAGCCUCAAAUGGUGUCAUUUUUAUACUAGACUGAUAGCUAUUGUUGUAAGCAAACUCAGCCAACGGUAAAUACCUUUCCCAACUGUCACCAAACUCGAGUAUACAACAUCUUAACAUAUCUUCUAAAAUUUGAAUCACUCGCUCUGACUGUCCAUCUGUUUGAGGAUGAAAUGCUGUACUAAAAUUCAAUCUGGUGCCUAAAGCUUCUUGCAAUUUAUUCCAAAAUCUUGAAGUAAACCUCGGAUCCCGGUCUGAAAUGAUAGAUAUUGGAACUCCAUGUAGUCUCACAAUCUCUGACACAUACAAUUCUGCUAACUUAUUAAGUGAAAAAUCUGUUCUGACUGGAAUAAAGUGUGCUGACUUUGUCAAUUUAUCAACAAUCACCCAUAUUGAAUCUUUCUUUCUUGGAGUCACAGGCAAUCCUGACACAAAAUCCAUUGAAAUAUGCUUCCACUUCCAUUCAGGAAUCAUAAUGGGUUGUAAUAAACCCGUUGGCACUUGAUGCUCUGCUUUAACUUGCUGGCAAAUCAAACAUUUUGCAAUAAAUUCUGAAAUUUCUCUUUUCAUACCAGGCCACCAAUAUGUCUUUUUCAGAUCACCAUACAUUUUUGUACUACCCGGAUGAAUAGAAUACAUACUAUUAUGUGCUUCAGAAAGAAUAUCAUUCUUUAAAUCAGAAUUAUUUGGAACACAAAUCCUAUUAUGAUAGCGCAAUAUACCUUCAUCAUCAAUACUGAACUCUGAAUCUAAAUUAUCUCGAACCAUUUGCCGUUUCAGCACCAAUUUUGGAUCUUCAUUCUGCAGCUUCUGAAUUUGUUGAAGAAACAUUGGUUUUACCUUCAAUUCUACUAAUACAACACCUUCUUCAUUAAGAGCCAAAUGAGCAUUCAUUGCCCGAAGUGCAAACAAGGAUGACUUUCGACUCAAUGCAUCAGCAACUACAUUAGCUUUCCCUAGAUGAUAGUCAAUAACCAAAUCAUAGUCAUUCAGCAACUCUAACCACCGUCUCUGUCUUAAGUUCAGUUCUUUCUGAGUCAUUAAGUAUUUCAAACUUUUGUGAUUCGUAUACAUAUAACACUUCUCACCAUAUAAAUAGUGUCUCCAAAUUUUUAAGGCAAAAACAAUUGCAGCUAACUCAAGAUCAUGUGUAGGGUAAUUCUUUUCAUGUGGUUUUAAUUGCCGUGAAGCAUAAGCCACCACCUUUCCCGACUGCAUUAACACACAACCCAAACCACUUAAAGAUGCAUCACUGUACACAACAUACGGUAUACCUGAUUCUGGUUGAGUCAAGACUGGAGCUUCUGUUAACAUUUUCUUUAACUGAACAAAGCUCUGCUGACAUUCAUCAGACCACAUAAACUCAACAUUCUUCUGUAAUAAACGAGUCAUUGGUGAAGCAAUCAUGGAAAAAUUCUUUACAAAACGGCGAUAGUAUCCUGCUAAUCCCAGAAAACUUCACACUUCAGUUACAUUCUUCGGUGUUUUCCAAUUCACCACUGCCGAAACUUUACUUGGAUCCACAGGAAUUCCUUCAGCUGAUAUAAUAUGACCCAGAAAUCCAACCUCAUGAAGCCAAAACUCACAUUUACUAAAUUUCGCAUAUAACUGCUUUUCUCUCAAAGUCUGUAGUACAAUUCUCAAGUGCUGUGCAUGUUCGGAUUCUGUCUUUGAAUAGACCAAUAUGUCAUCAAUAAAUACCACCACAAAUCUAUCCAAAUAAGACUGAAAAAUUCGAUUCAUUAAAUCCAUAAAUGCAACAGGGGCAUUCAUUAAACCAAAAGGCAUUACCAAAAAUUCGUAGUGACCAUACUGAGUUCGAAAAGCAGUCUUUGGCACAUCACACUCUUUAACCUUCAGCUGAUAAUACCCAGAUCUAAGGUCUAUUUUUGAGAACACUGCGGCACCUUUCAGUUGAUCAAACAAAUCAUCGAUACGAGGUAAUAGAUAUUUAUUUUUAAUUGUUACCUUGUUCAACUGCCUGUAAUCAAUACACAAUCGCAACGAACCAUCUUUCUUUUUCACAAAUAAGACAGGUGCGCCCCAAGGUGAUGUACUCGGUUUGAUGAACCCUUUAUCCAAUAACUCUUGCAACUGUGUCUUCAACUCUUUUAACUCAGCUGGUGCCAUUCUAUACGGUGUUAUUGAUAUCGGAGCUGUACCCGAAAUUACAUCAAUUGUGAAUUCAACCUCACGAUCUGGGGGUAAACUAGGUAAUUCCUCAGGAAACACAUCAGUAAACUCAUUAACAACUGAAAAUUGUUCCAUCUUCAAUUCAGAACCCCGAGUAUCAAGAAUAUAAGCUAAAAAUGCUUCAUUACCUUUCCGAAUCAAUUUCUGAGCUGUAAAGGCUGAAAUAAUUCUGACAUCAUUCUUUUAAUCCCCAAACUCAGCUGAAACUAUUUCCCCUGUCUGACAUUUUAAAUCAAUCCGUUUUUCUCUACAAUUCACUAUGGCAUCGUGUUCAAUCAACCAAUCCAUUCCAAGAAUAACAUCAAAUUCUCGGAAAGGUAACAACAUUAAAUCAGCAGAGAAUUCACAGCCUUGUAUUUUCAGUGGACAAUUCUGACAUAUUAAAUUAACCAACACACUUUGCCCUAGUGGAUUAGUGACUUGCAAUUCAAGGUCAGUGGACUCAACAGUCAUUUUUUUUCUGACACUAAUGCAGUGCAAAUAUAUGAAUGUGUAGAUCCAGGAUCAAUUAAAGCAUACACAGAAUCAUCAAAAAGAUAGAAAUUACCAGCUAUCACAUCUGGAGCAGAAGCUUCUUCCCUUGCCCGGAUAGCAUAUGUACGUGUAGGUACUAUUGUCUCUAAUCGAGCUGCAGUAUCUCUUGUUCCCGAAUGAACAGUCCCAGCAGCACUACUUUGACCCGAACGUUUACCUUUCUGAAGAGUAUUUGUUUGCUUCUCCCCUUGUUCUCUAUCUUCUUUUAAUAAUUGAGGAUAGUCCCAAAUAAAAUGAUCAGUCCCACCACAUUUAUAGCAAGCUCCGGCUCUUCCCCAACACUCACCAAUAUAAAAUCUACCACAAUUUUUACAUCUAAGUCUCGGAAUAUUUUGCACACUACUAACACUAGCUGCUGGUUUCUUAGUUACUCCAACAUCUUGUUGAGUCGUUUUACUUUUAUUCGAUCGUUCCGGGAUUGUAACAGGUCGACCAGAAUCAUCUCUGAACUUUUUGGCCGAAAAAGUCAAAGUUGGUCUAGAGAAACUUCUUUUGUAUACCUCUUUACCUCUUCUUUCUCUUUGCAUCUUUCUGUUAUACACUUCUUCCAUCUUUUGAGCUCGAUCAGACAGAAUCACAAAUUCUCGAAUCUCUGUACCUCCAAUCAUCAUUCUGAUUUCAUCAUUAAGCCCUUCUUCAAAUCUAAUGCACAUUUCUUCCUCUGUCAGUACAACAUCCCGAGCAUAUCUACUGAGAUACACAAAUUCUCUUUCAUAUUCGGCCACUGUUUUAUUCCCUUAUCGAAGAUCAAGAAAUUCUCUCUUCUUCUUAUCUAAAUAUUUCUUUCCCACAUACUUCUUCUUAAAUUUGUUUUGGAAGAAUUCCCAGGUAAGUUUAUCUGCAGGUACCACUGCCUCAAUGGUUUCCCACCAAUUAUACGCUUCUUCUUUCAAUAGUGAAACUGCACAUCCCAAAUAGUCCUCCGGAGAACACAUCAUCUGUUUAAAAACUCUCUCCAAACUCUUUACCCAAUACUCUGCUUUAACCGGAUCAUCGUCCGAUCUCCCUCGAAAUUCUUCAGCUCCAAACUUUCUGAGUUUUUCAAUUGGUGUUCUUUUGCUAGAUUCAUCUAUUAAAGGAGGAGCAACCGGGGUUGUAACUGGUGGUACAGUAGGGGGAGGAGGAGGUUGUUGUGCCUGACUUCUUCCUUGUAUUGUUUCAUGAUACCACUGAUUCAUUAAUCCGUAAAUCAUAUUUUUAAGUUCUUCCUCUCUCAUCAAAGAAAUCGGGACAUUACCACUUGUUCCCUGCUCAGAAGUCUGUAUUCUACUAUUAACUUCCUCUUCCUGACUAGCACCAUCGGGUCUAUCAGACAUCUUUACAAUCUAUAACAAAAAUUAGUAAUUAGAUCGAAUCAUUCACAUCACACUAUCACGAUUUAUAUGGCAUGUAUUUUUAAACACUUUACACAUCAAAUUCGUUCCGAGAAUCGACUAAACGAAAGCUCUGAUACCAAUAAAUGUAAUGCCCCCUUUACCCGAGACCGUCGCUAGAGUCGAGCACGAGGUAUUACUAAACUUAUUUGAGCACUUAAACAAAUUUAAACAAUUUAUAUCACACUUUCCAGACAAGCUGUCCAACUGCGUUAUAGAUGUAAAAAAAUCAUAUCUCGAGUUACAAAACUCGAAAUCCAAAUCCGUAAAUUUUCCCCAAAUCUAGGCUCAUAUAUCUACUUACUAAUUUUUUUCUAGAAUUUUUGGUUGGGCCAAUUAGUACAUUUUAUUAGUUGAAGUCUCCCCUAUUUCAGGGUUCGGCUACUCUAACCUCUGUGUACUACGAACCAAAUUUCUCCAAGUACAGAAUUCAAAUAACCAAGACGUUUGUUUCUCUUAAAAAUAGACUCAAUAAGGAAUCCAUACAUAUAUAUUAUGACUCCUAAUUAAUUUUUUUACAAUUUUUAAUGAUUUUUACAAAUCAGAACAGGGGAGUUCAAAAUCACUCUGACCUUGUCUCACAAAAAUUCAAAUAUCUCCUGAUAUGAAAGCCUUUUGCUUACACCGUUUCUUCUAUGUGAAACUAGAUUCAAUAAGAUUUAAUUUCAUAUUUUAUUCAACUUCUAAUUAGAUUUUCAUGAUUUAUGGUAAAUUUUCAAACUCAAACUACUACUACUAACCAAAAACUGUUUUAGUACAAAAUGUUGUUAACUAGUUUAUAACAUCUUUACUUCAUUUCAUUUAAACUCUAUACAUGCCAUAUAAAUCUUCAAACAUAAAACAAAAGCUACCGGAAUUGAUCUGGAUAGUGUGCUUUGUUGUGUUGAUCCGAUCUACCCACUUCACUUCAAGUCAAUCUACAUAAAAAUAUUAAACACACACAAGUAAGCUUAUUGAAGCUUAGUAAGUUCAUAGGUUAAAAGUAAUGCUUACCAAACAUAACAUUUCCAAACAAUACCAAAACAUUUACUAAAGCUUCCUGCGAUUCACAACCGUUGUUAUAAUAAUUCACAUAGUUGAGCUCAACAGUAACAACUACUCAAUCUCUUUCAUUUGGAUCACUUCUCUUUUAUUUCUUAUAAUCAAAUUAGGAAACGGCUUACGAAAUUGAGUACGUCGUUGCUCAAUGCCACGAUUCACAACUCAGUAUGGUUUUCCUCAUUGAAAUACCAUACCUACAUUUUUCAACUCGGUAUGGGAAAUGCCAUACCUACAUUUCUUAACUCAGUAUGGAUUUGAUAAUACCAUACCUACAUUUCACAGCUCAGUAUGGAUAAUACCAUACCUACAUUUCACAACUCAGUAUGGAUGAUACCAUACCUACAUUUCACACUUUUCCAUGGAACAACCAUGGUCUUAUCCGUCAAUUCAUCACACGUCACGAUACGAACGUACUCAAUCCUGCGUUUUUCCUAAUUUGCAUUUCCACAUUUAUUCUUUCAUUAACAAAAUCUACACAAUCCCACAACAAAUUCGUAUAUAAUAACACAUUAUAAACUUCAAUCAUUCACAAAUAAACAUCUAUAUUCAACCAUAUGAACUUACCCGGCUAAUUUGUAGAAGAUAUUGAAAUUUAGGGACUAUUCCGCAACUUUUUCUUUUCCUCGUUCUUCUUUGGAUUCUUGAUCUAUAAUAUAAAAUAUUUCUACUCAUUAGCAUUUAUUUGAUUUCUAUUUCACUUCACAAUUUAUGCUGUUCAAAUUUCAAAAUUGCACUUUUACCCCAAAAUUUACAGUUUUCACAAUUUAGUCCCUACUCAAUUCACCCAUCAAUUGAACUAAUUUUUCUCAAUUAACACUUUAUUUUAUCAUUAUAAACUAUUUCAAAACCUUUUAUAUUCUGAAUUUCAACAGCAACCUUCAAUUCACAACUUUUUCACAAUUAGGUCCUAAAUAUCAUUUCCUAUCAAAAUCACUUAAUAAAACCACCUUAAUAUGAAAUUAGAACUUAAAUUUCAUAAUAAUUCAUCAUAAACUUCCCUUAUCCAUCCAGGGUAACUUCCAAUUUCACCCAUAAAAUCAAAAACUAAUGAAUUCUAUAAGUGGACCUAAUUGUAAAAGUCAUAAAAACAUAAAAAUUAUCAAGAGAAAGCACGAAUUAAACUCACAUGAUGUAAAAAUAUGAAAAAACAGCUUUCUCCAGACCUUCUAUGGCGUUUUGGCUGAGAAAAUAUGAAGAAAUGUCUAGAUUUUUCAAUUACAUCAUUAUUUAACUAUUAACUUUUAUGCUAUUUCCAAUUUUGCCCCUUAUUUACAUUGUUUUCUUGCUUAUUUCAUACCCAAACCUUCCAGCCAUUAACCUUUGGGUCUAAUUGCUCUUUAAAUCCAUAUUUUUAAAUACUUAAGCUAUUUACUCACAAUUUAACAAAUUUUGCAUUAUUUUUAAUUUAGUCCUUUUUAAUUAAUUAGCCAUCCAAACGUUAAAAUUUUCUAACGAAACUUUAAUACUAACUCAAUGACACUCCAUAAAUAUUUAUAAAAAUAUUUAUAGCUCUAUUUUCAACUUUGAGGUCUCGAUACCUCAUUUUUGACUCGUUUGACCUAAUAAAUUCUUUUAAUUCACUAAUUUCACCAUUUCACAAAUUCUUCUAAAUUCUUACUUCACCCAUAAAUAUUAAAUUACUAUCUUGUUCAAUCUUAUUUGUCGAAUUUAGUGAUCUCAAAUCACCAUUUCCGACACCACUGAAAAUUAGGCCGUUACAAAUGCGAUCAAAAUAUAGCAUGUAAUAAUACAAACACAUGUGAUGCAAAGAGAAUUAAAUUUUAAAAUUUUUAAUUUCGGACAUUAAGACAAGAGAUAAUCAAUUACAUGGCCUGAUUCUCUUAUUAGUCCCCAGUGGAGCCGCCAAGCUGUCGAAACCAUUUUCAAAUCGAGUUUUGAAAAAAAUGGGAACUGAUUUUAAAAAACGAAAACGGGAGUCGCCACCAAUCUUUUUAGGUGUGAUUGGAUCACCUUUAAAACAUUUUAUUCUAAAAUAAUUAGUUUUGGUCCACGAAAUAAAAGAACGGGUUCGGGAGUCGGUUACGUACGAGGAAGGAUUAGCACCCUCGUAACGCCCAAAAAAUUGGUACCUAAUUGAUUAUCAAAUGUCUUUAAUGACGGAAAUUUUAAAAAAAAAGAAAAAAAAUUUAAGAUGUAGUCCUCUUUAAAAUAUUUUAACUUUGAAAAUUGGAUUCACUCGCGUCAAAGUAUUGACAUUAAGUUAACCUUUUUUGAACUUCCUAUCUCGAAACAGCAAAACGCUAUAUCCAAUAAGUUAGGACAUAUUGCUUUGAAAUUCCAAGAUACUGGCUUGCAUUUAGAAAACCUUUAAAAAACUUAGAAGGGUGCUUAAUUAUUCGAAUUCAACGAGAAAAGUGGCAACCCAAUAAGUUAGGGCACUACUUUCUCGAAAUUUCCAAACAUCAAGCAUCGCCUUAUUUGCAAAAAAAAAAAUCUUAUCUCGAGGUAAUAAGAUGUCAUAUCCAGUGAGUUAGGACACAACACCUCAAAUAUCAGAGAGUAAGUAUUUUAUUUAACACUCGUAUUAUGAUUUAAAAGAAUAUGCCAUUAUUUAGGUUAAACGUGAGAGAAAAAAAAUCGAAAUCCAGUAAGUUAGGGCACGAUUGUCUCGGAUUACCAAAUACGAAAUAUUUACUUUAGUGAAAGAAUCACUAUCGGGUUGGAUAAAACCUAAAUUCGUAAUGAAAUGAGAUAAUAAAGAAUGCAUAACAAAUAAAAAUUGAUAACCAUAACAGGAUAAACAUAAACACAAAUAUGAAUACUAACGAUAAAUACGAAGGUAAGAUAAAUGAGUCGAAUAAAUAAUAAGAAAGGGAAAUAAUGAAUAAGCUAAAUGUUUGAAAUUAUUUAAAAAAAACUAUAAAUAGAAUAGAUGAUGAAAUAAUAAUAAAAGUAAUGAUAUGUAAAUAAAAUAAAUAUGCUAAAAAAUAUACAGUUAUCAAAUUAGUUAAUAUAAAAUAAUAACGUAUAAGUAAAUACAAAAAUAAAGGAAAAUAUAAUAAUAAUAAUAAUAAAAUACAACAAUAAUAAUAGUAAAAGAUAUAAUAACAUAAUAAUAUAAUAGUAAUAGUAACAAUAUGACGAUAAUAGUAAAAAUAAUAUAUUAAAUAAUAGUAAUAAAAGUAGUGCUAAUAAUAAUAAUAAUAAUAAUAAUAAUCUAUUAAGUUAUAAUGAAAAUAAUGAUAAUGAUGAUAUAUUAGAUAAUAAUAGUAAAAUAAUAAGUAACAAUAAUAAAUUAUAAUAAUAGUGAUGAGAAUAACAAGUGAUGAUAAUAACAGUAACAAUAGUAGUAAUAAUAUAUUAGAAAUACAUAAUAGAGGUAGUAAAAAAAAUAUAGUAGUUAUAGUAAUAAUAAUAUAAACAGUAGCAUAUAUACGUAUGAAAAAUAAUGAUAGUAAAAUAUAAUAAUAGUAAUAAUAAUAAUGGAAUGAAGGUAAUAAUAAUAUUAAAGUAAAGUAAACAAAAAUAAUACUAUAUAUCAAUAUAUAUAUACAUAUAAUGCAAAUACACACUACCAUAUUAUUAUAAUAAUAAUAAUAAUAUUAUUAUUAAAAUGCAGAAAGUAAAUAUGAUAUAAUGUAAUAUUAAAAUGACGUAAUAAAAAUAAUACUUAUAUAUAGAAAUGUACAUACGUACAUAUAUAAUAAACAUACAUUAAUUAAUAGUAAAAACAAUAGAAGUGCUAAUAAUACUAGUAUUAGAAUGAAAUAAGAGAUAAAUGCAAACAUAAUAAUAUAAAUAAGGUAAACAGAAACAAUAAAAAAAUAAUAGGAAGGACAUAAUCGAAUCUGAAAGCAAUAUUUUGGGGCAAAUUCGUAAUAAAUAAAAGAAGAGGGGAUUAAUUCACACACGCAAAUAACCAGGAAGGACUAAAACGGACAAUAGCCCUUUGACCCAAAACGCGCAGCUUUGAUUCUAUCCCUUAUUUCUUACUACGAUUGGAGUGAAUAUAAUGAAACCCUCUGAACCUUUUUUAUUGCUAUUGAUAUACUGAUUUUUUGUUCUUGAAUCUCAAAAAAAGAAAAAUCCCCUCUUGAAUCUCAAAAAAAAAAUCUCUUCUUGAAUAUCAAAAAAAAAUCUCUUCUCUCCAAAAUACAAUAGAUUCCUCUCUCCAAUCCCCCCUUUUGUUACAAUGAACAUAGGGCUCUUUUAUAGCCCAAAAUCCAAAGAAAAAAAAUACAAAAAAUUUCAUUUUCUAUUGUUUUUCUUUGCUGCCCUUUUUUGACUUCUUUUGCAGGUAUGGAGUAGUGGAAAAGUGCUAUUUGCACUAUCAAUGCAACUAAAGUAGUGGGAUUAGGUGAUUUAGGGUUUCUUUUUCUUUUUCUUUUUGUUUUUGUUUCCGGUAUUGGGCUAAUUGGGCUAGGGUUAGGUAUUAGGUUUGGAUUUAGUAUUUAUUUAUUUGGUUUACUGGGCCCCGGGCAAAAUUUGGGCCAUACAAAGGUGUUUUAAUUUGGAGGAGUUCAUCUCAAGUUGGUCAUUCCAUAUCCUUUCCAUCUUCCCCAUGUUUACAAUUGUCGAAUCCUUUAACAAAGGUAAUGACACCUACAAAAUUCAUUUGAUUGUGUUAAUAAUAGAACAUGGAUGCACUUGCCAAGCAUUUUUUAUUUUGAAAAUUGCAUGUAACGAUCCGAUUUUCAACAGUACCAAAAAAUGUGAUUUUAAAACUUUAUUUUCGUAAACCAAAUCUAUAAAUAUAAAAUAAGAAUAUUUAUGGAGUUAAUAUAAAAAUAUAUUGAAGAAUGGUUGAGAAAUUUUGUCAAUUAAAUAGUUAAUUAAGGCUCAGAGAUUAAAUUAUAAAAAUUCAAUCGCUAUUAAAUUUUAAUUAACAAAAGACUUGAGGACUUGAAUAGCAGUUAACCAAAAUUUCAAAAUAGUAAUUAAACAUGAAUUUCUCAUAGUUGGUGGAUGAUGAUGACACUAUCUACUAAAUAGGAUUAAUAGUUGAAAUAUAUUAAUCAAAACAUGAUUAAGCUAAAUAACCUAGAUUAAUUAAAGAUUAAUUUAAUAUAAAAGGAAAAAAUUGCGGAAUUUCAUCAUUUUUUCCUUCCUUACACCGUCCACCAUAGUUGAGAGCUUGGAAAACCUUCAAAAAUCUUUCCAAAAAAUCUACCAUUAAUUAGGUAAUGAAAUUAAGUCAUUUUCUUAUAAUUUUUAUAAAUUUAUGAUCAUGAGAGUUUGGUUUAGCUAGCCCAUGUACCAAUUUGAUGAAUUGUUAAAUUUUUAGUCAAUUGUCAUUAUUGAUUAAUUGAUGAAUUAGACUUGAAAUUGAUAGGUUUAAAACUUAGAUUAUAAAAAAGACUAAAUUGUAAAGUUAGUUUACGUUUAUUAACUUUGUUACAUUAAGAACCAAAUUGAAUAAAUUUAAAACCUGCCAUGAAGUUUAAUUAGAAAUAGAAAGUAUAAGGUCCCUAAUGAAAAUAUAUAAAAUCGGAUUUUAAUCCGAAGCUAGAAAUAAAAAAUUAUGCCUAUUUCAAGUUUAGGGACUGAAUUGAAUAGAAUAUAAAAUGUGAAAACUAAAAAAAUGAAUUUAUUUAGGAUUAUGCACAUUGUAUAAAAAUGUUUGCUAUUGAUUUGUUAAACAAUAUAUUUAUAUAGAUCAACAUUUGGAUAAAAGUGGAGCUAAUAAGAGAAAAGUAAAAAAUUCCAUAUUAGUCCCUAAAAGAUUUAUUGGUUUUGUAUUUUGAAAAGGUAAGUUUAUACAGAACUUAGUACAUCUUGUAUUAUAUGUAUGCUUGUAUUUAAAAGGUAAGUUCUGUUAGUUGACCGGUUGUGCCAUAUCUUUCUCCAGUUUCUCACACCCAUGAUGCUCUGUUCCGAUAAGUAACGAUAGUUUGCUAGAGAAAAACAAGUAGUACAACAAGAAUAGGGAAUCAGAAACAAAAAAAAACAUGAAAGAAAAUAAUGAUGCAAGAAAACAAAAAUGGGAUAUCACAUUUCAAUGGAAAGAGUUGGAAAGCGAAUCUCUAAGUUGUUUCUUUCUAUCCCAAGAGAAUAAUGUCAGUGCCACUAGUGAUCAUACUUAAAUCAUUUUCUCAACCCUUCACAAUUGACUUCUAAAACCUUAAGUUUCUUGAAAUCUAAACUUCCAUGCAUGUUCUUCCAUAUUUCAAUUGACUUGGAAAAUUCAGCCUACAAAAUCUGAAAAAAGAAACAAGGAUUAAAAUUCAUAAAGGUUAUAAUGAAGCCAACCCAAACCAUAUGAAAGAAAGAAUGAUACUAUGGAAUAAGCUAGAAUAACCAAAGGUAAAUUAAAGGAAUAUACAAUAAUACCUUUAUUGAAUACACUUCUUGGAUAGUGUUGUUAAGGUCACUACACCAAUGUUCAUUAUCAUAUCCGCAUUUUGCCAAUAAUGGUGGAUGAGUUAAAACUCCUGUUAAGUUUAGUUCCCAUGCAAAGGUGGCCAUGCACGACAUGCAAAGGUGGUCAUGCUUCAGGAAUCGCAGCAGGCAGUGGUGCCAUGGUGUGCAGCAAGCUGAAGCUAUCCAUUUAGUUUCCUUAAUUGAAUGUUUUGUAUUUAGUUAGGAUCAAACUUAGUUGGUAGCUGCAUUUUGAUGUAAUUAGGUGCUGAAUGACAAGUUUAGGUAGAAGCUUUUUGUUCUUCAAUCAAGUUUACCAAGUUACUAGGCAAUUUAGUGGUGUUAGGUAUGUUAUUAGGUGAUUACUUGUUUGUUUUACUUGUUGACUGAUAUAUGUAAUGGCUUAAUGCCUUGUUGGCUUGCUUAAUGAAAGAUAUCAGCUCAUUUUCAUUCAAUCUUUUUCUCUCUUUUUCUGUUUUUCACUUGCUAGCUUCAUCUUUCUGUUUUCUGCUUCCGAGUUUGCUUCUUCACCAAGCCUCGAGGCUUACUACUCAAGCAAGUCUAUAAACAGCUUGCUGCUGCCUAUUGCACCAACAAUUGGUAUCGAGAGCUCUUGUCUUAGUGGACCUGUUGCUUCAAAACAAAGAACUUGAUGGCUUCUUCAGGAUUUUCACCAGCAGCCCCACCAGUCUUCAAUGGAGAAGGCUUUCACAUAUGGCUGGUCAAGAUGAAGACUUACCUACAGGCCUUCGAUAUGUGGGAAGUUGUCAACACAGAUACUGAGCCAGCACCACUGAGGGCUAAUCCCACAGUAGCUCAGAUUAGGCAACAUGCUGAUGAGAGGACCAAAAGGCACAAAGCCAUGUCCUGCAUCCAGAACUGUGUGUCAGAUGUCAUCUUCACCAGAAUUAUGGCCUGUGAGACUCCAAAACAGGCCUGGGAUAAGCUCAAGGAGGAGUUUCAAGGCACUGAGAGAACAAGGCAACAGCAGCUGUUAAACUUGAGAAGGGAUUUCGAGAAUUUGAAGAUGAAGGAAGAAGAAACAGUGAAGCAGUACUCAGAUAGAAUUAUGGCAGUGGUUAACAGCAUAAGGCUCCUAGGUGAGCACUUUGAUGAGGCAAGAAUUGUGGAGAAAGUCCUCUCCACCUUGCCUGAGAGAUAUGAGGCCAAGAUAUCCUCUCUAGAGGACUCAAGAGACCUUGCUAGCAUCUCUUUGACUGAGCUAAUCAACACCUUUUAUGCUCAGGAACAAAGAAGAGCUAGCAGAGCUGAAGAUCACCAAGAAGGUGCAUUUCAAGCCAAGGCCAGAGAAACCUCGAGCACUAAUGCUCAAAGAGGCAAAAGGCCUUGGAAAAACAGGCCUAAGCCUGAUGCUGCAAGGAGCAAUGACCAGCCCUGCAGAUAUUGCAAGAAGCCUGGCCAUCCAGAAGACAGAUGCUGGUUUAGGCCAGAUGCAGUAUGCCAACACUGCAAGAAGAAGGGCCACGUUGAAAGGGUCUGCAAAAACAGAAGUAAGCCAAGGCAGAAUCAAUUUCAACAGUCAAAGGUUGAAGCUCGAGUAGCUGAGGACAGUAGUGACCAAGAAGAACAGGUCUUUGCUGUUUCCUGUGUAGCUUCUGAGAAGAAAUGCUCUAAAGGCUGGUUGCUGGACAGUGGUUGCACUAACCACAUGUCACCAGAUGCCUCCUUGUUUAAAACCUUGGACAAAAGUUAUAAAACCAAGGUCAAGGUUGGAAAUGGUCAGUUUAUAAGGGCUGAAGGAAGAGGAGAAGUGCUGAUAUGUACUCCCACAGGCAACAAGAUCAUUCCAAAUGUGUUGUUGGUACCACAGAUUGACAGAAACCUUCUCAGCAUAGCUCAACUGCUCGAGAAAGGUUAUUCUGUUGUGUUCAAGGAUAAACAAUGCCAUAUUACUGAUCCAAGUGGAUCAAGCCUCAUGACAGUCACAAUGACUGAUAAAUGCUUUAAGGUUCACUGGACAAAUGACUCAAAUUCAGCAUACACAGCCUCUGUUGAAGACUCCAAGCUUUGGCAUCAAAGGCUUGGACAUGCCAACUUCAGAUCAAUAGCUCGAUUGGCCAAAGAGGGCUUGGCAGAGAACUUCAUCAGCUCAGUGGAGCAUGAUGAUGUGUGUGAAGUUUGCCAAAUGGGGAAACAGGCAAGACUGCCAUUUCCUACAAAUUCAACCUGGAGAGCUACUGAAAGACUGCAGCUGGUGCACUCUGAUGUAUGUGGCCCGAUGAGGACUGAAUCACUCAGCAAAAACAGGUAUUUCAUCCUCUUUAUUGAUGACCUUACAAGGUUUUGCUGGAUUUUCUUUUUAAAACACAAGUCUGAGGUAGCUCAAGUGUUUGUGAAGUUUAAAAAUGCUGUAGAAACAGAAACAGGUUGCAAGCUGAAAUCGAUAAGGACUGAUAAUGGCACUGAGUACACUUCAGCUCAGUUUCAAGCCAUUUGCAAUGAUGCUGGUAUCAAACAUCAGCUUACAAAUGUCUACACACCUCAGCAGAAUGGGGUAGCUGAAAGAAAGAAUAGAAGUCUGAUGGAUAUGGCCAGAUGUCUGCUGUUUGAGAAGAAACUGCCCAAGACCAUGUGGGCUGAGGCAGUAAACACUGCUGUUUACCUUCAGAACAGGCUUCCUACAAAAGCUCUUGCAUCCGAGACACCUUUCGAGGCUUGGUCUGGUUUCAAGCCUUCCUUAGCACAUCUGAAGGUGUUUGGUUGCCUGUGUUAUGCACAAAUACCAGCAGCAAAGAGAGACAAGCUCUCUAAAAGGGCUCAACCAGGUGUUCUAGUAGGCUACAGCUCAGUCAAGAAGGGCUACAGGGUUCUAGAUCCCUUGAUAAACAAAGUCCAGGUGAGCAGAGAUGUCAUCUUUGAUGAAAAAGCCUGCUGGAAUUGGGAGAAAAAUGAGCCAGAAGCAGUUUCAGAAGACCUAGUGCCUAACCAAGCUGAACUUGAGCAGCUAGGACCUGAAAUGGAUGUUGAUGAUGUGCCUGUGAGAGGCACAAGGCCCCUAGAUGAUAUUUAUGAAAGGGCACAGGUUGCAAUAGCAGAACCUAGCAGCUUUGAAGAGGCUGAGGCAGAUGAAGGCUGGAAACUAGCUAUGAUCAAUGAAAUCAACAUGAUUGAAAAGAACCAGACAUGGGAGCUUGUUGAUAAACCUGCUGAAAAGAAGACCAUUGGAGUAAAAUGGGUCUAUCGAGUAAAACAGAAUGCAGAUGGCAGUCUGAACAAGCUAAAAGCCAGGCUUAUUGUCAAAGGAUUUAGCCAAAGGUAUGGUCUGGACUACCUGGAGACAUUUGCACCAGUAGCCAGGCUUGACACAGUUAGAAUGAUAGUUGCCUUGGCUGCUCAAUAUCAGUGGACCAUUCAUCAGCUUGAUGUUAAGUCUGCAUUUCUCAAUGGCUUCCUGGAAGAAGAGAUCUACAUCGAGCAGCCUCAAGGAUUUGUGAUCACUGGCAAAGAACACAUGGUGUACAGACUGAAAAAGGCUUUAUAUGGCCUGAAACAGGCUCCUCGAGCCUGGUAUGCUCGAAUUGACUCUUACUUGCUCAGUUUGGAAUUUGAAAGAAGUCCCAGUGAACCAACACUGUAUGUGAAGAAGAACCAAGCUCAAACUCAGCUUAUUCUGUCACUCUAUGUUGAUGAUCUACUGAUAACUGGAGGAGAUGGAAGAAUGCUGGAAGAUUUCAAAAGAAAAAUGAUGGAAAUGUUUGAAAUGUCUGAUUUAGGCAGAAUGAACUACUUCCUUGGAAUGGAAGUGAACCAAACAGAAAAGGGAAUCUUUCUUUGUCAGAGUUCUUUUACUAUGAAGAUCCUGGACAAGUUCUCUAUGAAGAACUGCAAGCCAACAAGCACACCAAUGGCUGUUGGAGUGAAACUUUCGAGGCAAGGGAGUGGUGAACCAAUUUGUGAGACCAUGUACAAGAGUCUCAUUGGCAGUCUGUUGUAUUUGACUGCCACAAGGCUCGAUAUCAUGUUUGCUGUUAGUAUGCUAUCAAGAUACAUGAAUUGCUGCAAUGAUCAGCACUUUCGAGCAGCUAAAAGAGUGCUGAGAUACAUCAAAGGCACCAUUGGUCAUGGUGUAUUGUUCAAAAGGGCCAAAAACAUGAAGUUAAUAGGCUAUGUUGAUAGUGACUGGGCUGGAUCAAGUGAUGACAUGAGAAGCACAUCCGGAUAUGCAUUCAGUCUUGGCUCAGGUAUGUUUUGCUGGAGUUCUAAGAAACAAAGUCUGGUGGCACAGUCAACAGCAGAAGCUGAAUAUGUUGCUGCUGCAUCUGCUGUGAACCAAGCCAUAUGGCUUAGAAAAAUCUUGACUGAUUUAAACCAAAACCAAAAGGAGGCAACAGAGAUUUAUUGUGACAACAAAUCUGCUGUUGCAAUUGCAAAAAAUCCCAUUUUUCAUGGCAGAACCAAGCACUUCAAUAUUAAGUUGCAUGUUAUAAGGGAGAUGGAACAAGCUCAUGAAAUCGAGCUGAUUCAUUGCAAUUCAGAAGUGCAAAUUGCUGAUAUCUUCACAAAGGCACUCAAUGUGUCUAAAUUUGUUAAAUUCAAAAGGGAAUUAGGUGUUACUAGCAUGGAAACUAAGGAGGAGUGUUAAGUUUAGUUCCCAUGCAAAGGUGGCCAUGCACGACAUGCAAAGGUGGUCAUGCUUCAGGAAUCGCAGCAGGCAGUGGUGCCAUGGUGUGCAGCAAGCUGAAGCUAUCCAUUUAGUUUCCUUAAUUGAAUGUUUUGUAUUUAGUUAGGAUCAAACUUAGUUGGUAGCUGCAUUUUGAUGUAAUUAGGUGCUGAAUGACAAGUUUAGGUAGAAGCUUUUUGUUCUUCAAUCAAGUUUACCAAGUUACUAGGCAAUUUAGUGGUGUUAGGUAUGUUAUUAGGUGAUUACUUGUUUGUUUUACUUGUUGACUGAUAUAUGUAAUGGCUUAAUGCCUUGUUGGCUUGCUUAAUGAAAGAUAUCAGCUCAUUUUCAUUCAAUCUUUUUCUCUCUUUUUCUGUUUUUCACUUGCUAGCUUCAUCUUUCUGUUUUCUGCUUCCGAGUUUGCUUCUUCACCAAGCCUCGAGGCUUACUACUCAAGCAAGUCUAUAAACAGCUUGCUGCUGCCUCUUGCACCAACAACUCCCAUACAAAAUAUCUCCAAUUCAGGGCAACCACUCACUAUUAAUUCCUCUAAACAUGGGAAUCCAAAUGUGUGAUUGCCUGAACAAAAGCUCUAAAGUCGCGAUAGAUUCACAAGUUCCAAACUUUUCAACCUGCUGAAAAUAAUGUCACAAGUUGCUUCAUCUCCCUCAGUUGCAACUAUUUCUGUCAUUGAAAUGCAGUCUCUUACCAUCAACUUCUUGAGUUGGGCCAUACCUUGGAUUGCUAAACAUGUAUCUAAGUAUUCCAUUGUUUCGCAAAACUGCACAUCCAAUGUGGUGAGAUUUUGAAAUGAUGCCGAGGAUGAUCCCAGGCAGAUCAAAUUGCAACAAAAGUGAACUUGAAGAGUCUCAAGUUUGGGUAGAAUAUGGUCUACCUGUACGUCUUGCUUCCAUAAAUUAUCUUUUAGAUUAUUAAGAGCUACCAAUUUUAAGUUUCUAAUUGUUGACAAAGUCCCAGCAUACAUCUCCUCAUUACCGGUAUCUCCUUCGGUACAAAAUAGCUCUUUUAUUUCAUAAUAAGAGAUGGUAAGGUUUUCAAGAGUGUAGAAUCUCUCAAGGAAAGAAAUUCAAAAAUCAAUUGAUUUAGCACCGUGGCCAACCACUCGAAAAGAUUUUAUUUCAUGAAAAAGGCUGCUUGAAAAUUGACUAUCACUUAUCAUUGCAAUGUAAUCAGUAUCUAAUGUCAAAAGUUGUAGUUUAGGGAUGACCUAAAAACCAAUCAAAAAACAAUUUUGGAGUCAAUAUGUUCAUCUUCGAAUUAAGAAUCACUAUUUUUUCUAAAUAAUAUUUUCAACGAUUCUUAAUUAGAGUAAAGCAAAGUUACCUUUUCAACCAAGAAAAGUGGUGGAUGGAUUGGGGAGUCAAGUUGUCCAUUGUUAGUGUUCAGUUGUGUACCCAAUAUAUUCAAUUUCUCACACCCAGCUACUUCCAACUCGUUUAACAUUGGCCACUUUGCGGUAUGCUUACCCGGGUAGAUAUAUUUCAAUUCUGGUAGCCUCGAAAGUAUCAGGGUGUAUAGUUGAUCAAACUCGAAAUUGACGGCCGUUUCCGAUUCUGAUCCUUCCUCUAAUUUGGAAACAAUCUCCUCCACUCCAUAAUCAAAUAUUGAAGGAUAACCAAGGUGUGGUAGGUCUUUGGCUACUGAGGCUGGAAAUACAUUCUUCAAACUUCGACAGCCCAUAACAGAUAUUGCACAGAUUUUUUUAAAUGAAAAAAUUCCUUUGGGAUCAUUUUUCCAAAUAUAUUUCAACUUUGGCAAUCCUCUAAUAUACAAUUCUCUUAGUUGAGCGGUUGCAAGUAAAGUGGUUUCUUCUUCUUCAUGCAUGAUUUCAAAUACUUGCUGUUGGUGCAGCCUUCGAAAUGUUGUCAGCAUAUUAGAUGGGAAAAUGGUUAACAACUUAUCGCAUCCUUCAACUGUCAAAUGUUGUAGUUUGGGAAAUGCAACCUGCACUCGUGCCAAUAUAAUGAAAUUAGAAGCUAGUUGUUUUUUUCAUUUAUUGUGUGGGUUUGUGGAAAAGUGAAAAAAAACAUUUAUUUUUUAGUAUAAUUAGUGAAAAAAAGAGAUGAAAAAAAUAAGAGAAAUGUUCAUUUUUUAUCCUAAUGCAUAAAAACAAAUCAUUACAAAUUGAAGUAAUAAGAGAAAAAAUGAGAGAGAUGCUUGUUAGUCUAAAAAUAUGUAUUUUUCAAAAAUUCCAUUUUCAUUCAUCUCAUUUUCAACUGUACCAAGAAAUGAAUAAAAAGAAAAAUAUAUAUUUUCUAUCUUUUACUCCUUUAAUUUUUCAUCCUUUUAAUUUUCCUUUCACUAAACCAUUAAAGCCAAAGUCAACAAGGAGAAAACGAAUAAACCUAAAAAUUAAGAAUUAACCCACCUUAUUGUCAAACAGAUCACCUUGACUAGAGAUUCGUUGGUUCCCUUCCCUUGUAUAUCUGCUUAUGAAACCCUCCAAGUUUGGACAGUUGUAUAUCGUCAUUGACUUCAUAAAUGGAAAUUCAAUAACUUUAUUUUGAGAACUGAAGCAAAAUCCACUCAAAUGCUGAAGAUCCUUUAGCUCUAAGGACUGUAACUGAGGAAAUAAUGAUAAAGUCAUGGUAGCUUGAAUUUCUUCUUCUAUAUCCUCCCAAAAAAUUAUCUCCUCUAGGCAGUUGCACUUAGUUAUCUCAAAAUAUUUGAGAUGAACUAGAUAUUUAGCCAUAGAAAAUGAUAACAGGUAUUUUAUGUUUCCACAAUCCUCGAUUAUCAAUGUGGUUAGCUUGUCAUGAGUGUAAAAAGAUACAUUUGAUAAUUGGUUGUGCCAUACCCUUGUAACAUUAAGCGAUGACAACUGCAAUUUCUCCAAAAAAGGGAACCAUAUCUACAACCAUACACAUAGUUAAUUCUACUUUCAAAUAAAUAUUGUACAAAAAAUGAAUAUAUAAUUCUACUUUUGCAAUUACCAAAUAUAAUAAAAAAAAUAAAGUCUGCCAACCAAUAAAAAGUGUCAUAUGAUAGAAAAUUUCUGGUAAAUAUAAAAUAUGUUGAGAGUAUUGGUGACAGAAGAACCCAUCAUAUGAUCCGAAAAAGGGAAAAAAAAAAUCUCACAUAACUAAGCAAUAACGCAAGAGCAAUACGGCAUGAUUCAGAACAAGGAAAGAAAGCCUUGAAAGAUACUGAAUUAUAGAUACCUUUUCUCCGAACAGUGGCAAUUCAAGUUGAGGCAAUGAGGUAGCAUCGAUUUUGUCUUGAGCGCAAAAGCCAACGAGUUGAGGAAGACCCUGCAAUGUCAAAGACUGCAAUCCCGGCAAUUCAUUUCUAUCAUUAGUGAUAGAUUCAAUAUCGAAACCAUUUUGGAUAUGCAGAUUCUGCAAAUGUGAUAGCCUUUCCUCAUCUGUUAACUCCUUCAGUGCAAUCUUCACACCUUUCAGUUCAUCCAAUUCUAAAGCUUGAGUUCUCCCUACCAAUAUCUUAAUUCCAUGAUCCAAAUCAUCAAUGCUUGUGUUUAGCCUGAGUUUUAAGGUUCUUGAAUAUUGAUAGUAGCCAAACCGCUCCCAUUCCUUUCCUAUGAAAAUCUUGUAUCUUUCCAACUUUUGCAACUUUCGAAAAAAAUCCUGUGGGGCAGCCUCGGCGUCCGGAAUUUGAACUUCUAAAGUGGACAAAUGAGACAGUGUGUUCAGUUCAGCAAGACUAGCAUUGGGUUGUCCCCAUUGAAUAGAAGUGGCACCCUAUAUAGUUCUUCUAAUUUUGACAAACGUGGCAAGACGUCAGCUGAAACUUUUUCGGGUUUAGUACAACCACUUACAUCUAACAACUUUAGCUUCAACAAUUGCCCAAUUUCCUUGGGUACAAUUUUGAUAUCAGAUUGCAAAAGGCUAAGCACAUUUAAGUUCUUGAGCGCUCCAAUAAUGGUUAGGUUGUCUCCCAUCUUGCAAUAAUCUAGGCACAAUGUACUGAGGCUAGUUAGGAGACCAAUUGAUGAAGGUAAAAAGGAAAAUUGCACGCCAGUCAAAUCUAAGACUUUAAGAUUUUCUGCUUCCUUGAAGAAGUUAUCUGGCAACGUCAAGGAGAGAUCCUCGCUAAACAAAAGGAAAAGAAAAAGUUGCGGACAAUUCAACUGGUCAGGAAGCUUGUUGAUACUAGGAUUCUGCAAAAUAAUCUUGUUGCACUCUUUCAUUGACUCUCCAUUUGGCCAAUCUGUUACUACAUCCUCAUCAUUAUCCUCCUCUGUUAAAGCAAGCACUUGAUUGUCCUUUGAAACGAUUGAUUUGGCCACAAUAUAAGUAAUAUCGUGCACAUCAAAGUACUCCUCAUUGGUACUUUUACUAUCAAGUAACAAACAAGAUUCUUUGAGGGUACUCAUUAUUUUUAAUAGCCUAUCUCGUGCUGCUUUCAUGGUGUUGACGCCUUUAAUUAGACCCAAACCACAAGCAUAUCUCAACAAGUCUUCAAUCCUAGUGUCACGACGCAGUAAACUACAAAGCAGGAAAAUCUGCUUGAGGUCUUCACACGAUAAAAGAUUGAUACUCAACUCAAUAGCCAAAUGUACCUCAGCAGAUAUAUCACACGAGCUUUUGUUUAAGUAAGGCCUCUGUAGUUGUUGUAAAGCAUCCCUCCAAACAAACAAACUUCUAUUUCGCAACGCCCUUGCAACUGUUGCAAGGGCGAGCGGUAACCUUGCACAUUUCUUGGCUACCUCAAUUGCUCAUCACUUUCAAAACUGUCCCCGGCCAUCUUCUUAAAGAACUCCCAAGCUUCUCCGUCAUCUAAAUCACCAAUUGCAAAGGUCUUUGUAGCAUCCAUCCCAUUGCUUAGAACAUUUUGAUAUCUUGAGGUCAACAGUAUUUUGCAUCCUUUGUGUUGACUUCCAAAUGGAAUUCCGACUUCCGCUAGAUCCAGUUUCUUCCAAAGAUCAUCCAAAAUAAUAAGAACAUUUUUCUACUUCCUUAACCUUUCACACAAUCUACCGGCUCUUACAACCGGACUGUUUUCUUCAAGCUUCAAACCCAAUGAGUAAGCCAUUUGGUCUUGGACUUCCUUAAUGUCAGGAAUUCGAGAUAUAAUUGCCCUAACUACUGAAUCGAAUAACUUAACAUCAUGGAGUUGUCUCUCAACUUCGUUGACCAGCGAUGUUUUGCCAACACCAGCCAUCCCAUACACUCCAAUCAUGCCUGUUGUUGCAUCUUUCAGUGACUCCAUGAUAUCAUUGAAAACCUCCUCUCUUGAUUUAAAGGCCUCAAAGUCUGUAUGGACUAUGGGCUCAGGAACAUCACGGUAUCCCAAGCGCUCAAAUUGGCAAUCUUUGAUAAGCUCAUCAAAAGUAGCAGCAGCUUCUUCUGCUUUCCUGCUAAGCUGGUAGCGAGACUUGAUGUUGGGCUUGGGACACAAGCCAAAGAAGCACUUGGUCUUUGCUUUGACUUCAAGAUCCUUCACUUUCUUCUCCUGUUCAGUGACAACCUUCUCCACUCUGUGGCUCCAAUCCAGGACAUCGGCUUUACUCUUCUCCCCAUUCCUUUCUGCAACAUCAACAUCUUGCUGCACGCUAGUUCUUUUUGCAAUCAACGUCCUGUGUGAUAGAACACUGAAAGAACAGCAAAAUAGAACUAUAGAGAGAAGAAUUAUUCUCAAGGUAAAGAAAUUUAACUCACCAUUUCAUCUGUUUACAAUACAAGCUUAUAUAGAAGAAUCAAGUCUAAACUGCUGCUAACAGAAAUAUAACAAAUACCAGCUUGUAACUGUCUGCCUAACCACUAAGCUAUUUACACACUAAUCACAUGUGGAUUUGAUACUAUAACAUUCAUCCAACUUCCUCAAAUGGAACGACCCGAAAAGAAUAAAGAAACCGAGUAAAGAACGACAUAGACAAUGGUUUAGUGAGAAUAUCGGCCACUUGGUCACAGACAGGAACUUCACCAACAACUAACUUGCCAUUAGCCACCUUUUCCCGGACAAAAAACAGAUCAAGUUCAACAUGUUUAAACUUGGAGUGCAGAACUGGAUUGGCUGCAACAGCAACGGCACUCGAAUUAUCACACGACACUGUCGGAGGAUCAGCAGAACUUAGUUUUAACUCUGUUAAGAGAGAAGUUAGCCAAGCAACAUCACUAGUGGCAGCAGCUAAACUACGAUAUUCAGCCUCGGCCGUAGACCGAGAGACAACUUGUUGUUUCUUAGAACACCAAGAUAUAGGUGUAUGACCAUAGUAUACACAGAAUCCCGUAGUGGACCGACGAUCAUCAAAAUCAAGCCCCCAAUUUGAAUCGGCAUAACCGACCAAGGAAAGCCGCUCAAACCAUCGAAAAAGUAAUCCAUAAGAGAGAGUACCACACAAAUACCUAAGAAUACGUUUUAAUGCUACCAAGUGCAAGAAUACGUUUUAAUGCUACCAAGUGCAGAUUAGUGGGAGCAUGCAUAAACUGACACACCCUAUUAACAGCAUAGGCAAUAUCAGGCCGAGUUAACACAAUAUACUAAAGGGCACCAGCUAAACUAUGAUAUUCAGUUGGAUCAACAAGAUAAUCACCCUCAUCCUUUGAUAACAUAGAAGAGCUGACCAUCGGGGUAUGAACACUUUUAGCAGUAGACAUAGAACUCCAGGCAAAAAGCUGACGAAUGUAUUUGUGCUGACAUAGGUGAAGACUACUAGAGGAAGACCGACUGACCUCAAGCCCCAAAAAAUAAUGAAGGUCACCCAUAUCCUUUAGAGCGAACUUGUUGUGUAGCUACUGAACAAACUAUCUAUUCCAUCAGAGGAACCACCUGUAAUAACAAUAUCAUCCACAUAGACAAGCACAUACAAAGUGUAAUCAGAGGCAGAACGAACAAACAACGAGGCAUCUGAUUUGGACAAUGUAAAACCAGUAGAAAUAAGAAACUGUUUUAACUUGUCAAACCAGGCACGAGGAACUUGUCGUAAACCAUAUAAAGCUUUAGUCAGAUGACACACCAACGUCUCACCACUAGAGCCAUGAUGCACAAAACCUGGAGGCUGCUCAUGUACACGUCAUCAACUAGAUCACCAUUCAGAAAGGCAUUAUUGACAUCAACUUGCCGGAGUGGCCAGCCCUUUGUGACAGCAAUAGAGAGAAUAACACAAAUGGUAGCAGGUUUGAUCACCGGACUGAAUGUCUCUGUAAAAUCACAGCCAGGUACCUGUGAACAGCCCAUGGCCACUAAGCGCGCCUUACGGUGAUUAAUUGUGCCAUCAAGAUUUUUCUUUAUUUUAGACAACCACUUGCAACCAAUCGCCUUUCGACCAGAAGGGAGAGAACAAAGCUCCCAUGUAGAGUUAGCUAUCAAAGCAUCAUAUUCAGCUUAAACAGCCGACCGCCAAUCUGGAUGAGCAAGAGCCUCCUCAACAGAACUUGGCUCAAGGUCAAUAUUGUCGGCACACAAAGCUUUGGGUUUAAAAAUACCAGUUUUAGACUGAGUAAUCAUACCAUGUGUAUUGGUAGUAGAAAUAGGAAGGAGAGAGACAUGCUCAGCAGGAACAACAGAAGUAGCGGUAGCUUCGUCUUGAACACCAGUCUCUGAGGGAGUCGUUUCUGGAACAGCAGUCCCUGAAUCACUAGCAGGACUUCCUAAAGUACCCUCCGGUGGAGGUGCAGAAGACAAACCAGUGUUCGUAGUGGUAAAUGAUCGAACAACAGGAACAUACGUAGGAUUACCCGGAGACGCCUGAGCACUAGUAGGAGACGAGAGCGAAAACAGAAAUCGAGUUUCAUCAAACGCAACAUGCCGAGAAGCAAUAACCUUAUCAUCAGGUGUUAGACAAAAAUAACCUUUAUGAUGUGCACUAUACCCCAGGAACGUAGAUGGUUGGGACUGAAACUCAAGCUUGUGUUUACCAAACAGCGUAAGUGCGAAAAACAACAACUAAACACUCUGAGAUGAUCAUAAGUCGGGUCAUGACCAAACAAACGUUGAUAUGGAGAUCGUCCAGCCAAGACAGGAGUGGGUAAGCGAUUGAUAAGAUGGACGGCACUACAGAACGCAUAACCCCAGUACUUCAUAGGUAGAUUAGCCUGGGCCAGAAGAGCAAGACCAGUCUCCACAACAUGUCUAUGUUUACGCUCAGCGACACCAUUCUGCUCAGACGUGUAAGGACAGGAAACACGAUGAAGAAUCCCCUGACGGGCUAGUACCGAAAAAAAAGCGCGAAACUCACCUCCCCAAUCGCUUUGAAAUUUCUUAAUACACUUCCCGAACUGUGUGCGAACCAUCUUCUGAAAUUGACCGAAACAUUUUACAGCCUGAGAUUUACGAUUGAUUAGAUACACCCAAGUAAAUCGACUAGUCAUAUCAACGAAAGAAACGUAAUACAAAUUACCUUUACAUGGAACCACAUCCGGGCCUCACACAUCAGAAACAACCAAUUCAAACAAAUCAACAUACUCAGUACUGGAACGAGGAAAAGGCAAUUGAUGAGAUUUUCCUUUUUGACACGCAACACAAACAUUAUCAAGGUGACUUUUAUUUACAGUAAUAUGACAUUUGUCAAGGACAGCCUUUACAAUAUUAGGAGCAGUGAUGGCUGUCGAUUCCACCAAUAUAAACCUACACCUAAUUUGUAAAUUAAAGCAGUAUAGGGAGUAGGGUCGAUCCCACAGAGAUUGGGUUUACUGAAAAUUGUUUAUCUCUCGACCUGAUUUAUGUCUGGGCAGUUGUCGUGCCCACGAUGUUUAGGGGGGAUAAAAUAUGAAACCUGAAAUAAACACAAAAAAGCGUAAAAUGUAAAAAAUAAACAACAAAGUAAUCUGAAAAAAAAUCAAUUAAACUUAGCUAAGCCUUAAGCACGGGUUUUUUCGUCUUUGACCCGAUCUUCGAAAUUAGGUGAACUCCGCUUUUCCAAUAAGCUAGUUAUAGCUACCAAGGACGCCUCGGACACCAACCCUUCCUUGUGUAAAUUAGUUAUAGAACAUCCUAUAACUAACCCUUACCGAUCGAACAACCUAUGAAACGUUCGUAAUUUAGAACUCCGGCAACUUUGCGUUUUAGAAAAGCCUAGCUCGAACCAAUGCCCUCAAACGUUGGGACAUUUAAAUUUGGUUACAACUUCCCUUGACGGAACCAAACAGCAAUCCCCACUUGGCACGCCAAUGUGUUCACGGAAGACCAAUUAGACAAUCGAUCCUUUCGGAAUUCCAACUGUACGUCUAGCCACACUAACUCAAACGACGUCUUUUUUGACUUAGUAUUGACUUGACUUUGUGAGUUGACGAAUCUUAAUCCGGAGAAAUAAUAAAUAUCAAAAAUUAGGAGUUAAACAGCUCAGGUUCGUAACUUACAGGUUUUUGACAGGGUUAACACCGCUUAAAGCUGAAAAGGGUUUAGUGUGGCAUGAAUUUAAUCAUGCUUGAAGGUUGUGGAUUGUGUUUUGGCUUGGUGUGAAGGAUGAUGGAAUUUUGGAAUGGAAGGGGACUUGGAAGGCAAUUGAACCAAUUUGAGAAAAGAAACAAAACAAAUGAAAAUUGACAGAAUGCUAAACUCCAAGUUGAAAAGGGAAAAGGAGAGUAUUUCUAUUCCAAAUAGAAGUAGGAAUACAAAGACAAGAGAUGAUUUUCUAAGAACUAAAAGCCCCUAUUUGUAUAGAUAGGGUUUACUAAAAAUAACUUAAUCCUAAAAUAAUAAAAUAAAAAUAAAUAAAACAAAAUAAAACAAAAUAAAAUAAUAUCUUCUAUUUUUAGCUAUUUACAAAGUUAAAUUUUGAUGUUAGGUCCUUGGCCUUCCCAUCUUUAUGAUUUGGCCCCAACUCAAUGAUUUGUCCUUCAAUUUGGCCCCUUUUUGCUCGUUUUUGACCAAUUGCAUCCCUGACAAGAUUAAAUCAUAAAAACACCAAUUAAGCAGGGAUUAGUUCAGAAAUAAAACAAUUUAGACACAUGAAUUAUGUAAAUUAAUGUGUUUAUCAAGCAAGAUGACCCAGUCUCUUAUGCCACAAGCUAAAAACAUCAUCGGCUGUAGAGGAACAUUGAACAAGAGCACUAUGAGCAGACGGAGAACCGCUCGAUCCCGCUGAGAACUGAUAGAGUCCAUCAUGAACUUGGCCCCGCAUUAAUAUUUCCUGUGUCUGGAUAUCCUUAAUCACACAAUAUGAGGGGUGAAAUUCAAAAAAUACAUUGUUAUCAGUAGCAAACUUAGAAACAGACAAUAAAUUUUUCUGAAUGCUUGGCACACAUAGCACAUUUGAGAGAUGGAGUAACUUCUGCGUUGUAGGGAUAGUUGUACUCCCAACAGAGGAAAUUGGAGUGAACACCCCAUUACCCAUUAAAAGAGAUGAAUUACCUGUAUACGGAGUGGUGCCAUGCAAAUUCGAAGCAUUGCAACACACGUGAUGAGUAGCCCCCGAAUUCGGACACCAGGACGUGCCUCAUACCGAAACAUAAGAAUCAGUAGAGUUAAAAUUGGAGUCAUACUCGGUAGCACCAGAAUAAUCAGAAGCGUGCAACUCAGGAAUUCUAGGAGGAAGCCCAACAAAUUGAGACGAAUCAUAUAGAGAUGAGGCAACACUAAACACACGAGCACGCAAUUUUGUUAGCCAAGGGGCCUCACGAACAGUCUGCCAAGAGCGGCCAACAUCAAUACAAUUGGCAGAGGGCUCAGGAACAAAUUGUCUAUCAGUGAGAUGGGAGCGAGUCGACCCACUAGGCCUGCGUGGCCUAGAAUCCAUGUUACCACACAAUCGACCCAAAGUCUCAUUAUUAAAUUGGAAACCCACGGCAUAUUGUCCACUAUCAAAUUCACGCCCAUUACCAAAGGAAUUUGGGCCAAUAUUAUCAUACUGUCUAGGUCCAUGGGAAACAAAUGGAUUCCCUGCAUGUGGCCCACGUGGGGAAGAACCAUCAAAGCCAGAAUUCGGCCAAACAGAUGGCCUCCAAUUUUGACCAUAAGAACUCCAAUUUUGACCAAAACAAUUUGCUCCAAAUUGACCAUCAUUUCGAUCAUCACUUCGCCCAACCAUUCCAGACACAGAACCACUCCGUCGAACUAUCGGUGCGUCGAUCGACGAUUGCUCAUCACGAUUGUACCGGUAAUAACACCACUACGCAAGAUGUCCAUACCUACUGCAGAUUUGGCACUAGACUUUCAGACGAAACGAACGCCCUCGACCUCGAACAGACGAACGGCCUCCGCCAUGAAACGGACCAUCAGUGGGUGAAAGGGGCGACCCCUCCACCGCAUUCGCAGCAACCAACACCUCUGGAGCAGACCGGACUUGGCAGGCUUCACACUUGAGCAAGGCAUCGAUGAUGCGUUGAAAAGACAGCAGGCUCGUGGAGAGAGAGACAGACGAAAUGAUAGCAUCAAACUCAGAGGAGAGACCGGCAAGAAGAACCGCCGUCCGUUCAUCCUCCGAGAUUUGAGAUCCCGAUGCUGCAAGAAGAACGCACAAGCUUGUAAUCUUAUUCACAUACGAACGAAUUGAGAGGCUACCUUUACGGAGAGAAUGAAGCUCAUGGCGCAACUGUGAUUGCUUCGCACUGGAAUCAGCCACAAACAAAUUGGUCGCCACGAUCCAAACAUUACGAGCAGAGCGCACAUCCGUAAAAGAGGACAGAAACGAAAAGCUGAUUGUCGAUAACAACCAAGAGGUAAGUAAACUGUCUUGUUGUUCAAAGACCGAAACAGCCGGAUUAACAACAAGAUCUCCAUUGGAGGAUUGAACAAAUCACGCCAGAGCCGCCAACGAGCCAUCAAGAAGUCCAAACAGUCCGUAGCCACGAAGAAUCAGUCAGACCUGCUGCUGCCAUUGAACAAACGAGCCUUCAUCCAGCUUGACCACCUCAUAUCGAGGAAAUGAGGUGACCACGCGAUCACCAAGGAACACUAAGCCAUGAGGCUCAACAGAGUCAGAUUCAGCACUGUGCGUGUUAGCCAUGCCCAUGGAUCACCGAGCGACUGAUACCAUGAUAGAACACUGAAAGAAUAGCAAAAUAGAACUAUAGAGAAGACAAAUUAUUCUCAAGGUAAAUAAAUUUAACUCACCCUUUAAUCUGUUUACAAUACAAGCUUCUAUAGAAGAAUCAAGUCUAAACUGCUACUAACAGAAAUAUAACAAAUACCAGCUUGUAACUGUCUGCCUAACCUCUAAGCUAUUUACACACUAAUCACAUGUGGAUUUGAUACUAUAAUACUGUGUUUCUGCUUGAACUUGUCAACAAUUUUCUGGUAGAAGAUUACAUAUCUAAUAUGACGUUUAACUUGGUGGAAGAUACCUUUCACAGUCUCGGAAGAGACAUUGGCAGCAGCUCCAGUACCAAUAGCUUCCAUUUCUUUUCUUUUUUUUUUGCUUUGGGGUUACAGAUGACUGUCAGAGAGAGUAAAAAAGAAAAUAGUAAAAGGAAAGAAGCAAGCAAGAAGAAAUCAAAAAUGAAGUGAAGAAGCCAUUAGCCAAUAUGAAAUAGAAAUUCAGUAAGGCGUGGAAUUGGAUAUGGACUGUUGUCUUCGACUCCGUUAGACUUUAGACUAGAAAUCAAAGAACCAGCAAAAGAAAACACAGAAUGAAUGUGGAUGGUUGCGGGUACCUUCAGUGGAAAUUAAGCACAUACAGUUUGACUAGAUCAAAUUACGACAUUUCACUUUUUUUUAAAGGUAAAUAAUUAUUACUAAAGUUAUUUUAGUUAAGUGGUUGAUGGAGCAUGUAAAUUUAAAGGGUUAAUAAUUAAUUCAGCCCCUAAACUAUAAUUAAAAUGUUAAUUUGAUGCUUUUAAAUUUUUUUAAUAAUAAUUCUAAAAAUUUUAAAGGGUAAAUUAUUCAGAUAGUCACCCAAAUUUUGAUGCAUUCCUAUUUUAGCCACCUUUUUUUUUUGUUAAUUUAGUUACUUCCAUUAGAUUAUUUGUUAUUUUUAGUCACUCCAACAUUAAAUACCUUGGUCAUUGAAUGAACUGCUAAUGUAGUAGUCUUUUUUAUUAAUAUAAUAACAAAUUUAGUCAUUAACACUUUGUACAUUCUGUCAAGUUGGUCCUAAUUUUAGAAAAAAUUAAUAAAUUUAACCCUUAAUAUUUACACAUUUUGUCAAUUUAGUCCAAAUUCGAAAAAAUUCAAAAAUUUUAAGAUCUUGAAAUAUAUAUAAUUUAUUAUAAAAGGACAUAAAAAUAUAAAAUAUUUAAAUUAUAUAUAAAGUUGCAUAAAGUAUUAAUUGCUAUAUGGUCCCAAUUCUAAAAGCUCAACAAAUUUAACCUUUAAUGUUUGCAUAUUUUUUCAAUUUAGUCCAAAUUCUAAAAAUUUAUAAAUAAAAUAUUCAAAAAUAUAAAAAUUAGAAAAAAAUCAAUCAAAAUCUAAAAUAAAAAUAAGUAAAGUUUUCUUAGUUAUAAUUCAAAAUCAUUAAAAAAAACCCCCACAAAAUGUCAUACUUUUGUUAUAUGCCGCCACACAGCAUAGCGAUUAAAAAAUUUACAAGAAGAAAAUCGAUUUUUGUCCUGUUGCUAGAUAUUUUGGUCAACCAAACAAAAGAGAUCAACUUUGUAAAACAACAUUCAUCCCAUCAUCUCCUUCCUCAUUCAUCUUCAAGCUUCCCAUUAUUCUUAUACUCUUGCCCAAACCUCACAAUCUAAAUACCAUACCAAAUGGAUACCCAACUAUACUAGACCCAAACUACAUCAUCACUUUAUCAUUAAGCACUCAUCAUUAAACCCACAACCAAAGUCAAUUUCUUUUUUAUUUUACAGACAUACCCAAACUCUGUUUCACAUCUUCUUUUAAUGAGGAAAAAUCGAUCAAUAAAGUAUCACUUAACCUUAAGCAUUUAAAUCCCUCAAAGCCGUGCACUUUGCCUCCGAAAUGGAGCAAAAGAUGUUUCUAUAAGUAAAGGCUUUUUUAUUUGAAUCCCUCAACCAACUAUUUGAUUAUGGUGCUAGUAGAAUUUGGUAGUGAUUGAUUCCAAAAAGUAAUUUAAAGGACUCGCUUUGCUUGGUGGGGUUUAAAAAAAAUAUUUAUUCAAAAAAUUCAUGAGAAAAUGAGGAUUAAAUUUUCUUGAAUCCCUAUGAAAUUUCUUUAAAAUUAAAAAAAUAUUUAUUUGAAUCCCUCCACCAAAUUCAUAUUUAAGUAUUUAUGUAUUUUUAUCUAUAUUGUUAGUAAUUUUUUUAUUACUGUAACCGUAACGAUUUUUUUAUUGUUGCUGUGCCAAAUGAUAAAAAAAAUUAAAACCAACGAUAACUUUUUUUAACCUAUAAAUACCCCUUAAAUUUCAUUUUUUUUCAUUCACAUCCUUCUCUCAAACUUUGUCAAGCUUUUUAUUUAAUUUUUUUAUAUUUUCAUUUAAAAACAUUAUUUAUUUAAUUAUAUCGUCUUUUAUUUGUUCGGAUCUAUUUCUCGAGAAUGAAUGCCUCUCUAAUCCGCUUCGGAGACAACCAUAUUUCGGCCGCCUAAUUAGCAACGGUAAUUCAUUAUUUUUAAAUUUUUGUUAUUUUUAUCUAUGUUAAAUUUUUUUAUAAAUCUAAAUAAAAAUUUUAUGUUAUAAAUAGGCGGACGAUCGUGUGCUGGAGGUGUUCAUAUAUAAUACGGGGGAGCCUCUAAUCCUUAAAACUUGUAAAUACCUACAAGAGGCUAGAUUCUUGCAUGCGUCUCACAUACAAGGGGGCUAUAAACUCAAUCCCACAUUAAUUAGCACAUUGUUGAAAGGUGCAGGCCCGAAACACAAAUUUUCUACCUUCCAUGUGAAAAUUGUACAAUCACACUCGAGGACGUAGAGCUACAACUUCGUUUGCCAGUGGAUGGGCCAGUUAUCACAGGAUCAACAGUGGUUCGGGGAAAAGUAGACCCUUGCACGGCAAUGUUGGGGAAGGUCCCGAACAGGUUCUUAGGUGGUCAGAUUUCGAUUAACUAGUUGGAGAAAAUUUUCAAUAAGCUUCCUGACAACGCAACGGAGGAGGUCAUACAACAUUAUGCCCGAGUAUCCAUCAUGAGGUUAACCAAUGGCAUUUUAAUGCCCAAUAAAUCUAGAAAUUUAGUGCACGAAAUGUGGCUUCUACAUCUAAUGGACUUCAAUGAAUGUGCAAAACUAAGUUGGGGAUCUGUCGUUGUAACACCCCUAACCCGUAUCCGUCACCAGAACAUGGUUACAAAACAUCGCCAAAGUUUAUAGAAUAUUUACAGAUAAUUCAGAUCAAUUAUUAUUCAUACUCGAAACCAUACAUAAUCAAUCAUAUUGUCCCUUAAUUGAACCUUCGAGGUCCAAUUUAUACAUUAGAAUCAAGUCGAGACUAAAUAGGAAACUCAUAGAAUUUUUCAUAAAAUUUCAAAAUUUUUCUUAAAAAGAAAGGAUACACACCCGUGUGGGUGGGCUCUGUGGCUCACACGGCCAAGUGACACACUCGUCUAUCAGGCUGUAUGGGCAUUUGAUAUAAGGCACACGGCCGUGUCCCAACCCGUGUCCAUACCCGUGUAACUCUCUGACUUGUAUCACACGGCCAGCCACAUGCCCGUGUGUUAGGCAAUGUGGUAAAUUUAAUUUUGGAAAAAUAGGUGCAGGGGACACACAGCCUGACCACAUGCCCAUGUGCAUGGCCGUGCAUCACACACGGCUGAGACACACGCCCGUGUCUCUGCCCGUAUAGACAGAAUAAGGCCAUUUCCAAGCCUUAUUCCUCAUCCUUUUUGUUUUUCACCUACAACAACAUUUGAAACACAUUUCCAAACCAAUUCAAGACAUUCAAACCAAGCCAAAUACCAAUAUUAUGCAUGUAUAUCAUAUCAUUUAUUUAUGUAUUCAGGUUUACUUAGUUGAUCACAUAAUAACUCAAGCAUGUUUAAAUCUCCAUUUAUCAAUUCAAAUACUUUCAUCCACUACCAUAAUUUUAAUCCCAUGCAUACAUAAAUAUUAAACAUAAUAUUACUAACCAUUUAGCCAUUCCAAUGGCUAAUUACAACUAAAACAUUUACAAACUCUCAUAUGUCAACUUUAGCCUAUACAUGCCAUUAUACUAUAAUAAGUUUCUAUUUAUACCGAGAUGAGCUGUGGAUAGUGUGAUGAUACUUCAACCGACCUCCAACCUUGAAAAGCUUCCGAGCACUAUAAAACAGAGUAAAGUAAACCUAGUAAGCAUUUAAUGCUUAGUAAAUUCGUAUAACAGUAAUUUAACUUACCAUUGAUAAUCAUCUAUAGUAAACAUACAAAACAUGCAUCCAAAUUGUUUUGAUCAAUUCCCUAAUCAUAUGCUGUAACACCCCCUAACCCGAUUCCGUCACCAGAGGGGUUAUGAGGUAAUUACCAAACGAUUACAACAACCUUUGAACAUUCAUAUAGUAAAAUUUAACUGUAUAAUAAUAUGCUGCCAAGCCAAAUUCAAAUAUAAACUUAACAACUCAUUUGCUUAUACUUACUAACAAAGUCAAUUGACCAUUUUACGAAUUCAUUUAAAAACAAUUAAUAGGUUAAACCAAAUGCCAUCAAUGCUUGAUAUUUACUCAACAAAAUAAGGUAUAUAUAAGUACUUAACAAAAAAAUUAUGCGCAUGAAGUAACAUUAUAACAAGACCAAAUGUGCAUCAUUUGUCAUCAAUGUUUAAGUAAAAAAACCAUGUCCAUUUCAAUCAUCUUGAACAUCUAUAUAAAACCAUAUAUAUAUAUUCAAUAUGCAUACCAAAAUUAUAUAGGUAAUAAACCGAAUAUAAAUACCAAUCAUUAAGCUUAAAACAUUUUCAUGCUUGCCAUUAACACCGAAUAUCAAUAUCCAACCCAUAAUUGAUCAAAUUAUAACUAAAAUUUUCGAUUAUAAACCAAGAACAUAUAAAACAACUCACUUACCACAACAUAUACAUACCAUAAUUAAUCCUACUAAACUAGUAUUAUAACCCAUAUUGAUCAUUACUAUAAACAAAUGUACAUAAUUUAGACAUCACAAUUAAAGGCAAACUCAAACCACAACCGAACAUAACCAAACUUUAACAUGUAAAUUAAGUCAUUUUAGCAUGACUUAACCAUUAUACAUAUAUAAAAUUUAAACAUCUCCAAAAGAGUUAUUAGCUUAUACAUGCCAUAAUUACCGAACCAACUUUUAAAGGUACCUAAAUAUUGAAGAUAGUGUGGAUGACUUUACUAACGAUCCCCGAGCGCGUAACGAUCACCAAAAUCUAUAAAAUAGAGACAAGAAAAACACAUCCAAUGUAAGCUACCAUAGCUUAGUAAGUUAUAAGCUUCAACAACUCCAAAUUAAAUUUAAUAGGCUAGUAUUAUCUAACUAAGUCAUGCUACUAGAUCAUUUAAUCAAUAUCUUACCACAUUCAAAACAAUUUAUUAUUCAUAUGCCCAAAUUCAACUAAGUCCAAUAUGCAUCUGCCCAACCACAAUAUACUACAUUACUCACAAACACACAAAAAAGAACGAAUGCAUUUAACAUUCAUCAUCGAAUAACAUUAAUAUAUUCGAUCACAAAGCCAUUAAAACCAAUCUAUCUUUAUACAUACUUUCAAUUUAUAAUACUCAUCACAUAGAACCGAUGCUCACCUGCACCAACUUGAGCUAUACAUCAUAGUUUUUCAUCAAGAAAUUUGAAGCUUUAAUUUAUUCAACCAUUUCCGAUCUACUUAAAUAAAUCUCACACCUAGUGCUAAUGUUUACUCGGAAAAUAUAUACACAAUUUGCACACUUAGUGCUCAAUAUUUAAAUUCGCACACUUAGUGCUCAAUAACCACAUUCGCACACUUAGUGCAAGAUUCACAUCCGUAAUCGUUCACACUCGCACACUUAGUGCCUAAAUUCUAUUACUCAAUACAUAUCAAUUUAAAUUCAUCAAUUUCCUUUAAAUUCGGCAACAUCAAUCUUUCAUGUAAUUCAAUUCAGCUCUUCUACUUAAUUUGAUUUAAAUUUAUAUCAACAAAAACACAAAAAUUUUCUUAAUAACUUACCUCGGAUAUUGACAGACAGUUGAGUUCGACUGCUCAAUGAUUUUUUGAUUUUUCCCGAUCCACGUCCAAUCUUUUUGGUUCUUGAUCUAAUUGAAUUUGCAAGGACCGAAAAUACCAAAGCUUAUACUUUCUUUUCUUUCUCUUAGUUUCGGCCAAAUGAGAAUAAAAAGAUGAACACUUUCAUCUUUUAUCAAAUAUAAUAUAUUAAUAUAUAUUAAAAUAUAUCAUAAUGUCAUAAUAUAUAAUAAACAAUUCAAGUUACUAUUUCAUGCAUAUUGGCCGGCCACUAAUUCCUAAUUAUGGCCAAAUUGCAACAUUAAUAUUCCAUAGUAUAAAAACAUUCAUAACUUGGCCAUUAUAUAUUAACCCUUAAAUUUUUCAUUUUACGCGAUUAAACCCUUUUUCAUCAAUCGACCUCCAAACAUUAAAAUUUUUAAACGAUACUUUCACAAAAGCAACUUCACACAUUUUAAUCAUAGAAAAUAAUAUUUAAAUAUUAUUCUGACUCGGAUUCGUGGUCCCGAAACCACAAUUCCAAAUAGGGUCAAAAUUGGACUGUUACAUAUGCACUCAUUCAACUAGUUAGUCAUGUAAAUAACAUAAAAUUUUAAGCCAAUAAAGAUGAGCUCAUCAUGCUAAAAAUUUCCUAGUAUUUCAAGAACAUUCGAUAUAUAAAUUCAUUGCAUAAAUCAGUAAUCCGUCAAUUCAUGUUCAGGGUUACCCAUUAGGGUACAUAAUCAGGAUGCUCAGAUGAGCCAUGUAAUAGGACGCUUAUUCAAGCUAAACAGGAAACUCAUAAGAGUUUUAAUCAGGGAGCCCAUAGAGCUUAACAGGUAACACCGAAGAGUUAUUAUCAGGGAGCACCAGAUAGCAUAAUAGGGAGUUCAAGCGAGCUUAACAGGACGCUCAUAAAGAGCUACGUUCGUGUCCGCAACGUAUGCAGGAUCAUAACUGAUCGCAUAACAAGACGCUCACAAAUAGCUGCAUUUGUGUCUGUAACAUAUACAGGAUCACAACCGACCGAAUCAUGUACCAGGACACUCAUACAGAGCUGCGGUAGUACGCAACACAUGCAAAUUCACUACCAAUCAGGAUGCUCGCAGGAACUAAAUAACAGGAUACUCGAGAGGACUUAUAACAGGAUUGCUUGUCUGAGCUAUAUUCUGUCCGCAACAUAUGCAGGACCUUAUUCAAUGUGGGAAAACCAUGUAUCCAUCAAAAUUCUUUAUUCAAACGAAAUUUAACAUUUUUUGGACAUGAUCAGAUAUGUGAUUAUUUCAUAUAUUUACAAUAUUCAUAUAAUUCAUUUAAUUACAUAUCACAUUCAACUCAAGCAUAUAAAUAUAUACAAUUUAGUAACGCGAACUUACCUCGACAACUAUUUGUGUUUGCAAAAGUCUACUAAUCCUAUAUUUUCUUUUGUCCACGAUCUAACUCUUUAUUUGAUCUUUUCGAAUCUAUAUGAAUGAAUUUAACAUCAAUUUAAUCCAUUUCAUACUCAAUUAAAUUCAAUUCACAUCUUAGGAAAAAUUACCAUUUUGCCCCUAUACUUUUCAUAAUUGCCAAUUUCGUCUCUAGGCUCAGAAAAUAAAAUUCAUGCAAUUUAGUCCUUAUUCCAAACCUAACCAAAAUUUUCAUAUUAUAUUUACAGCACAUGUAUUUCACAAAAUUUAGAAUUUUUCCAUGAAUUUUACAACUUUUCAACUUAGUCCCUAAAUCAUGUUUUCAUCAAAAUUUACUUUGUAAAAUUUGUUUAUCUAUCAACAAUCUUUCAUUUUCUACCCUAAAUUUUAAAAUUUUAGCAUAUUCAUCCAUGGAAAAACUUUGAUACUUUAAUAACUUUACAAAUUAAUCCCCAAAAUAGAUAAAUUAAACUACACCGAUCUCAAAAAUAUAAAAAUUACUAAAAACUGACAAUAAUUCAUACCUAAUUAAGCUUCAUUGAUUUCAUUUCUCUCUCCUAGGGUUUUCAUGUAAAUUUUGGGGAAGAUGAUAUAAAAUGAUAUUUUCUCUUAUUUAAUUUAAUUUAUCAUCUUUUAAUUUUCAACUUUCCAAUUUCAUCAUUUUCUUUUUCUAAUUUUCCAUGAAUGAAUCAUCAAAAAUAUCUACUAACUCCAUCUAAUUGUAUAAUUUUCAUAUAAGGACCUCUUAUUUUGAAAUCUAUAGCUAUUUGAUACUUAUAGCUACUAGAACUCAACUUUUGCAUUUUAUACAAUUUAAUCAUUUCCAUAAUUAAGCAUGAAAUCGGUAAAAUUUCUUAUCAAAACUUUCAUGUAUCUUUCUUAUCAUAAUGCAAACCAUGCAAUGACAUUAAAAUAAAGUUUCUUUCUUACUCCCAUUUGUGGUUCUGAAACCACUUUUUCGAUUUCACUAAAAACGGGCUGUUAUAACUCUCCCACUUAAAAAGUUUCGUCCUCGAAAGGCUUACCAGUUUAGGUAUUGCUUUCUCAUAGUGUCCUCCAGUUCCCAGGUAGCUUCUUCCAUUCCAUGUCGUUGCCAAAUAACUUUCACUAAAGCUACCUUUUUAUUUCUUAACUCUUUUAUUUCACUUGCUAGGAUUUUGAUUGGUUCCUUACUGUAGGUCAUAUUAGGUUGAAUCUCUACUUCUGUUGGAAAGAUAACAUGUGAAGAAUUUGAUUGAUAUCGUCGUAACAUGGACACAUGGAAAACAUUAUGAAUUCAGUCAAGUUCUAGUGGUAAUGCCAAUUGAUAUGCAACAGGUCCGAUUCUUUCAGCAAUUUUAUAUGACCAGAUUAAUCGUGGACUCAAUUUUCCUUUACAACCAAAUCGGAGAACUUUCUUCCAAGGUGAUACUUUUAAAAAUACCUUAUCACCAACCUAAAAUUCUAUUUCUUUUCAUUUAAGAUCGGCAUAAGACUUUUGACGAUUUAAGGCUGCUUUCAAACUAUCCCGAAUCAGCUUUACCUUUUUUUCAGUUUCACGGAUUAAGUAAACUCUAUGUAUCUUUUUCUCACUGAGUUUUGUCCAAUAUAAUAGAGUUCUACAUUUGCGACCAUACAGAGCCUCGUACGGUGCCAUUUUAAUACUGGAUCGAUAACUGUUAUUGUAAGCAAAUUCAACUAAAGGCAGAUAUUUUCCCAGUUACCUUCAAAUUCAAGCACAUAACACCGAAGCAUAUCUUCUAAAAUAUGUACAACACGUUCGGAUUGGUCAUCAGUCUGAGGAUGGAAUGUAGUACUGAAAUGUAACUGUGUACCCAAAACUUCUUGCAAUUUAUUCUAGAACCGGAAUGUAAAUCGAGAAUCUCUGUCUGAAAUAAUAGAAAUCAACGCUCCAUGUAGUCUAACAAUAUCAGAAACAUAUAAUUCAGCCAAUCUAUCCAAAGAGAAAUCCAUACAUACCGGAAUAAAGUGUGCAGACUUUUUCAACUAGUUGACGAUUACUCAAAUAGCAACUUUCUUCUUCGGAGACAGGGGUAAUCCUUUCUCAUUUCUAUUCUGGUAUUGUAAUUGGCUGUAAUAAUCCCAAAGGCACAUGAUGUUUAGCUUUUUUAGAUGCAAAUUUAGAAAUUUCACGUUUCAUUCCUGGCCACCAGUACAUCUUUUUCAAAUUAUUGUACAUUUUGUUACUACCAGGAUGAAUAGAUAUGGUACCUUUGUGAGCUUCAUACAAAAUCUUUUUGUACCAGUUCUAAAUCCUUUGGUACACAUAUUCUACCUCUGAAUAAUAAACAAUCAUCUGGCCCAAUCUAAAAUUCUGAAUCAAGAGUCGAUUCACACUGUAUUCGUAAUUCUUCUGAGCUUCACAGAUUUGUUGUAGAAAUGUUGAUUUAGCUUUUAACUCAGUUAUAAUUGAACCAUAAUCUGACAAUUACAAUCGGGUAUUCCUUACUCGUAAGGCAAAUAAAGACUUUCUGCUUAGAGCAUCAGCAACCACAUUGGCUUUCCCCGGAUAAUAGCCAAUAACCAAAUCAUAAUCUUUUAACAACUCAAGCCACCUGCAUUGUCUCAAAUUCAAGUCUUUUUGCAAUAUUAAAUACUUCAAACUUUUAUGAUCGGUGAAUAUGUGACAUUUUUCACCAAACAAGUAAUGCUGCCAAAUUUUUAAUGCAAACACAAUGGUUGCCAAUUCAAGAUCAUGUAUCAGGUAAUUUCUUUCAUGUGGUUUUAGCUAUCUAGAAACAUAAGUUAUUACUUUACCUUCUUGCAUCAAUACAUAGCCUAAACUAUUCAAUGAAGUAUUACUGUAAAUUAUAAAUUCCUUACCCGAUUCAGGUUGAACUAACACAGGGUCUUCAGUCAAUAAGGCUUUCAAUCUAUCAAAACUCUGCUGGCAUUUUUCAGUCCAGUCAAAUUUUACAUUUUUUUGCAACAGACGAGUCAUCGGAGAAGCUAUCAUUGAGAAUCCUUGUACAAAUCUUUGACAGUAACUGGCUAAUCUCAAAAAACUUCUGACCUCAGACACAUUUUUCGAUGGCUUCCAAUUAACAAUAGCUAAAAUUUUAUUUGGGUCCACCCUGAUUCCUUCAGCAGAUACUAUAUGUCCGAGAAAACCAACUUUCCAUAGCCAAAAUUCACAUUUACUAAAUUUGGUAUACAAUUGUUUCUCUCGCAGUCUUUGCAACACUAUUCUCUAAUGAUCAGUAUGUUCAUUUUCAUCUCGAGAAUAUACCAAAAUAUGAUCAAUAAAUACUACCAUAAACAUGUCUAGAUACGGUCUGAAAAUUCUAUUCAUUAAAUCCAUGAAUAAUGUUAGUUUAUUUGUAAAACUGAAUGGCAUUACAAGAAACUCAUAGUGUUAAUACCUGGUUUUAAAGGCUGUCUUCGACACAUCUAAGUCUUUCACCCGUAGCGGGUAGUAACCAGAACGAAGAUCAAUCUUCGAAAAUACAGUGGCACCUUUCAGUUGAUCAAACAGAUCGUUAAUUUGAGGCAAUUGAUACUUAUUCUUUAUUGUCACUUUUUUGAGUUGUCUAUAAUCUAUACAUAACCUCAGAGAUCCAUCUUUCUUCUUUACAAACAGAACCGGUGCACCCCAAGGUGAAAAACGGGGUCGAGCAAAGUCUUGGUCAGUUAAUUCUUGUAACUGUGCUUUCAACUCUUUUUAAUUCAGUAGGAGCCAUUCGAUAAGAUGCUAUAGAUAUUAGAGUUAUUCCCGAAACAAGAUCUAUAGAGAACUCCACUUCUCUAACCGGUGGUAAUCUGGGUAAUUCCUCAAAAAACACAUCAGGAAACUCACAAACAACCGGCACUGACUUAAUCUUUGAUUCAGAUACUUUAGUGUCCAACACAUAAGUAAGAUAAACAUCAUAGCCUUUUCUGAUAUAUUUCUAUGCUGGCAUAGCUGAAAUCACAUUAGAUAUCCCAUGCAAUUUAUCAGAUUCAACAUGGAGUAACUCACCAUUCUAACAUUUUAACACAAUUAAUUUUUGUUUACAAUUCACCACUGUAUCAUGUUGAGUUAGCCAAUCCAUUCCCAAGAUUACAUUAAAUUCAUCAAAGGGCAGUAACAUCAAAUUAGCCGAGAAACAAUAACCUUUUUAUCAUCAAUAGAUAGUUUUUACAAACUUUAUCCACCAUAGCAUACUGACCUAGGGAAUUUGAAACUUUAACCACAAAUUCAGUGAAUUCAACAAGUAAAUUUUUAACAAACACUAAAUUUGUGCAUAUGUAUGAAUGUGUUAAACUAGGAUCAAUCAAAGCAGUAAUAUCAGUUUCAAGUAGAGAAAAUGUACCAGUAAUGACGUCUGGUGCAGUGGCAUCCUCUCUUGCACGAAUAGCAUACGUCAUUGCCGGUGCUCAUGCUUCAGACUUAACUGUUGAAUCUUUUGUAGUCCCUCGAUUACCACAGACAUUUCCAGAAUCUUGGGGUAGUCUACCCUCAAGCCAGGGUUACUCGAUUUCAAAAUCUGAUCAGUAUCUUUUUCUAUUCUUUUCGGACAAUCUUUAAGGAAAUGGUCAAAAGGACUACAUCUAUAGCAAACCUCACUUCUUAGACGAUAUUUCCCAAAAUGAAAUUUACUACAGUAUUUGCAUUUUGGUUUGAAAUUCCCAACGCUUCCAACACUGGCUACAGAUGGAGAAGAAUAUCUCGAGUUAGAGCGUUGAGAGCCUCGCUUUUUCUCAGAAUAUCCCACAGAUGUGGUAAAACAAUUAUGAUACUUCUUUGAUUUCUUUGAAGUAGAUGAUUAUGACUUACCCAUAAAUCUUUUACCAGAAACCUGAGCUUCUCUCUCUACUUGUUUCUUUUAUUUAUUCAAUUUCUCAGCUUUUGUGCUCGACCGGCCAUUACCAUAAAUUCUCUUAAUUCAAGAAUCCUAAUCAAUAACUUGAUAUCUUCAUUUAAUCCUUUUUCAAAAUGUUUGCACAUAUCAACCUCAGUUGGAACCCAUCCUCUGCAUACGCACUCAAUCUAAAAAAUUCUCGUUCGUAUUUAGAUUUUGUCAUGCUUCUCUGUUUGAGCUCUAGAAAUUCUUUCUUUUUCUGAUCCAAAAAUCUCUGGCUUAUAUACUUCUUUUUAAAUGUCUAAAAGAACUCCCAUGUAAAAUUUUCUCUCGGUAAUACAGAAAUCAAAGUAUUCCACCACUAAUAGGCUGUAUCUUUUAAUAAAUACACUGCAUAUUUCAAGCAUUCGGCUAGUGUACAUGAUAGUUCAUCUAAGACCUUGAUGGUAUUUUCCAACCAAAACUCAGCCCUCUCCGGAUCAUCAUCGGCUAGUGUACAUGAUAGUUCAAGCGAGCUUAACAGGACGCUCAUAAAGAGUUACGUUUAUGUCCGCAAUGUAUGCAAGAUCACAACCGAUCGCAUAACAGGACGCUCACAAAUAGCUGCGUUUGUGUCCGCAACAUAUGCAGGAUCACAAUCGAUCGAAUCAUGUAAUAGGACGCCUACAAAGAGCUACGGUAGUGCACAAUACAUGCAAAUUCACUACCAAUCAGGAUGCUCGUAGGAACCAAAUAACAGGAUACUCUAGAGGACUUAUAACAGGAUUGCUCGUCCGAGCUAUAUUCUGUCCGCAACAUAUGCAGGACCUUAUUCAAUGUGGGGAAACCAUGUAUCCAUCGAAAUUCUUUACUCAAAUGGAAUUUAACAGUUUUUGGACAUGAUCGGGCAUGUGAUUAUUUCAUAUAUUUACAACAUUCAUAUAAUUCAUUUAAUUACAUAUCACAUUCAACUCAAGCAUAUAAAUAUACACAAUUUAGUUACGCGAACUUACCUCAACAACUAUUUGUGUUUGCAAAAGUCUACUAAUCUGAUAUUUUCUCUUUUCCACGAUUUAACUCUUUAUUUGAUAUUUUUUGACCUAUGUGAAUGAAUUUAACAUCAAUUUAAUUCAUUUCAUACUCAAUUAAAUUCAAUUCAUAUCCUAGGAAAAAUUACUUUGCCCCUAUACUGUUCAUAAAUGACAAUUUCGUCUCUAAGCUUGGAAAAUGAAAUUCAUGCAAUUUAGUCCUUAUUCCAAACCUAACCAAAAUUUUCAUAUUACAUUUACAGCACAUGUAUUUCACAAAAUUUAGAAUUUUUCCAUGAAUUUUACAACUUUUCAAUUUAGUCCCUAAAUUAUGUUUUCAUUAAAAUUCACUUUGUAAAAAUUGUUAUCUAUCAACAAUCUUUAAUUUUCUACCAUAAAUUUUAAAAUUUCAGCAUAUUCAUCCCUGGAAAAACUUUGAUACUUUAAUAACUUUACAAAUUAAUCCCUAAAAUAGAUAGAUUAAACUAUACUGAUCUCAAAAAUAUAAAAAUUACUAAAAACAGGACAAAAAUUCAUACCUAAUUAAGCUUGAUUGAUUUCCUUUCUCUCUCCGAGGGUUGUCAUGUAAUUUUGGGGAAGAUGAUAUAAAAUGAUGUUUUCUCUUAUUUAAUUUAAUUUAUCAUCUUUUAAUUUUCAACUUUCCAAUUUCAUCAUUUUCUUUAUCUAAUUUUCCAUGGAUGAAUCAUCAAAAAUAUCUACUAACUCCAUCUAAUGGUUUCAUUUUCAUAUAAGGACCUCUGAUUUUGAAUUCUAUAGCUAUUUGAUACUUAUAGCUACUAGAACUCAACUUUUACAUUUUAUGCAAUUUGGUCCUUUCCAUAAUUAAGCAUGAAAUCGGUAAAAUUUCUUAUAAAAAAAUUCAUGUAUCUUUCCUAUCAUAAUGAAAACCAUGCAAUGAUAUUAAAAUAAAUUUUCUUUCUUGCUCGGAUUUGUGGUCCCAAAACCACUUUUCUGAUUUCACUAAAAACGGGGUAUUACAGUCGUGUUGUCAAUGUUAUACCGUGAACUUUGUCGGGCAACGCAACUGGAUAAGAUGUCGAUUAGUGGUUGCUUGUUGCUGCUGCUGUAGUGGACCUGGCGACGAAUACUGUUUCUACGUUCUAAAAUCCUCGAACCAUACAAGUUCCCGUUGGUGACGAGGUAAACAUCAUUUAUCAAUAAAUACGUAGUUUGUGCAGUAAAUGUUUUUAUUUAUUAUAUGUUUCUCUUAAUGUAUCACUUGUACAGGUGAAACCAUAGGCUAAGUUGCCCGAGGAGUUGGAAAAUAUUAGGCUACUAUUAGAUCAAUGUUCGAAAAUCGAUGUUAAUUUCCUAUCUUUUUGAACCUAUAUUAAUUACGAAAUGGUUCAUUACAAAAAUCAGUAUGUAACGAUAUUUACAAUUUAUGCUUUUCAGUUUGAAUAAAUGUAUGCCAAUCCCAAGAUCAUAUCUUACAUCCCGUCGGAAGUGUUAGACAACUGGGAGAUGUGGGACUUGAAAGUAUCAUUGAUAGUGUAUAUGACGAUGGAAAUGCACGAAUCGAACUAGGUUUUACGAUAGUUCGAGUAUAAGCAACGAAUUACACCGUCAUUGCGAGACAUGAAGGAACUGCACCAGGUGGACGUGUAGGGGAAAAACGACGAGAACUGAGAGGAAAAGCACAAAUAGCACAUCCAAGCUUGGGAUCGUAAGAUGGAAUCCAUACCCGCCCACGAACCAUUUUUCUCGGUGGACAUGACGACAGCCGAUAAUUACUUGGCAUGGUUUAGAGCCGCUGACAAGUCGUAUCUACUACCACUGGAGGUAAUGAAUAGGCAAAUUCAACUAAAGAGGCAGUGUUGACCGCCACAACAACAUAGGAGGGGAUGCAGUCGCACGACGGGUUCGUUAUCACUCUAGCAGAAUAUGCGCCGCCUGUGGCUACGCAAUUUUUGGGCCAGUUCCCUUAACUUAUUUUCAUUCAAUUCACUAACCUCAUAUAUUUUACACAAGCACCACUGCUGCACGUGGUUGGUUCUUCUCUUCCAGUAUGUUCAUAUUUCGAGGCACCAACAUCCCCCGCAUACUGCUUCCAUGUUGAUGUUGAUAUCGUACCCCAUAUCGAGACAAACAUUGACGUAUACACCACCAUCGACGAUGAUACCGAUGCAAAUGUCCAUGCACAAGUUGAUGCCGAUGUCAAUGUCCAGGCUGAUGUCGAUGUACCUGAGAUUCGGGGCACCUUUUAGUUACACGCCUAUAGUGACCCAAACACCAUGCACAUCACUAUUUUACCGAGAUGACUCAUCGUCACAACCAUCAGACGUGGGAGUGGCGGAUACACGAUGACAAGUGAGGACGAUGCAACAAUCAACCACGGAAGAAGAUGAUGACGCUAUCAAUCUCAAUGAAACAAUUGUCCAAGAGGCUAUGCUAGGUACAUAUUCAGGCGAUGAUGAUUACAACAAGAAAGUCUACAAGCUUGCACUUUCAGAUUCACCUCCGAAGGUACUUCCUGUUGCACCUUCUAUUGAAACUCCGGUUGUACGCCCAAUUCCACGGAGGAAACCUGCACGCAACCAUUGUCCACCAUCUUGUGGCACACAUUCUCCCCGACAAUGAGUGCGAUGUAUUUUUUGUUAUAAAUAUUAUGAUGUAAAUAAAAAUGUCAUAAAUAAAAAACAAUUAAUUAUUACAAAACAAUCAUCUCAAGUGUUGUACAUUAUUAAUUAUUACAAUUAGUAUAAAGUCUUUAUUUGAACAAUACCUUUGUUUUUUCAUGAGUUAUGCGUAAGUUAAUAAUAAAUAAGAAAUUGAACCAAAUGGAAUACUCGAAACACAUUAAUGGACAUGAAAUUUGGUAGAAAGUAAUGUUAUCGACGCUGGGGCCCUAACGUAUCCCUAUACAGAGAACAUGUUGUCUUCGUAUGCCUCGGAUUUCUACAAUACUCGCAUAAUUUUUGUUGAUUGUGUUGGAAAAAACGAGUUUGAAAACACAACGGAAAAUAAAUUUAGAAAAAAAACCAGAGUUUUAAUUUUUUUCAAAAUAGGAACUUAGUUGUGAUAUCUAAAGUAAUAAACACUUAAUCAAAAUUGCACAUUUUCAAUUUGUCUAAGAUGAGCGUUUCGACCGAGUAGUAUUCUCUGUUAUCCUCAAGCUCACGUCUGUCGAGUGUGGAGUCGCUUCGAAUUAGAAAAUUUUUCACAAAAAUUACUAGUGGAAUAAUUUCGUAAUUUCUCCAAACUUCUCCAAACUUUUAAAUGUUAAUUACUUUAUUAACCUGCUAUUCAAUUUAAGGAGAGAAACAUUGAAUAAUGGAAAUUUUUGUUUCAUUUGAAAUCUUUUUUAUUCAUUAUUCAUUAAUAGGAAAUUGACAUAAAUUAAAAUAAGUAAACUAAAGGUAUUAGAACAAGUUCAUAACAAAAUUAUUGUAAAGAAGAUAUUUAUAUUUUUAUUAAAAUAAAACAAUUAAAACACCCUCAAAUAAUAUAAUAUAUUUUAAUUUUCGUAAUUGUUUUUUAUUAAUUUGGUCAAUUAACUCAUAACACUAACUCAAUCAAUGGCUUAUAGAUUUAUCAAUAAUUUAUUAUAUUAUUCAUAAUAUAUUACUAUUUUAUAAUUAUUUAUAAAAUUUUCUAUAUAUUAUGAAUAUGAAAUUUUUUAUCAUUCAAUUAUUCAAGAGGAUAUAAAUAGUUAAAUUUUAAAAAAGAGGGUAAGAAUUAUUAAUUGAGUGGUAUAAAUAGAGUGAAAUUGGACACCAGAAUGAAAAAGUAUAAAUAGAUUUGCAAAAAAGUGUGAGGAAUAAAAUGUGAAUAGCUUAUAAAAGAAAAAUGAUAAAGAGUAAUAAUUAACUAUUUUAUGUAAAAAUGAAAUUGAAAAUAUAUUGAUAUUUAGAAUUAAAAAAAUUAGGGUAUUAAGUUAAAGGAACUUAAGUAUAAUUUGCCAUUAAGUGAAAAAAUGACUUAACUGUAAUUAAACCAUAAAGAAAUAACAAAAUAUGAGCCAUUAAUAACUAAAUAAAAAUGGAUAAAUAAAGAAAUACGAAGAAAAGUCAAGAAAAUUGGGAAAUUCAUCAAAAUAUUUAUCUCUUUAUAUAAAGGUAACUCCAAAAUGAAUAGAAUUGAUUUUAGUAAUUAGUUUUUUUUUUAAAGAUAUAAGUGAAUGAAUAAUUAAUUUUUUUUAAGAAUGAAAUAAUUAAUUUUUUUUUUAAGAAUGAUUGAUCAAUUAAUUUUAUCUUAUUAAAAUAUAUUUAAGCACGGUUAGUUUGCUAGACAAAAACAAGUAGAACAACAAGAAUAGGAAUCAAAUAUUUAAGAAAAUUAAACCCAAAAAAAAAACAUGAAAGAAAGCAAUGAUACAAGAAAACAAAGAUGAGAUAUCACCUUUCAAUGGAGAGAGUUGGAAAGCAAAUCUUUGAGCUGUUUCUUUCUAUCCCAAGACAAUUAUGCCAGUGCCACUAGUGAUCAUAAUAUUGGCCUUUGUCCUCUUAAAUCAUUUUCUCAACUCUUCACAAUGUUCAUUCUCAAUUAAAUAAAAGUAUAACUCACUAAUUCAAGUAGUAAUUGAGGGAAAAACUUAUCAAUUUGCUCGUGAGAAUAUCCUACAUAUUUACUAGUUAUAAGAGUUUAACCAGGGAAAGGAGAGUUUAAUAUAUACUCUAACGCUACUUAUCUAAUUAUAUUCACAACAUCAAUAGAAGGAAUUGUUAACAUUAAUGGGAGACAACAUUAAUGGCAAACAAUACAAAGUGGUGCAAGUUUAGCACCCUAAAGUUGACUUUGAAAAAGUGGCAUGGGAUAAUUUUUUUUGGUCCUUGAGAUAAUGGGCUAUUUAUUGUUUGGUCCUUAAACCUCAACUAUAAAUAGGCCUUCUAAUUUCUCAUUUCAAUCAUCCCAACCAAUCUUUCUCUCUUAGUUUUCUCUCUUCUCCCAUUUGAGAAUUCUUAAGGAAUUCUAUUUGUUUGUAAUACUUUGAAGAUAGUAAAGUUAUCAUCUGGUGUUAGUGCCCGAGGACGUAGGUAUAAUUUACCGAACCUCGUUAAAACUUUUGUGUUCUUUCUUGUCCUAUUUUUCUUUCAAUAUUUGAGGGUAUAAUAAUAGUAUUUAAUUGUGCUAUUAAAUUACUAUAGAAGGGAUAUUCUGUCUAAGGAAAGACUUGGUAUUUAAGAGAUCCAUGUGAUCCACCUCUCUUUCCUGGGAAUUGAACUUUGUGUGAUUUUUUAGUACAAUAAUUUACACGCUUCCGACCCUAUUGGAACAACAAGUGGUAUCAGAGCCGAAGGUUAAUCGUAGUAUGCUCUGUGGUUGCAAUUUAAACUGAUCUUCCACAUCAGAAAAGAUUUUCUUAGGUAUAUUGAAAGAUUAUGGAGAAAACGGUCGGUGUAGGAGCUUCAACAUCGUCCAUGUGGACAAGACCGACAAUUGCAAAUGCAAGAUUGGCCGUGGAGAUCUUUGAUGGCACGGGUCAUUUUGGUAUGUGGCAAAGUGAGGUUCUAGAUGCCCUUUUUCAGCAGGGUCUAGACAUUGCCAUUGAUGAAGAGAAACCAGAUGAUGUACAGGAGAAAGAUUGGAAAGCGAUCAAUCGGUUGGCAUGUGGCACAAUUCGAUCAUGCCUUUCUCGAGAACAGAGGUAUGCUUUUUCAAAGGAGACUUCUGCAAAUAAGUUGUGGGUGGCACUUGAAGAAAAAUUUUUGAAGAAAAACAGUCAAAAUAAGCUCCACUUGAAGAAAAGACUGUUUCGCUUCACAUACGUCCCAAGUACCACAAUGAAUGAUCACAUCACCAAAUUUAAUCAGUUAGUCACUGAUUUGCUGAAUAUGGAUGAGACAUUCAAAGAUGAAGAUUUGGCUUUGAUGCUAUUGGGGUCACUUCCUGAUGAGUUUGAGUUCCUAGAAACUACUCUACUUCAUAGCAGGAGUGAUAUAUCUCUGAGCGAAGUCUGUGCGGCCUUAUACAGUUAUGAACAGAGAAAGAAGGACAAACAGAAAAACUCAAUCAGAGAUACAGAAGCUUUAGUAGUCCGAGGUCGUUCAUACACUCGGAAGAAAACUCAAAAGGGGAGAUCAAAGUCAAAGUCCAGACUCGGGAAAGAUGAAUGUGCUUUUUGCCAUGAAAAAGGCCACUGGAAGAAAAAUUGUCCAAAGCUGAAGAAUAAGGAAAAAGCUGCUGUAGAUGCUUGUGUUGCAAAGCAUGAUACUAGUGACUCUGAACUAUCACUGGUUGCAUCAUCAUCGUCGUUCCAUUCAGAUGAGUGGAUAUUGGAUUCGGGUUGUACCUAUCAUAUGUCCCCUAACCGGGAGUGGUUCUCUGAUUUAGUAGAACUAAAUGGAUGAGUUGUUUAUAUGGGCAAUGACAAUGCCUGUAAAACUGUUGGGAUAGGUUCAAUCCAAUUAAAGAAUCAAGAUGGAUCAACCAGAGUUCUGACUGAUGUUCGGUACGUGCCCAGUUUGAAGAAAAAUCUCAUCUCAUUGGGAGCCUUAGAAUCCAAUGGUUCAGUUGUUACUAUGAGAUGGGGUUUUGAAAGUGACAUCUGGCGCACUUGUGAUAUUUAAGGGCAUCAGGAAAAAUAACUUGUAUUACUACCAAUGUAGUACAGUUAUUGGAGCAGUCGCUGCAGCUUCCGGCAACAAAGAAUUGGACUCAAUACAGUUGUGGCAUAUGAAGUUGGGACAUGCCAGCGAAAAAUCCUUGCAAAUUCUGGCAAAGCAAGGAUUGUUGAAAGGUGCAAAGGCUUGCAAAUUAAAAUUUUGCGAGCAUUGUGUUCUGGGAAAGCAAAAGAGAGUGAAAUUCGGUACUGCUAUCCAUAAUACAAAAGGUAUUUUGGAAUAUGUUCACUCAGAUGUGUGGGGGCCUUCCAAGACACCUUCAUUGGGAGGAAAACACUACUUUGUUACUUUUGUUGAUGACUUUUCCAGAAGAGUUUGGGUGUAUACCAUGAGAACUAAGGAUGAAGUGCUUAGAGUUUUUCUUAAAUGGAAAACUAUGAUCGAAAACCAGAUUGGCAAGAAAAUCAAGCGGCUUAGGACGGACAAUGGAGGGGAAUAUAAAAGUGAUCUGUUCUUCGAUGUGUGCCAAGAAUAUGGUAUUGUUCGACACUUCACAGUUAGGGAUACACCACAGCAUAAUGGAUUGGCAGAGCGUAUGAAUCGAACAUUGCUGGAGAAAGUUCGAUGUAUGUUGUCCAAUGCUGGGUUGGGCAAGCAAUUUUGGGCUGAGGUUGUGACAUACGCUGGCCAUCUUGUUAAUCGUUUGCCAUCAUCUGCAUUAGAAAGGAAAACUCCUAUGGAGGUAUGGUCUGGAAAACCGGCUACAGAUUAUGAUUCCUUACAUGUGUUUGGAACCACUGCAUAUUACCAUGUGAAGGAGUCAAAGUUAGAUCCGAGGGUAAAGAAAGAUCUCUUUAUGGGAAUCACUUCUAGAGUGAAGGGAUUUCGUCUUUGGUGCUUAAGCACAAAGAAAAUGAUCUGUAGCAGAGAUGUUACCUUUGAUGAAUCUGCGACAUUGAAAAAGGUAGCAGAUAAAGAUAUUCAGACGAGCAAUACUCCACAGCAGGUGGAGUGUACUCCAAAACAGGUGGAGUUUGAGCAGAUGGGGAUUUGCCCAGUUAAUAAGUCUAAUUCUCCAGCCACAAUGGAGGAAUUAGAGGUUGAAGAGGUUCUGACCCAAGAACCACUAAGUACACCAGAACCAGUUGCAGUUGCAAGGCCACGGAGAGAAAUUCGUAAAUCUGCUCGAUUUACUGAUAUGGUGGCCUACGCCCUUCCCGUUGUUGAUGAUAUUCCUAUCACUUAUCAAGAAGCAAUGCAAAGCUUAGAAAGUGAUAAAUGGAAAAGCGCCAUGGAUGAAGAAAUGCAGUCUCUCCGGAAGAACAAUACUUGGGAGUUGGCGCAAUUACCGAAAGGUAAAAGGGCAAUCAGACGCAAGUGGGUAUUCGCAAAGAAAGAUGGAUCUCCUAGCAAGAAGGAUAUUCGCUACAAGGCAAGAUUGGUAGCUAAAGGCUACGCUCAGAAGGAGGGAAUUGACUACAAUGAUGUAUUUUCCCCUGUUGUGAAGCAUUCCUCCAUUAGAAUUUUGUUGGCCUUGGUAGCACAGUUGAAUUUGGAGCUAGCUCAAUUUGAUGUUAAGACGGCUUUCUUGCAUGGUGAGUUAGAAGAGGAGAUCUAUAUGACUCAGCCAGAAGGAUACACAGAUGCUGGUGGUAGAAAUUGGGUUUGUAAGCUGAACAAAUCGCUAUAUGGAUUGAAGCAAUCCCCGAGGCAGUGGUACAAGCGAUUUGAUAGCUUUAUGAGAAGACAGAAGUACACAAGAAGUAAAUAUGACAAUUGUGUGUAUUUGCAGAAGCUGCAUGACGGAUCUUUCAUUUAUCUACUCUUGUAUGUUGAUGAUAUGUUAAUCGCUUCGAAGAGCCAAAAAGAGAUAGAUAAGCUGAAGGCUCAGUUGAAUCAAGAGUUCGAGAUGAAAGAUCUAGGUGAGGCCAAGAAGAUUCUCGGCAUGGAGAUAAGUAGAGAUAGACAGAGAGGCAAGCUUUGUUUGAAUUAGAAGCAAUAUCUGAAAAAGGUAUUACAAUGUUUUGGUGUAAAUGAAAACACAAAACAUGUAAGUACCCCACUUACUUCUCAUUUGAAACUUAGUGCUCAAUUAUCUCCGAAAACUGAAGAAGAAAGAGAAUAUAUGGCAAAAGUCCCAUAUGCUAAUGCAGUUGGGAGUUUGAUGUAUGCGAUGGUGUGUACGCGGCCUAACAUUUCACAAGUUGUUAGAGUUGUGAGCAGGUAUAUGCAUGAUCCUGGAAAAGGACAUUGGCAAGCUGUGAAAUGGAUUCUACGGUAUCUUCGAAAAACUGUAGAUGUUGGUUUAAUUUUUGAACAGGAUGAAGCACUUGGUCAGUUUGUAGUUGGAUAUGUUGAUUCUGACUUUGCUGGUGAUUUAGAUAAACGUCGUUCAACUACGGGGUAUCUAUUUACUCUUGUAAAAGCCCCAGUGAGUUGGAAGUCUACCUUACAGUCUACAGUAGCUGUGUCUACUACAGAGGCAGAAUAUAUGGCAGUUACAGAAGCUGUUAAGGAGGCUAUUUGGCUUAAUGGAUUGUUGAAAGACUUAAGAGUUGUUCAAAGUCACAUAAGUUUAUAUUGUGACAGUCAGAGCGCUAUUCAUUUAGCGAAAAAUCAAGUCUAUCAUUCAAGAACCAAGCAUAUCGACGUAAGAUAUCACUUUGUGCGGGAAGUCUUUGAAAAAGGAAAAUUUCUACUUCAGAAGAUUCCGACAGCAGAUAAUCCCGCAGAUAUGAUGACCAAGGUGGUAAAAACAAUCAAGUUUAAUCAUUGUUUGAACUUGAUUAACAUCCUGAGAAUUUGAGCACCUUCAGGUGUAUGGCGCUCGAGAGUGCAUUUGUAGGCACUACAAAAGAUAGCUUUAUUGAAUUUGGGGAGUUGAAGGAAGUGUGUGAAGAUGUGAUUAUCCUAAUCAAAUCUUCAAGGUGGAGAUUGUUAACAUUAAUGGGAGACAACAUUAAUGGCAAACAAUACAAAGUGGUGCAAGUUUAGCACCCUAAAGUUGACUUUGAAAAAGUGGCAUGGGAUAAUUUUUUUUUGGUCCUUGAGAUAAUGGGCUAUUUAUUGUUUGGUCCUUAAACCUCAACUAUAAAUAGGCCUUCUCAUUUCUCAUUUCAAUCAUCCCAACCAAUCUUUCUCUCUUAGUUUUCUCUCUUCUCCCAUUUGAGAAUUCUUAAGGAAUUCUAUUUGUUUGUAAUACUUUGAAGAUAGUAAAGUUAUCAUCUGGUGUUAGAGCCCGAGGACGUAGGUAUAAUUUACCGAACCUCGUUAAAACUCUUGUGUUCUUUCUUGUCCUAUUUUUCUUUCAAUAUUUAAGGGUAUAAUAGUAGUAUUUAAUUGUGCUAUUAAAUUACUAUAGAAGGGAUAUUCUGUCUAAGGAAAGACUUGGUAUUUAAGAGAUCCAUGUGAUCCACCUCUCUUUCCUGGGAAUUGAACUUUGUGUGAUUGUUUAGUACAAUAAUUUACACGCUUCCGACCCUAUUGGAACAACAGGAAUUAAGUUUAUUUUUACUCAAAAGGCUUUUGGAAUCUCAACUCAUAACUGUUAAAAAGCGAUUUCUGAUGUCAAAGUAGAGAACAUCCCUUCUUCAUGGUGCACUUCAAAGACAAAGGUUCAAAUAUGUAGAGGUGCAUAUAGAGGUGGCAAAACGAUGAAUGACCUAUAGAUAUUCAAAUAACACAAUUCUUGAUUACGAUUUUGGAAAAGAUAAAUAAAAAUUUAUUGUGUAACCUAAUCUUCGCAUUCUUUUUGACACUAUCAACAACAAAUACCAACUCAAAGAAAGAAAAAAAAAGAGUUAAAUAUUGAUUUAUUUACCUUGAAAAAAUGUCUUUAUCGAUUAUCAUUCACCAACGAAUCUCCCAUCUACAAACACUACAAAUAACUCAAUUAGAAACAAUUUAAUCUUCCCCAACUACCACCUCCCUUACCUAUCCCGAUUCCAACUCCCCUUCUUUUCAUACUUCCCCUAUGUAGCAGAAAAAGACCUUAUAAUUAAUCUCCAAAUAGGUUUAAUUCAAUUUCUCAAAGGGAAUGUUUAAUUCUAUAAAAUGUUAAAUUGAUUGUUUGUAAAUUGAUAUUAUGAAAUUGAGUCAUAUUAAAGUAAAAUUUACCAAUAAUUCAUAUUAGAUCAAUGAAUAUGGCUGCAACUAACCGGCAACAACAUACUCUAGCAGAGAGCAAUACAACCUGCAAUGAAAGGGCAUCUCCCAUAACUCUUUAUAAAGCAACUGCGCCAAAAUGAAAAGCGAAAUAAUCAAUUUCUGCCAUUAAACUACAUUUUAUGCUUAAGCUUAUUACUAAAAGCAGGAUAUUUUUAACACUCAUACCUUAUGAAACACAAUCAUGUUUGUGAUUCUUUGAAACUCAUACUUUUCUAAAGCAAAUUAUCUCCACUUUUCCUUCAAUUUUGGCCUUUCCGUAGCAUUUAUCCUUGAGCUGAAACUCUUCAAUAUGAAUAGCCUAUAAAGUAGAAGGAUGUAAUAAGUUUAGGAAAAUAAAAAUUUAAGGCUCUUUCCAUAGUAAUGGAUUGAGUGAUUGUCACUGCUUGAGUGCAUGUAAAUUGUUGGCAUGUUUAUUAUUUGCAUCCGCUGUAAUUUCAUCAUUCAUCCCCUUAUAUAAAAAUGGAAAAAAGUAUUCCAAAGUUCUGUUUUUUCCCUUCAAUCAAACACAUAGGUAAGCUAUAGACUCACACAGUUAGUUGAUUGGUUGUGCCUUAUCUUUCUCCAGUUUUCCACACCCAUGCUGCUAUGUUCCUCUAAGUAAGGUUAGUUUGCCAGAGAAAACCAAGUAGUACAACAAGAAUAGGGAAUCAAAUAUCAAAGAAAAAUGAACAAAAAAAAAAGAAAGAAAAACGAAAGAAAGCAAUGAUACAAGAAAACAAAAAUGGGAUACCACCUUCCAAUGGAAAGAGUUGGAAAGCAAAUCUCUGAGCUGUUUCUUUCUAUCCCAAGAAAAUAAUGUCAGUGCCCCUAGUGGUCAUAAGAUUGGCCUUUUUCCUCUUAAAUCAUUUUCUCAACUCUUCACAAUGUUCAUUCUCAAUUAAAUAAGUACAACUCACUAAUUCAGUUGUAACAAAAGUAGUAUUUGAGGGAAAAACUUAUCAAUUUACUUAUAAGAGUUUAACUAGGGAAAGAAGUAGAGUUUAUUUUUACUCAAAAGAUUUUUGAAAUCUCACCUCACAAUUGUUAACAAGCAGCUUCUGAUGUCAAAGUGGAGAAUGUCCCUUAUUUGCAAUGCACUUCAAAGACAAGGGUAGAAAAACGAUGAGUGACCUAUACAUAUCCAAAGAAAACAGUUCUUGGUUACGAUAUUGGAAAAUAUAAAUCAAAAUUUAUCGUGGAAUCUAAUCUUCGCAUCCUUUUUGACACCAUCAACAACAAAUACAAAUUGAAAGAAGGAAAAAAAAGAGUUAAAUAUUGAUUUAUUUACCUUAGAAAAAUGUCUCUAUUGAUUAUCAUUCACCAAUGGAUCUCCCAUCUGCAAACACCACAAAUAACGCAAUUAGAAAUAAUUUAAUCUUCCCUACCUCCCACCUCCCUUACCUAUCCCGAUUCGAACUCCCCUUCUUUUCAUACUUCCCCUAUGUAGCAGAAAAAACAUUAUAAUUUGAUCUCCGAAUAACAAAACUUUUAAGUAAUUUGGUUUCCUAGAAAAUACGGAAAAAAGAAGAGGGCAUUCGAUUUCUCAAAGGGAAUGUUUAAUUCUGUCACUAUUUGGUAAGCUCCAAACCUUGAAAUGAUUCUAUAUCUUAAUAUUCAGCUUCGUUUCGAUCAUGUAUCUCAUACAAAUAGGUGUAUUAUUCAUAAAUGAAAACGUGUAAAUUUUGCAGCCUUUGCAGUAAACUUGUAUGCAAAGUCAUUGAUGAACUUUCAAGUCCCUGCACUCUUUUAUAAAUUUGAAAUUUAGUCUUUAUAAGGAAUUUAAUUCCUCCACUUUUUGGAUUUUAAAAUUUAGGUUAACUAUUAAAACUGUUAAAAUUAUAUUGUUAAAUUCAAAUUCAUAGCAAGUUUACAAAUGUCGUGAGUAUUUUUUUAAAAUUUCAAAAUGUUACACCAACAAAAUAAAAAAAGCUAACAAUGUUAACAAUUAGAUUUGAAUUUUUUGAAAUAUAAAAAGUAGAUGACUAAAUUCUUGAAAAUAAAGGUACAAGGACUAAAUUUCAAAUUUGUGAAGAGUUCAUGAACUUCUAACAUAUUUUAACCAUAAAAAUAAAUAAUUAUAAAUUAUAGGGUAGCAAGUGUGAGUAUUAAUCCCUUAAGCCGUUAUAAAAGUUUCAAAGGUGUGCAUUAAUCCAUUUAAACCAACAUACAAUUUUUCUAAAUUUAUGCAUACCUUUUCUAUAAACAACUGCUGAGUGGUGGCAAUAAGGUUGCCUUCCCAACGCCCUACAUAUUCGCCUUUAGUAUUUUGUACUCCAAGCACCAUUGGUGUACUUAACUGUCCCUUUGUGAAAAUUUUCUUCUUUGGACACAAAUCUCAUAAUUAACCUUCAAGCAAGCAAGUGUUCCUGCAUGCUAGUUUUCAUCUCUUACUCCUUCACAUGUCAAUAAUUCAUUGAAGGUAGUCCUUUUCCAAAAGAAAGGUAUUCAAGAUUUGGCAAUGAUUAAAUGAAACAAUCUGAGAUAGUAACUCAUGUUUCAGGACAAUCAAACUUUCUUAGUUUGGGACAAUAUUGUUUCGGAUCUGCUCCUUGUCCAUGCCAUACCUAUAUAUUGCCAUUCCCAACCAAAAGCAAUUCUUCUAAAUUGGGGAAUGUUUCCCGAUAAAUUUAGAAACAUAUAUAUGUUAAAUAAAUGCAAAUCUUCUAAAGUAAAUGAUAAAAUAUGCAAAUUUUUAGAUUGACCUUUUAUUUAAUUUCUUUUAUGAGAUCUUACCUUAGUGACCCAAAAUAGGGGUUGUUGAACAGAGAGAACGGGUUGGCUCUCUCCUUGUGUUUCUCUAAAGUUGAUAUACUCCCCCGCGAAUGUCUCCACCUUGCUGCAUUCACACACCUCCAAUUGUUUUAACAAUGGCCAAUCUGUAGUAUGCACCUUGGAGUAGAAACCAAUCAAUUUGGGUAGCUUACGAAGUAUCAGCUGUCUUAUUUUAGGAAACACAAGCUUGGUGGUUGAUUUGAGCUCAAUCGAUUCAUUUGAGUUGAGUUCAUGACCGUCAGCAAGUCCAAUUAUUUCUUUUACCGACUCACAUUCCAAUAUUUGCAGAGUUUCUAGUUUUUCAAGUCUUUCCACCAUAUCAAAUGGUAAAAUAUUCGAAAGUCUGUCACACUGUUCCACCAUAAGGAAGGUUAAUUCAUGAUAUGAACCCAUAGUGAGUUUAUCGUGCCAUAUCUUUCUAAACUUUCCCAUGCCUACAAUUCUCAAAUCAUUCAAACUAGGAAACGCAACCUGCGGGAAUUAUUUAAGUCGUUAACGAGGAAAACAAGUUAGAAUUCUACAUAGAUAUGAAAAGUAAUAUCACUACAAAAAAAAAAGAGAGAGAAGAAUACCACCUUUUGGUUGAAAAGAGUAUUGGUCUCUGAGUUUUCUUGAUGGCAGAAUGUCCUUAGUUUUGGAAGCCUAAUGAGCUCCAGUAUCUGUAGCUUAGUGAACACGUAAAUCGGUAUCCCUUCUCCUGCUGCUAAUCCAUCUGUAAAUAUUAUUUCUUCCAUGUUUUUGGAAUCAAGAAGGCUAAGUUGAUGGAGCCGCUCAAAUUUUUUUACUAAAAGGGAUGGGAAUAGAUAUUCCAAAUUGUGGCAACCCUUCACAAUUAAGAUUUGUAAGUUCAGAACAUUAGAGGAUAUAGCCCUGUCUGGUUUAUCAGGCCAUAAUUUUUUGAUGUUAGUUGAUGAAAGUUCCAAGUACUGCAAGUUGGCACACAAAACCUGCAGACACAAUCCUCAUUGCAUGAAUUAUUUGGUAUUUAUCUCGAGAUUGAGCAUCAAAUAUCGGAUAAUCUAGUAAAAGUAAACUAGAUAUUUUCAAGGGUCGGACUUGUAGACUUUCCUUAAGUUGCGAUAAUCAUGAUCUUUAAUUGAGGAUAAAAAAGUGAUUAAGGGAUUCUACCAAAAAAAAAAAAGAAGUGAUUAAGGGAUAUAGAUAUUCAUCAAAUUUUGAGAUGAGGCAGUCUAUUCUACACGUCUUUAAAAGUUGGAUCCUUCAGAGUUUAAAACUGACUGAAGUGCUAUUCUAUUUGAUAUCAGGAACCUUUGAGUAGAGUCUGAUUUUUCAAAUUUUUCAUACUCUGGGAGUGUGUUUUCUAGCCUUUGUAGGAAAGAUUGGAGUGGAAGGUGAGUGCAAACAAACUGUAUGACAUUAAGGCUGUAAUUAUCCUAGGUGAGCUUGGGCAGAUUGAAUUGUUACCAAGUGUUGUAUUGAGAGUUUGUAUAGAGAUUUAAUUCUCUGAUCAAGGCCGAAGACAUAGGUUGUUUAACUGAACUGCAUAAACAAUCUCUAGUCUCCAUUCCCGUUUAUGCUUUACUACUAUUUAUUACAUUUUUGCAUUGUCAUACCAUACCCUUACAAUUUUAUUCAAAAAAAAAAGAACAUACCCUUACAAUAUUAGUUAUAACAUUCAAUUAGAACAGUCUUUAACAUAAGACAUUUUUAGUUUCUAUCUGUAGAAAUUAUGUACUCUAGUUUCUUAUUCUAUUAAUUUAACUUAAAUUUUCACCCAAAUAAAUUAAAAAGUUAAAACACUAAACAAAAGAGAAGAGACUAACCUUAUGAUUGAAAAAGGGUAUCUUUUCUCUGCCAACUACCUCUAUAUCCUCUUGCUCCCUUUUAGAUGCCAGUGCAUACAUCUUUGGGCAAUCAUCUACUGCAAUUUCAUACAAAGACGGACAUUGCAGGGUAAUGCUUCCCAUACAAAAACUUGUCAGCCUUGAACAUGACUCAAGUCUUAUCUUCUUAAGCAUGGGUAACAAGAGUGUAACCAUUUCAGUUUCCUCUGCUCCUUUUUUGAUAAUCUGCUCCAUUAUAGGGCAUUGUUUCACUUUUAUGUCUUCUAGUUGCGCAAGAUCUAAAGCCAUGGAAACGCUAAAUAUGUAUGUCAUGCUAUUACACUUAUAAACUUCUAAAACCUUAAGUUUCUUGAAAUCUAAACUUCCAUGAAUGUUCUCCUUCCAUAUUUCAAUUGACUUUGAAAAUUCUGAGAGGACUAAAUACCUGUUGAAGUAAUGGUCAGCAUGCAGCAACCAAGAUUGUCAAAGGCACUACAUGCAGAAGCUGCUGGUUCACCUAGUCAGCAAGCUGUUUAUGUUUCAUUUUGUAAUUUUAAGUUAGAGUAAUGUAACUUAGUUGCUUUAUAACUAUGUUAGGUUUAUGUUUGAUGUAAUUUUGAUGUUGACUGAGCUGAUAAAUCAGCUUUGUUUGUUUAUUCAAGCUAAUUAGCACAAGUUACUAUGUGUAUUAGUGGUAGUAGGUGAAGUUUAGGUCAACCUACUGUUUUGUCAAGAUUGUAAACUUGUUUUAUGUAUUGGCUUUAUGCCAUAUUUAGUUUGAUGAAUGAAUUCAAGAAGUUAUCAUCCAUAUGCUCUCCAUUUUUAGUUUUGCUUAAAAAAUCCAUUUGAGUUUUCUGCUUUGUUUCUCCUACAAGUCACGAGACUUGCCAUACAAGCAUUCUGCUGAAGCUUGCUGCUGCUGCCUCUUGCUCCAACAAUUGGUAUCUAGAGCCACAUUCUUAGAGGACCUGUUGUAGUUCAGUAUCAAAACGAUGGCAUCAUCAGGUUUUUCACCAGCUUCACCACCUGUCUUCAAUGGAGAGGGCUUCAACAUUUGGGCAGUUAAGAUGAGGACUUACCUGCAGGCAUUCGACCUAUGGGAAGUUGUUAACUCAGAUGCUGAGCCAGCACCUCUUCGAGCUAAUCCAACAGUUGCUCAAAUAAGGCAACACACUGAUGAAAGGACAAAAAGGCACAAGGCCAUGUCAUGCAUACAGAAUUGUGUGACAGAUGUGAUCUUUAUGAGGAUCAUGGCCUGUGAGACACCAAAGGAGGCUUGGGACAAGCUGAAAGAAGAAUUUCAGGGGACUGAGAAAACAAGGCAACAACAGCUGCUCAAUUUGAGAAGAGAUUUCGAAAAUCUCAAAAUGAAAGAGGAAGAAACAGUUAAGCAGUACUCAGACCGGAUUAUGGCUGUUGUAAACAGCAUAAGGCUCCUAGGAGAGCAAUUCAGUGAAGCUAGAAUGGUUGAGAAAGUCAUGUCCACUCUACCAGAGAGGUAUGAAGCUAAAAUUUCAUCCCUCGAAGACUCAAGGGACUUGACAACUAUCUCCUUAACUGAGCUAAUCAAUGCCUUGUAUGCACAAGAGCAAAGAAGAGCUAGCAGACAAGAGGAGCACCAGGAAGGGGCUUUUCAAGCCAAAGAAGCCUCGAGCAUCAAAACUCAUAAAGGCAAAAAGUUCUGGAAAAACAGGCCUAAGCCUGAUGCUGCUAGGAGCAGUGACCAACUCUGCAGACAUUGUAAAAGAGCUGGUCAUCCAGAAGAUAGAUGCUGGUUUAGACCAGAUGCAGUAUGCCAACACUGCAAGAAAAAAGGCCAUGUUGAAAAGGUUUGCAAGAAUAGAAGCAAACCAAGACAGAAUCAAUUUCAGCAACAAAAGGUGGAAGCUCGAGUAGCUGAAGAAAGCAGUGAUCAAGAAGAACAUGUUUUUGCUGUGUCAUGUGCAGCAAAUCAGAAGAAGGGUUCAAAGGGCUGGCUUCUAGACAGUGGGUGCACAAACCACAUGUCACCAGAUGCAACUAUCUUCAAAACCCUGGACAGAACCUGCAAAACCAAAGUAAAAAUUGGAAAUGGUCAGUUAAUCAAUGCUGAAGGAAGAGGAGAUGUGCUGAUUCAUACUUCUACAGGUGGCAAAAUCAUUUCAAAUGUACUUUUGGUACCUGAAAUCGAUAGGAACCUUCUCAGUAUAACUCAACUACUUGAGAAAGGUUACUCAGUUGUUUUCAAGGAGAAAGAAUGUCAAAUUUUUGAUCCAAGUGGAUCAAAUCUUAUAACAGUCACCAUGACUGAUAAAUGUUUUGAAGUAGACUGGCCAAAUGACUCACAUUCGGCCUGCAUAGCCUCAACUGAUGACUCGAGACUCUGGCAUCAGAGGCUUGGACAUGCAAACUACAAAUCCAUAGCCCGCAUGGUCAAUGAAGGUCUGGCAGAAAAUUUCAUUGAUUCAGUGAAGAAUGAUGAGCUUUGUGAGAUAUGUCAGCAAGGAAAAUUGGCAAGAUUGCCAUUUCCAACAAGCACAACAUGGAGAGCAUCAGAGAAGCUCCAGCUUGUGCAUACAGAUGUGUGUGGACCAAUGAAGACUGAGUCUCUCAAAGGAAGCAGGUACUUUAUUUUAUUUAUUGAUGACUUAACAAGAUACUGCUGGAUUUAUUUUCUAAAACAGAAAUUAGAAGUACCAUCUAUGUUCCUGAAGUAUAAGGCUGCUGUUGAAACUGAGUCUGGUUGCAAACUUAGAGCAAUGAGGUCAGAUAAUGGAACUGAGUACACCUCAGCUCAGUUCCAAGUCUACUGUGAAGAAGCAGGUAUCAAACACCAGUUGACUAAUGUGUAUACACCCCAACAGAAUGGGGUCAGUGAAAGGAAAAACAGAAGCUUGAUGAACAUGGCAAGAUGUCUUCUGUUUGAGAAGAAUUUGCCCAAAAGUCUGUGGGCUGAAGCUGUUAACACAGCAGUUUAUCUCCAAAACAGGCUCCCAACCAAGGCUCUGGCUGAGAAGACUCCAUUUGAAGCCUGGUUUGGGUUUAAGCCAUCACUGGCUCAUCUCAGAACCUUUGGUUGUCUGUGCUAUACUCAAGUUCCAGCUGAGAAGAGAAGCAAGCUAGAUAAAAGAGCUCAAGCAGGGAUCCUGAUCGGCUACAGCUUGGUUAAGAAGGGCUACAGAAUACUAGAACCUGCUACAAACAAGAUAUUGGUUAGCAGGGAUGUUGUUUUCAAUGAAAAAGGACACUGGAAUUGGGAGAAGGCUGAACCAGAGGCAGUGGCUGAAGAUCUGGCAGUGGACCAAGUUGAAAAUGAUGAAAACACACCUGAAAUGGAUGUAGAUGAUGUUCCAAUCAGAGGCACUCGAUCACUGACUGAUGUUUAUGAAAGAGCACAAGUGGCUACUGUUGAACCAAGUUGCUUUGAAGAAGCAGAAAACCAGGAGGACUGGAAGCAAGCAAUGAUUGAAGAAAUCAGAAUGAUUGAAAAGAAUCAGACCUGGAGUCUGGUUGAUAAACCAACAAACAGGAAGAUUAUUGGUGUCAAAUGGGUUUAUCGAGUAAAGAACAAUGCUGAUGGUAGCCUAAACAAGUUAAAGGCUAGAUUGGUUGUGAAAGGCUUCAGUCAAAGGUAUGGAUCAGACUACCUGGAAACCUUUGCACCAGUGGCCAGGCUAGACACUAUUAGACUGCUAGUUGCCUUAGCAGCACAAAAACAGUGGCUGAUACACCAACUUGAUGUAAAAUCAGCAUUUCUGAAUGGAUUUCUUGAAGAGGAGAUUUAUGUGGAGCAACCUCAAGGUUUCAAGGUGUCUGGCAAAGAAGAUAUGGUGUACAAGCUCAACAAAGCCUUGUAUGGCUUGAAACAGGCUCCAAAGGCCUGGUAUAGCAGAAUAGAUGGCUAUCUGACCAGUCAAGGAUUUGAAAGAAGUCUUAGCGAGCCAACUCUGUAUGUUAAAUCAACUAGUGCUGAAACUCAGCUCAUUGUCUCAAUAUAUGUCGAUGACCUACUGGUGACAGGAGGAGAUCAUGAGAUGCUAAGCAGUUUUAAAGUCAAAAUGCAACAGCACUUUGAAAUGUCAGAUUUGGGAUUGAUGUCUUACUUCUUAGGCAUGGAAGUAACUCAAGCUAAGAAUGGGAUUUGGCUAAGUCAAAAGACCUUUGCUAUGAAGGUUCUCAACAAAUUCUCAAUGGAGAAUUGCAAAGCAACCAGCACACCGGUUGCUGUUGGAGAAAAACUCUCGAGCCAAGACAAGCAUGAAAAGGUUUGUGAAACAACCUAUCGAAGUCUAGUUGGAUGUUUGUUGUAUUUGACUGCUACUAGACCUGACAUAAUGUAUGCUGUGAGUCUACUCUCGAGGUUUAUGCAUUGUUCAAAUGAAAGUCAUUUUAGAGCUGCAAAAAGGGUUCUAAGAUACAUCAAAGGAACUUUGUCCUAUGGAAUGCAGUUUACCAAGGCUGAGAACUUGAGGCUAGUUGGAUAUUGUGACAGUGAUUGGGCUGGUUCUUUGGAUGACAUGAAGAGCACUACAGGUUAUGCAUUCAACAUAGGCUCUGCUAUGAUAUGCUGGAGCUCAAAGAAGCAAGGAGUAGUGGCUCAGUCGACUGCAGAAGCAGAAUAUGUGGCUGCUGCUGCAGCAGUCAAUCAAGCCAUAUGGCUUAGAAAAAUUUUGAAAGAUAUCAAUCAUGAGCAAAAGGAAGCAACUGAGAUAAUGUGUGACAACCAAUCAGCAGUUGCUAUUGCAAAGAAUCCUGUUUUUCAUGGAAGGACCAAGCACUUCAACAUCAAACUUCAUGCAGUUCGGGAAAUGGAACAAGCUCAUGUUGUUAAGCUGAUACAUUGCAGUUCUGAAGAGCAAAUUGCUGAUAUUUUAACAAAAGCACUAAGUGUUUCCAAGUUUCAACACCUGAGAACUAAUAUGGGAGUUUGCAACAUGCUAACCAAGGAGGAGUGUUGAAGUAAUGGUCAGCAUGCAGCAACCAAGACUGUCAAAGGCACUACAUGCAGAAGCUGCUGGUUCACCUAGUCAGCAAGCUGUUUAUGUUUCAUUUUGUAAUUUUAAGUUAGAGUAAUGUAACUUAGUUGCUUUAUAACUAUGUUAGGUUUAUGUUUGAUGUAAUUUUGAUGUUGACUGAGCUGAUAAAUCAGCUUUGUUUGUUUAUUCAAGCUAAUUAGCACAAGUUACUAUGUGUAUUAGUGGUAGUAGGUGAAGUUUAGGUCAACCUACUGUUUUGUCAAGAUUGUAAACUUGUUUUAUGUAUUGGCUUUAUGCCAUAUUUAGUUUGAUGAAUGAAUUCAAGAAGUUAUCAUCCAUAUGCUCUCCAUUUUUAGUUUUGCUUAAAAAAUCCAUUUGAGUUUUCUGCUUUGUUUCUCCUACAAGUCACGAGACUUGCCAUACAAGCAUUCUGCUGAAGCUUGCUGCUGCUGCCUCUUGCUCCAACAAUACCCGAUAGCUUGGAACCCAGCCUACAAAAUCCAACAACGAAACAAGGAUUAAAGGAAUAUACAAUAACGAACCCAACCCAAACCAUAUGAAAGAAAGAAUGAUAUUAUGGAAUAAGCCAGAAUAACCAAAGCUAAGUUAAAGGAAUAUACAAUAAUACCUUUAUUGAAUACAUUUGUUGGAUAGUGUUAUUAAGGUCAAUAUACCAAUGUCCAUUAUCAUUUCCAUACUCUACUUUUUGCAAUAAUGGUGGAUUAGUUAAAACUCCCUUACAAAAUAUCUCCAAUUCAGGACAACCACUCACUAUUAAUUCCUCUAAACAUGGGAAUCCAAAUGUGUGGUUGCCUGAACAAAAGCUCUUAAGUCGCGGUAGAUUCACAAGUUCCAAACUUUUCAACCUGCUGAAAAUAAUGUCACAAGUUGCUUCAUCUCCCUCAGUUGCAACUAUUUCAGUCAUUGAAAUGCAGUCUUUUACCAUCAACUUCUUGAGUUGGGCCAUACCUUGGACUGCUAGACAUGUAUCUAAGUAUUUCAUAGCUUCGCAAUUCCACACAUCCAAUGUCGUGAGAUUUCGGAAUGAUGCCGAGGAUGAUCCUAAGCUGAUCAAAUUGUAACAAUCGUGAACUUCAAUAGUCUCAAGUUUGGGCAAAAUGUGGUCCACCUGUACGUAUUGCUUCCAUAAAUAAUCUUUUAGAUUAUUAAGAGCUACCAAUUUUAAGUUUCUAAUUGUUGACAAAGUCCCAGCAUACGUCUCCUCAUUACCGGUAUCUCCUUCAGUACAAAAUAGCUCUUUUAUUUCAUAAUAAGAGAUGGUAAGGUUUUCAAGAGCGUAGAAUCUCUCAAGGAAAGAAAUUCGGAAAUCAAUUGAUUUAGCACCGUGGCCAUGC